rnacentral:lncRNA from 1 species
CGGGUGGGGAGUGGAAGAAAUCUGGGAGCAGCUAGAGCAGCAGGUCCGGGGGGAGCUGCUCAGCUGCACUGCUUCCAUUAUUCAGGCGGACUCUGCUGAGCUUCCCAGGGCUGCUUCCCAGUCGCCCUGGGCGGAGGCUGCCGUCUAGACCUGACUCCAGGUGAGUUAAAUCGAGAGAUGUACUGAGGGGUCUCGAACUAAAGGCUUUGAAUUGGCGAGCUUGCUCAGCUCCCCAAACACUGCUGGCUUUACAAUUUAUCCAAAGUCAUGACAGACUGAUUUUGGCGUGGCUGNUGGGGGUGGGGGUGGGCGGUGGGCAGUUGCGAUCCUCACAGCAAGGAUGAGGGGAUUCUGAUGGAAUUCAGCUGAAGUGACUGGAUUUUAGGAAAUGUCCUCAAAUGCAUGCGUUAUAUGUGUUUUAUAUAUAAGCUUUCUAGACAGUCAUUUGUUUUUCUGGCUGCCUAUUUUGUCCUUCUGUCCCUCCUUCUCCUUGGCUCAUGCCCAAUUUUCCAAGUCCAGUCAAAGGAUUGGAAAGGUGUGGAAGUAAGGAGUCCUAGUAUGUGCUGGGACAAGGUAACCUUGCUCUCUAAGUGGGGAGCAGUAUUGCUGUCACCCUGAUUCACCAGAGGGUAACACUAUGAGGAACUGGUGGUUCUUUUGCUCAGUACUCUCCAUAAGCUUAUUAAAAGGCAGAGAACUUCAGGCUCUCUAGACAGGCUCUGGAAUUGAUGGCAAUUUAGCUUAAAAGCCAUGUUGAUUCAUUUCCUCUUCAGUUUUUGUUCCAAAAUUAUUACCAUAUUAUUACCAUAUUGUUCCAAAAUUAUUACCAGUAGUUCUUUAACAACACGACUUUUAAGUGUCUGACAGGAAGUAUAUUUAUUAUUUUGAAAAUGCUAUGGAAAAAGUGAUGAGUUCACAUUAAGAGGAGAACAACUUUAUUUUCCUGAAAGGACUUUGGGGAAAGGGAUGGAAGAAAUUCUGGGAAUGAAAUUGUGGACAUUUCCCACAGAACUUCCUUAGUUUAAUUUUUUCACAUUUUCUUUCUUACUUCAGUUCUCGAUUUCUCCCUGUCCUUUCUUUUUUCUUUUCUUUUCUUUUCUUUUCUUUUCUUUUCUUUUCUUUUCUUUUCUCUUCUUUUCUCUUCUUUUCUCAUCUUUUCUUCUCUUUCUUUUUCUUUCUCUUUUUCUUUUUCUUUCCGGUGUGGGAGGAAAGAUUACUAAGGUGUAUUAUGAGUUUAUUUAGUUUAGAAGUUGCUUUCUUGCUAAUAGCACUAACUUUUAAUCAUCAUGGUCAUAAGAGUUUUUUUUUUUUAAUUUUUAAUUUUUUUAUGUUUGCCUUUUAGGUGGUCGGGGUUGCUAUUUUUGUUUUUGUUUUUGGAUCCAAUACUUACUUCAUGAACCUUGCUGGAUAUUUUUCAGUAAAAAUUGGUGGUCAUACAAUUGGUCAUAUGGGCUACCAUGCAUUUUAAUAGUAGUGAAGUAUAUAAAUUAUGAAUUUAGCAAAUAAAUUUCAGAACCCAAAUUGGGGGAUGAAAUCUAUAUAUCUUUCAAAUAUUUACUAAAUUCUCUGCAAGGGUCUAGUAUUAUUUUAUGCUUAAGAGAGCUUACUGUUUUUUCAAAUUGAGAUAUUUGAAUUUCUCAAUGCAGCUACAGUUUUAUCAAUUAAGGUGAAAUAUUUUACUUUUUUUCUACCUUUAAUAUCAAUUUGGAUUCAAUAAAUCCAUCUUGUCUGCUACCAUGAGUCCUAUUCUUUCUCAUCUCUUCCAUUUCUAAUUUCUUACAGAAGUUUAGAAAGAUCAGUAAUAUUAUUUCUACUUUUCAGGUGAAAAGCGUAUGACAUAGAGGGAUUAAUUUCCCUAAAUGUCUACAAUCUUUAUGUUAUAAAGUAGAACUGUAAGCCUAGGCUAAUUAACUUCACAUUCAAUUCUUUUCCCAAAACGUGCAUUGCUGCUUUUAGUUGAAACUAUGACAAUAGUGAUAUACGAAUAUGCCUUAUGUAAAAAUACCUAAAGUAUUGCUUUUUUUCUGAUUAUUUAUUAAAACUGGGUUUUUUUUACAUACAAAAAAAUGUAAUUGUAUAGAGUUAUACUCGUCUGCUCCUCAUCUUCAAAUCACUCCUAAAUUCCUUAACAGCUGACCUUGUGUCCUUCUUUAUAAGAGUGGAUUUGAAGCACAGACUCAAUAUUUACUAAGAGUAGUGUUGGAAUAAUUUAUGUCUUAUAAUCAAGAUAGAAGAUAGUCCACAUUUAGAUGCAUUUUAAAAUUGCUUAGUGUGAACUUGAAACACAGCUAAAACUUACUUUCAGAGUAAACUGCCAGACUUCACAAGGACUUGUUUUUAGAUUCCUUGAACAUUGACAGAUUAUGUAUGCCUGUAUAGGAUAUGGGGGAAGAGGAAGUUAGAAACUGAACAACUUCAUUUUUGAUAUAUAAACACAUUUGUAAAAAUGAAUCCAAGUUUUAUAUAUGCCAUGAGUACUUUGUCUGAUAUAGGCUAAUUUAAAGUAAACCUCAUUUUAACCUUUGAGAGAGAGACAUUUUUUUUAAUUUGUUUCAGUUUUUUUCAUCCAUUUUCAUUCUUAACUAGUAACAUUCUGCUAUACUUAGGCUUUUAAGCCAUUUGAGUUACAAACACAGUAUGUGAGUUUUGGGGGAAUGAUGCAUUUGUGUGUGUAUACAUAUUUAGUAGAACCUUUUGGGGUAUGGGAAAAAGGUGAGCAAGAGAAAUAAAUACUAUACAGGAAACUUCUUGGAGUCUCAAAACACUUUGAAACUAUUUUUUUCCUCUGAUAGACCUAACAAAAAUCGUUAUGUAUGGGGACUAAGUAUAUGAUGUGCAACUUUGCAUCUGAUCACAGGCACACUCAUGGUGUAUUCUCGAAUGAACCAAGAUAAUAGGUUCUUUGGUUCUUGACCAUCCAACCAAUUCCUUUCAGGUGUUGGUAUUAAAAGGGCGGCUUACAAUGGUUUUUCUGGAGUCUCAUAAUCGUCUCUCAGAUCCUAUAAAGUAGCUCAAACAGGGUGUGAGUGAAACUCAUCAUUGUUUACCAUCUCAGAGAAUAAGUCCUCUUGAGAAUGCUGACUAAAGCCUUAUUCCUGUGCAGUUAUUCAGACUGUCAGCUGGGAGGAAGGAGAGAGAGAGGAGGAUAAGAAAAAAAAGAUAUGUCAUAUUCUCCCUCAUGAAGGAAUGGGGACCAUGUUACAUCUUUAUCUAGAAAUAUUUAUAUGCAGACAUUCCUCAACAAGAGUGAUUUGCAUCAUUAAGGGCUGCUUCAGAGGCUGGGGACAUUGUUGCCCUCGAAUUUCCAGACAACCCUGUGCACAGUCUGAGACAGCUUUAGUGACAAAAACCCCCACCCCACACUGCCCCAAAAAAUCCUUUUGGUAGAGUCACUGAUUAACCCUGGAUGUUGUCUGACCCAUGUGCGUGAGAAUAGUAGUGCUGAGGGGGAGAAAGUGAAACAGCAACGAUUCUUACUACAGAAGUAUCAUGAAUAUUCAUUGAUGAAAAUGAUUUCUUUUUUUUUUUUUCAAACAUAGGAUGUACAUAGGGUCAUGCUUUCUUGGAUAAAAAUUGGCAGAGAUAUAAAUUGAAUUUUGGACUCUGCUUUUCUAAAAUUUUGGCGCCUGAGUGGCUCAGUUAGUUAAGUAUUUGGCUCUUGAUUUUGGCUCAGGUCUUGAUCUCCAUCAUGGUGGUGAGAUUGAGCCCUGUGUCUGGGUUCUGAGAGUGGUUUCUUGGGAUUCUGUCCUUCCCUCCCCUUUGUCCCUCACUUGCAUGCUCUCUCUCUCUCUCCCUCUCCAAAAAAAAUUAAUUAAAGUAAAUAAAAGUGCCAUGUUCUCUUAGUUGCUCAUUUUAACAUGAGUAGUUCAGAGUAAGCAUGGGCUAUUAAGAGGACUAAGCAUUUUAAGUUUUACAUUAUGAGAUUCAUGCCUUAUCUCCUUUUAUGGUGACACUGAUAGCAUAGAGAGUAUUAGAGGAGAUUUAGUGCAGAAAAAUAUGGAGAUGUAUGAACAGCGGACAUGAUUGACAACACAGUUUUCACUGCAUUGUUCCAAUGCCAAGGUAACUUUGGAUAAACACAUUUUAUUCACUACUUAAGAGAAACUAAGAAAAAGUAGAGGAACUGGGAGAAGGCUAGAAGGUUGACUUUAAGACAAACUUAUGGGCUUAAAGACAAAUUCUUAAGAUGGGCUACAUGAUAGGAAAGAAAAAGCAGAAGUCACUGAACAAAAGUUUUGCCUAAUAUAAUUCAUGAAUUAUUCUGAUUUGUUGAAUCAGUUCUUUAAAUAUAUUACUUAAGCAUAGGAAGAGUUAUAGGAAAUUAUGUUUUUAAUACAAAUAUACAUUUAAUGAGCUAUACUAUAGAUAAAGGAAUGAACAAUCCAAUUAUUUUUUACUAAAUGAAAACUUUCCUUUUUUUCAUUCCAAACUUAUACUAGCAGUUUAGUGUGAUGUAUUACUUGAGCUCCAAAAUUUGCAUCCAAAAAAGAUGCAUAUGUUGAACUUUAUUUUUCAUGGAAAACUGUAAUAUGGAUGAGUAGUGAGACUGCAAAAGACGGGUGAAGAAGUUUAAUAAUUCUCACACUAAAUAAGAAUAAGGAUAAAUUGUAGAGCACUUACUGUCAGACACUCAUUUAGGGUUAACAAGAAUUAUCACAGUUAAUCCUGGAAAUAAUGCACCUGCAUAUUGGAGUAAUAAAGUGUCAUGCAGAUCUGGAUUUGAAAUUGCCUCUUGCUAGUGGUAUGAACUUGAAACAAAUGGUGUAGCCUCUAUUCACCUCAGAUGCUUCUUCUGUGAAAUGAGAUUACUAGUAUCUAACUUAUUGGUUCUUUAUCCAUGUUUUGUGUUUUAGUGUGGGUCCAGUUCCAAGUAGGGUAAGACUGUUAUUUUAUUCUUGCUGUUAUAUUCACCGUAGUUCUACCUUUUAAUAGCUGUGUGGCAUUGAUCAAGAUCCUUUUUUGUGAUCUUUUCUUUAUCUAUAAAAUGCUUGUUUUGAAGAGUUGUUAGUACAUUAAAGAAAUUUGAUAAAAUCAUUUACGUAAAGGAUGUAAUACAUGGUAGACAAGUAUUUUUCUUGUCCUUCCAUAGACUACUAUGGAGAUAGUCUACAUAUUUUUUCCAAUUUUUUAAUAUACUUCCUCAAAUUCAGUGUUAAUCUGGGACAAAACAUUCCCAUUUCCUGCUUCUCUUCUGAUUAAACACUAGAAAAGUAGGAGUGUUGUUAUAAUUUUUAUUGUGCUUAAGCAUCAGAAAAGAAGCAAGCCAGGUCUCAGGACAAGUUUUGAUAAGGAAAGGGACAUGUUUAUCUUGCUAAACUUAUUCCUUCCAACUCUUGACAGUUUUAUACUGUCAUUUUGUCAGCAAUAGGUGAGAAUUUUCUAUUUAAAUGAUUUCCUGUUUGUGGUAGUAAAAUUUAUGUCUGGACUUAAUCCAACUAGCAUAAACAAAAUGCAGAGUUGGCCAAUAAUUUAUUUUAUUUUAUUUUUUUAAUGUUUUUAUUUAUUUUUGAAGGAGAGAGAGAGAGAGAGCAUGAGCGGGGAGGAGCAGAGAGAGAGGGAGACACAGAAUUCAAAGCAGCUGUCAGCGUAGAGCCCAAUGCAGGGCGCGAACCCAUAAACUGUGAGAUCAUGACGUGAGCUGAAGCCGGGUGCUCAAUCAACUGAACCACCCAGGCGCCCCCCUCCCCAUAAUUUAUUUUUAACAAGAGGAACGAGUAUACACAAGUUUUUACUAUUGUUUUGAGAAUCUUUCAAAUUAACUUUGAUUCUGUUGGUGAAGGUAGCAUCAUAAACUCAGUCUUAAUGGUGUUCUUAAAGGGUAAUACUUGAAUAUUGUGUAUACUGUCUGCAGAUUGGCUUAAUAGGACUUAAUUUUAGAUAUAACUUCUCUGCUAAACAGGAUGAUUCUUACAUGAAGAUAUGCCCUCUAUCAGAUAUAAGGUUGCUCAAGGCUUUCUGCAUGGGGUUAGAGGAAGAGUAAAUAGAAUCUUUUCAUCUCUAAAUUAGACAUACUGGUUGAUUCAUAUUGAUUGAAUGGUUAUGAUCAUAUUAAUAAUGUGGCUCAGGGAUAAACAAGUAAAUAGUUACCAAGAUAAAUCCAGUUAUUAAGUUUAAUGCUCCUUAUUUUUUCCCCCUAGGAUCUCUCAAGUUCAUCACUGUUUCAUCUGCUUUCCUUUGCUCAUUAUAAUGGUAUAUUAGUUUCCUAGAGCUGCUCUAACAAAUUACCACAAACUUAAUGGCUUAAAAAAAUUUAUUGCCUUACAGUUUUGGAGUUCAGAAUUCUCAAAGCAGUUUCACUGGGCUAGAGUCAAUAUGUCUACGAAGCUGAUUCCUUCUGGAGGCUCUGAGGGGAGAAUCCAUUUUCUUGCCUUUUCUUGCUUCGAGUGGCCAUCUGAAUUCAUUGGCGUAUGGCCCCUUCCUCCAUUUUCAAAGUGCAUUGUUCCUAUCCUAUCUGUCUCUACAUUGCCUCUUCCUCUAACUCCUCCAUCUUUCCUUCAAGGACUCUUGUGAUUACCCUGGGCUCACCUGGAUGAUCCAGGAUCUCCAUCUCAGUAUUCUUAACUCAAUCAUGUUUGCAAAGUCCCUUUGAUUAUGUAAGGUAAUACAUCCACAGAGUGUGGGAUUUAGGAAGAGAGUAUCGUUGGGGACCAUUAUUCAGCCUACCACAUAUAGUAGUAAUAUCUGUGUGCUUUGAGGCUCUGAAAUUAAUGUGCUUGCUUCCUUGUGGGAAAAUUAUAAAUUUGGGGGUUUUUAGAUCUUUUAGAAGAUAUUGAUUGGUAAUUUUCCAACAACAGAUGCUGAUCCCUUACAUUUAUUAGGUGUAAUUUUAGGUAAGUAUAAGUGAAAUCAUUUGCACUUCUAGGGUCAAAAAUAUUAAUUAUAUCCAUUAUCUGUCAGGGCCAACAUCUGGAUGACUUAAGUUUAAAUUACAUAGAGCAAUAUCUGAUAGUUCUUCUUUAUGAAGUUAGCCCUUGUUUACAAAGCCAAAUCAAUGUAAGAAACCACAGAAAGCUUGGUGCUCUUUAAAAUUUUUUCAGGACAUACUCAAGGGAUGUCAGAUACUAUUUCCAUAAUACUUGGCACUCUUCACAAAUAUUCAUUGUGAAUAUUUAAUCUCAUGAGUUCUACACAAUAAUUGUAGACUUCCAGGGGAAAUUUAAUGAUGGUCAUGUCAACUUUACAAAUCUUCUGUAAUCCAAGGGAGAACUGUUAUAUAAGGUGGAUUCAUUUGUUCCCCUAUCCCACUGUUGCCAAAGGGAGCAUGAAGUGCCCUGCUCACAUUAAUUUAAUGCAAAUGAAUUCUUACUGUCUCAAGAGUUUGUCCUUCAUUUUUCUUAAAAUUAUGUUGUAAAUGAAUGUGACAUGCUUUACUGGUUGUUGUGCAGGGAGCAUUGUCCUUCCUAAAAGCUCUCUCAUUUGUCAAAAAGAAGCCAUUAAGAGAAAAAGUAAAUUAUCUUAUCUGAUCAGUGUUAAGAAUGACCUUAAAACAAUAAAUUUUUUUACCAGUACAAUAGCUGAAUUUUCUUUGCACUUAUGGAGAUUCAAGAGAAAGCCUGUUAAGGUACAAAGCUGUUACAAAAAUUUAAAACCCAUGUUUCUCUUUUACCUUGUAAACAGUAAUGUGUGUCUGAUGCAGUUUUGCUUAUUGCUAUCUCCUUGCUUUCCAGAACUAAUUUGAAUACUCCUAAGUUUUUAAAUAUUUUUAUUUUUUUUAAAUAUUUUCAAUGUCCAGCAAUAUAGUUUUAUGAAUAUCUAGCUACAAAUAGAGGUUGGUAUAACAUUGAAUUAAACAGGGAUGAUUACAAAUGAUAAUUUUUGAUAAAAGACUGCACAUUUAUGCCUUUUCACAUAAAUGUAAAACAUUUUAGUGAGGGAAGGUGAGACUGGAUGAAGGAACUCUGUUGAUGUUUAAGUAGAUGAUGAUAAGGAGAGUAAUGUACAAGCAUAUUUUUUUACUUUCAUGUCCAGAAUAGAGUAAUUGCACAAUAAGUGGUAUUUUUCUACUGUGGAAGCAUCUUCUCCAGCCAUGCUAUUCAUGAGGGCAAGGGCUUCAACUAAGCUUUCAGCAACCAUAAGUAAAAAGGAUGGUGUGAUAGGCUGCCGGUACAUAUGGCUGUCUCUAGCAGGCCAACUGUUACUUUUGCCCACCCACAUCACUGAGGACAUAUGGCGUUACUUUGGCUGUGGAAGCAAGUGUGUGUGGACAUGUCUCAGUGUGGGCAUAAGACUGCUGGUUGUCUUCCUCUUUUUGCUCAUAAAACCAACUGCCUCUGGGUUGAAAACUUAUCCAUAGCACUAGAUCUGAGGACAAUAAAUGACAUAGUUCUUCUUAUUAACUGAUAUGAAAAUAAUACGAUUAAGUUUUUCUCUAGGUUGAUCACAAGACUUAGUGUAUGUUUGCCAUUAUUAUGCUUAUAAGAAGAAAUGAUGGCUUUUUCACGAAUGAAAGUCGGGGAUUUUUUAAUCAAAAGACAACUUAUGAAAAAAUACAGGAUUAUCUAGAACCAGAGCAGUAGAAGCAUCAGGAAUAUGGUUGAAACUAUUUAUUUUGUGCAAUAAUCAAUUAGUGAAAUCUAACAAUGAAUGUAUUACUAUUAGCUAUGACUAUAAGGAAAAUAUGAGAAAACGGAUGAGAAGGCUGAAAUGAAGAAAGUUGUCUAAUUCCAGCACAAUUUAUUUCACAGAGUUCACAGUAUUCUAAAACAAUUUUUUACAUUUAUAUAUUUAUUUUUGAGAAAGGGAGAGUGCGAAUGAGUGAGGGGCAGAGAGAGAGAGAGAUAGAGACAGAGACAGAGAAUCCCACACAGACUUCACAUGCAUUGUCAGGGCGGAGCCCAAAGCUGGAGCUCAGGAACUCAGAGAUCAUGACCUGAGCUGAAGUCAGAUGUUUAACUGACUGAGCCACCCAGGAGCACGCCCCCACCCCUUUUUAAAGUUUAUUUAUUCUAAAGCAAUUUUUGAAAAUUAGAUUCUUUUUUUCAGUAGUGUGAGUUCUGAAUUUUCAAAGGGAGCCAUUUCAAUACUGGCAACAAGUAUGUAUUUUUAGUGGUGGCUCUAGAACUCCUACAUAGAAAGGCUUUUAAGACAUAGUCUGAUUGGAAGGCAAGGAUAGAGGGUGUGUGCUGAGGUGGCAGGUACACAGGACUUUAGAUGAUGUACAUCAAUUAUCUAAAGAGAAGAAUGGGUAGUGCUGCUGAGGAUUAUGGGAAAGAAGAUGAUGCUGUAAGUUACCUUUUCCUGCCACUGUUGGCAAAUUUGUGUAGUUGGGAUUUGUUGUAGAUUUCUUUUAUAAUCACUCAAUAAUUUCACACACUGUAUUCUGUAAAUCUUAACAUUUUCACUAAAGCUACAUUUGCUAAAUAUUAGGUAAAUAAAAUCAAGAUCUGUGUAGGUAACAUUGACAAAAGCAGUCUUUCCAGAGGUAGAAAUGAUGAAUUGUCAAAUGCUUUUGAACAUCACUUUUUCUACAAAGUCUCAUUCCAGUUUCAGUACUUUGGCACAUCUAUUAAUCACUAUUAAGGUUGUAUGUGAAAUAUUUGGCAGUGUGGGUAUCAGAGAUUUGUGGUAAUGGUGAUUGAUGCUCAGAAUACAGCAUCAUUAUUGUUAUUCACUGGCCUUGAGAACUUUGGUUUUCAUCUGUUAUCACCUUGCUGUCCCACUGACUGACAAAUUUAAAUUAUUUGAUCCAUCAAAAAAUAUAUUUUCUGGCAACUCAUUUAAUUUUAAUUUUUUUUAUUACUCUUUGUGUGCUGUGGUGAAGUAUCAAAUUCUCAGUGUGUUAUAACAAUGUGGUAGUUCAGAUGGAAGCAAGUGCCUUAAAACAAACAGGUUUAUUACCAAGAUAUAUAAAAUACUGAUUUUAUUAACAGAACUAAAUGCAUAGAUAACAUAAAAUAUCUGAGUUAAAUUAAGUAUUUUUCACAUAUGUAUACAUAUUUUUACAUUUGAUCUUUCUAUUUUAAGUAUUUGUGUACACAUAUAUAAUUGAUGCAAAUUCAGUUUUAGAGAUCUUAUCCAAAGGGUCAAUUCCUUAGGGUGACUCUUUCAAAUAUGUAUCAAUUAUGGCAAAAUGGACACAAAAUGGCAACAUAAGGAGCCAUAAAAAUGAGAAUAAACGGGAGAUAUUGGUUUAAAAAAACUUCCAAAUGAGUUGAUUUUGAUUUAAAUGCUCUUCGGUUGUUAGCUGGGGAAAUUAAUAGAAUUGAAAUUUUAUGAAAAUCAUUCAAAUUUGUUGUGCAGGUAUGUACAUUAUGUGUACUAUAAAUAUAAAAGGGAUAGCAUAUUAUUUAGCACAAAUAUCCAUACUUAUCUGUAUAUAUAUAUAUAUAUGUAUAUAUAUAUAUAUAUAUCCAUCAUGAAACUGAGUGCAUGUGAUAUAUACAUAUAUUGUGUACUUUUUAAAAAAAAUUAAACAUUUAUUUAUUAUUGAGAGACAGACAGAGCAUGAACAUGGGAGGGACAGAGAGAGGAGGAGACACAGAAUCAGAAGCAGUCUCCAAGCUCUGAGCUGUUAGGACAGAGCCACAUGCAGGGCUUGAACCCAUAAACCACAAGAUGAUGACUUGAGCCGAAGUCGGACACCCAACCGACUGAGCCACCCAGGUGCCCCAUAUAUUGUGUACUUUCAUUUUUACAUUUAUUACUUUUUCACCUCAUUAGCAACAGAUUAAAAAAGGAGAAAUUUUCAUUUGGUAAUUUGACCUCCCAUAUUCCUGUCUCACAUUUAUGGUUUUAUAUUGUUAUUUUCUUUGUGACUAGACCUUUAGAACUAACAAAUAUCUUAUAUUCUUUGUUGAUAUUUGGAAAGCAAUGUGUCUCUGUAAAGGGUGCGUGUGCAUGUAUAUGAGCACAUGCAAAAUUGUGAUGAAUGUUUGAUUUUUGACAGAGAAAAGCUAGUUAAAAUUAUUCAGAGUGUGGUAGGUAGCACCACUGCAAUGGAAAACCAGACAUCCAUCAAUGUAAUCAUUAAACAGAUAUUUCUGAGCACCUACUCAGUACCUGACACAAUUUUAAGUAAUAGGAAUGUAACUAUCACAAAAUUCAGUCUCUACCCUCACAGGCAAAUUGCAGGACAGAUUGGUCAAGGUGAAACACAUUUCAGAACCAGAAAUUAAAGUUUCUGAGUUGCUAGAAUGUCAUUUAAACAAUGUUAUGUUAUACACUGAAACCAUAAGAAAACAGUUCCUCUAUCCAUCCCUUCAGGGGAUAAUGGUGAAGAAGUAAACUGGCUGUUAUGCUUGAAUUUGCAUAAUUUCACAACUACAUAGUGUUAUAUAAUGUCAAUAAACUUAAAAUCUGAUACAUGAUAAAUAUGGUCUUUCAAAUCAGUGGGGAAAUGAUAAAUGAUUCAUAAAAUGAUGUUCAAGUAAUUGGCUAUGUGCUUCAUAGUUGUAAAAAGUUAUAAUACACCCAAUUAAUUUCACAGUAGGCACUGAGUAAACGCCUCCAAAUAUAAAGAAGAAAAUAUAUAGGCAAAUGUCAUUUGUAAUAUUAGGGCUAAAUUAACUUUCCAAAGUAUAACCCAACCAAAGACAGAAACUAAUAAAGACUGAUGGAUUGGACUUUGUUAAAGUGAAAAACUUUAAUAUUUCAAAUGAUACCAUCACUGGAUAUAAAAAGAAAAUGCCAAAUCAGGAGAAAGUAUUUGCAAUUCACUUGACAUAUUUGACAUAUAAAUAGUCCAAUAAAUCAUUACGCAUGGUCCAAUAGCAAAAAAGGACAGGGGACCUGGGUGGCUCAGUUGGUUGAGCUUCUGAUUUCAGCUCAGGAGGUCAAGAUCUCAGGGCCCAUGAGUUUGAGUCCUGCAUCAAGCUCUGUGCUGACAGCUCAGAGCCGGGAGCCUGCUGCGGAUUCUGUGUCUCCCUCUCUCUGCCUCUCCCCCACUCACUUUCUCUCUCUCUCUCUCUCUCUCUCUCUCUCUCUCUUUCUCUCUUUCUCUCUCAAAAAAUAAUAAAUAAACAUUUAAAAAAUAAGAAAAAAAAGACAAAGUACAUUGGCAGGAAACACUGAGACUCAAAUGAAUACUAAAUGUAUUAGCAUCUGUAUUGCUAGUCAAAUGCAAAAAACAUGGAGGAAAUUAUAUAUGUGUGACAUUUUAACCAAACUGUAGUAUGAACUUAUUCAUGCUAUAAGUAAAACUGUAAAACUAUCUAUGAAACUAUAUGCAUGUUCGUGUCCACGUCGAUUGUUUUCUUUUAGUUCUUUAAAAUUUUUGCAUUUUCCAAAGUAUAUUCAAAUAUCAGAAACCACUCUUUGCUGUUGAAAGCAGCCUUUCAAAUAUAAACUCACCCAUCACUUUCUCUAAAUUUUACAGGGCCGAGAUUCCUUAUCAGAAACUAUAUUUCAAUAAUUAUUUUAUUGUUUUUAGUAGUUCCUACUUCAGGCUUAACUGCUAGAGGAAGACUUUUUUCUUUUCUUUUUUUUUUUAACAAAGCUUUCUGAUGUACUUUUUAAUAUUAUUAUUAUUGGAAAGAGCUUUUAUUUCCUUAAGUGUUUUGUUGCCUAAGUAUGAUGAGUAUCCGGCAGUGAAAUUCAGUGCAACAGAUGUUUAUUGUGAUAUAUGAGAUGAACUUGCUUCCCUAAGCUCACGUAGGCAUGAAAUACAUCUGGCUUCUAUACAUAAAAGUCAAUUUGUAUUCCCAAAUGUGUUUCUGUGCAUUAGCCAGACUUUUAGGGGCAGAAACCCUACUAGUCCAUCAAAUAGGGGCUUUGCUUAAUUAUGAAGCUUAAGUUAGGCUACAAGAUGAAAAAUACUAAGUUUUCAGGCUGGAGACAGAGUCUGAGCAGGAGAUGUUACUACCGAGUGUAUUAAGGUUAGGUAACUGAGGCUGACAGAGCAACUUAUGUGUGUAUGUUAGGGAGGGGUGUAUGCAUAAAAUGAGAGAAUCCUGUGAAGCAGAGCAUAAUCAAUUGUGUGAGCAUAUGGAAUGCAUAAGAAAGGAAAUCCAGUUCGGAGGAGAAAAAUAAGGCGAAGCAAAGGGAAAAAGCUAAUAAAGGUAAGCUCUAAAAAAAAGUAGGGCCGAAUGUAAACAGUGAUGAGAAUAAAGGCAUUUGGUAGGCAUGGGGGAAAUAGUAUCCAGACUGUGUCAGAAAGGAAUUUAGCUUGUGUGUGCCUGUAUUGCUAGAGUCAUGAUACGCAGAAAUCAGGCCCCUUGAGGUAUAGCAGCUCUACUUUUCUAUUCCUCAGGUAGCCUUGAAUAUUCCUUUUUAAUUUUAAAAAGACCAUUUAUUUGUGUGUGAUGGGUUAACAUCAAGGACAUGAGAUUUUUCUAGAAUAUACUAAAACUGAUCAAUAAUCUAGUAGCUAAAACCUUUUAAAAUAAUUUGUGCUAGAUCUUUAUAUCAUAUAGAAUUUCAUUGCCAGAGUGAGCAGUGCAUUAUACCUUAUUUUACCUUUUUCCAAUUACUGAGUAUGGUAUGAAUAAUGUCUUCCCAAUGACAUCUACAUCCUAAUCCCCAGAAUUUGUGAAUAUGUUGUAUUACAUAGCAAGGGGGAGUUAAGGUUGCAGGUGAAAUGAAAAUUGUUAAACAUCUGACCUUAAAAUGCAGAGAUUAUCUUUCAUUAUUUGUGUAGGUCCAGUGUAAUCACAGAGACCCUAUAAAAGGGAGGACAAAAUCAUUAGAAGGAGAUGAAGUGACUGAAAGAGAGGUUGGAGUAGUAAGUUUUGUGGAUAGAGACAAAAGAUACAUUCAACUUCUAGAAUGGUUCUUCCCAAAAGAGCCUCUAGAAGUAACAUAGCCCUGGAUGAUGACUUAAUUUUAGUCCCACUAGGAAGACUUGUUUUGGACUUCUGACGUCUAGAACCAUUAGAAAAUAAACUUAUGUUGUUUUAAGCCACUGAGUUUGUGUUAAUUUGUGAUAGCAGCAAUAAGAAACUAACAUGUUUAAACCAUGUAUGUGUGUAUAUAUAUAUAUAUAUAUAUAUAUAUAUAUUGCUAUAGAUGGUUGCUGAAGAAUUGAGUGGGCAUUUCAGGAAAGAAUUGGGAACUCAUUUUCUUUUUUUUUUUUUUUUUUUUUUUUUUUUUUUCAACGUUUAUUUAUUUUUGGGACAGAGAGAGACAGAGCAUGAAUGGGGGAGGGGCAGAGAGAGAGGGAGAUACAGAAUCGGAAACAGGCUCCAGGCUCUGAGCCAUCAGCCCAGAGCCCGACGCGGGGCUCGAACUCACGGACCGCGAGAUCGUGACCUGGCUGAAGUCGGACGCUUAACCGACUGCGCCACCCAGGCGCCCCGGGAACUCAUUUUCUUAAGAAAGUCCUUCAUGUCAGGAUAAUGAGAAUGUAGAGAGAUGAACUGUUUUAUUUACGUAUACAAACGAUAUGUAGGUUUAAAAAGGGGGUAUCUUUUGAAAGCUAAUAAACAUGUUUUUGAUUAUGUGAGGCUUGGAUGGUGCAUUCAAGGUUGUGUUGGAUAAUCCUACAAUCUUUCUAGCACUAUAAAGUCAUUAAUAAUUUUAGUUUGAGUACUAUAAACCAAGGUCACUUGGACCAAUGCCUCUGAUGAGGAUUAGGAUGGCAAAGACAGCUUGAGUGAUUUGAAUUGAAGACCAGAAUAGGGGGAAAUAGGAUAUCCCACUGAAAAUCCAAUUUCUACUAUCCAUUCUAAUAAUAUGUUUACCAACUAGUUAUGUAUAGGACAUUAUGUUAAGUAAUAAAGGCAUAAUCCAGUGGUGGAAACAGAUGAAAAGUGUUACAAUAGUGAUAGAUAAGCUGUUAAGGAGAAGCAAAGUUGCAAAAUUGGUGCUACCUGAAAGUUUUCAAGAACAACAGAAUUAAAAGAAAAUAAGAUUAUGAAGUGUUGUAUUUGCUCCCCAUCUCCAACUUGUGAAAAUAGUUCACAAAACUAAGCCAGUCAUGUUUUAAAACUCAAAGAACGUUCUUUUGAUCAAAGUUUUAAAUGUAGUGCCCCUUUUUGUUUUCUUUUCCUUUAUCAUUCAUAAACUGCUUACAGGAAACCAGAAGACAAAUCUGACAAAUAUGCUGAACAUUAUACCUGCAGGGAGCAUGAUGUUCCUCCAGGGAAUAAAGGCUUUGCUAGCCAAGGAAUGAUAUUCUUAAUAUUUCCCAGUAAUAUGGAAUGUAUCCAGUUGAAAUUAAUAAUACAACUUUAUAAAAAUAUUACUUCUCAUGAAGUUUUACAAUUACUCUUUCUGUAGUUUAUGAUUAAUGGCAUCAGAUUCAUAAGUUGAAAUUAUAUUUAAUAAUUUUAAUAACUCCCCCAAAAAGGUUUCUUUAAAACAAUUAUGCCUUGAUUUCCCAAGUCUCCUUUGUUAAAAACAUCUCAAAACAACUAAAUUAAAUAAAAUUUAUUCGCUCCAGUAAAUUAUUACUAAAAGCAUAUCUUCUAGGUUUGACCUGUUUAAGAGUUCUUAAGGUGAUUGUAAGGAGCAGUAUGUUUCACAGUUUAUGGUAGUUGAUUAAUCUGAUUAAAUCUUGGUAGCACAUUGAAUGCAGCAAACGUAACAGAAAUAAAUCUCAGAUCAUCAUCUGAAAUGUCUCCAUCAAGCAUUUUAAAACAAUUUUUAAGUUCACUAAUUUGAGUCAUUAUACUUGACCUUAGUAGAAGGCCCAUAAAAAUGAAGCUCAUUUGAACUUGGCAGAUAUCAUACACCAACUUUUUACAGUCACAAUUCCUGUGCCUCAUUAGGAAAAUGAUCAUUACCAGAAUCCCAGUGCUUUGAGCAGAAAUGCAUUUAUUAUUCUAGAAUACUUUUACUGAAAAAUUAGCCUGAUUUCUCUUUUAGGUAAGCUCUCUCAGAUAGGAUUCUAAUUUUUGAGUGUAAAUAAACUUCAAGAUAUUGAAGGCAGCUGGAAGAUGGGAAUGACAGUAGAUGACCAUCUUCUCUACAUUCUGUAUCAAAGCCCUCUAAAGAACUUAGAACUUUCUGCAGCUGAUUGGUUGUAUGUAUUUUUUAAAAAAUGAGUAGUGCUACAUAAAUUCAUUUAGUUCAGAUAGUUCCUGCUGAAUUGGAAGGGAGUCCAUUUUUAUUCCUCAGUGUUUCUUGACGUUGGGAAAGACAAGUUUAGGGGGUCUUAUGAAAUUGUAAAGUCUAGAGAAAAGUUCUGUGUUGUACAAUUUACUGUUUAACAGGAUAAGUUGACUAAAAUCAAUAUAAGUGUCACGUGUAGGAGGAAUCCAGAGUCUUCAAUUUAUCUUAGAAAGGUUAAAUAACUAGUACAAGGUUAUUUAUCCAAUUAGUAACUGAACCAACCAGUGUCAGGCUUACUAACUUUAAGACUAUUGCUCAUUAAACUACCUCUUUCACAUAGAGUUAUGAGUAAUCACAAUGUAACACCAGCAUGUAGCACAAAAUGUAUGUUGUACAUAGAAUACUGAGUACAACAAAACAGUUUUUUCUAUUAUCUUUUCCAAAUCCACAUGUAAAGAGUUUCUUGUGGAAUUUCUUGACUGCCAUGAUGGCUGCAUGUAGCAGAGAGAUUGAUUACUUGGACUUUUCCAUACACUCUCAGAACUAUGGAAAGCAAGGACAUUCUGUAUUGAUUUAACAAAUUCUCAUUUUUUUUCACUCAUAGUAGCUUGCCUUGAAGUAAAUUGCUCUGUAUUUGUUUCAUUUGAAUUCCAUAGUUAGAAGAUAGUGUGAUGGCCGAAGAUCUAUGGCGAAUGCAUACACACAUGCACUCACACACACACGCAUGCAUAGUUUUUUUUUCUCAUAGUUUUUUUUCUAAUUUCAUAGUUUUUAUUUUUUUAAGUUUGCUUGUUUAUUUGUUUGUUUGUUUGUUUAGAGACAGAGACAGCACAAGUGGGAGAAGGGCACUUCCUUUUUCUCAAGGAAGACAGAGAAUUCCAAGCAGGCUCCUCACUGUUAGCACAGAGCCCAAUGUGGGUCUCGAGCUCACAAAAUUGUGAGAUCAUGACCCGAACAGAAACCAAGUUGGAUGCUUAACUGACUGAACCACUCAGGCACCCCAUGGUUUUUAUUUCUAAGUUAACUAUGUCAAAGAAGAAACAAUUCAAAGAUGCAAGCUAUUUUCCUAGACAGCAUUUUACAUCUAUCCAAUACUAUAGACAGUAUAUCUUCCUAUUUCUCCUUAAAUAGAUCUGUUAAUUUAACAAGUAUUCAUCUUUAUAAAAUUUGAACCUGUGAAGUCCCAUCUAGGUGCUAUAUCUUGACCAGGCAUUUAAGAGCUGAACCUCAGUUAGGUGGCUUCUACUUCCUUUAUAAGACUCUGCUAGCACUGUUUUACUUUUAGAUGCCUUGCUGGUGGCACAGGUGACUCAGCUAAGUCAGCUUCCAACGUUGGAUACUCUUACAGUUUUCUUGUACUCAGGUUAACUUCUUUUAUAAAAAGCCAUGCUCCAUUUCCUCAAUCUCCAUGCUUGAAGAUUAUGGAAUUAUUUAUUUACUUUGAAUGUAGCUUCAAAAUGAGAUCUGCAGCUAAAUAAGAUGUGUACAUUUGAGUGUGUGUGUGUGUGUGUGUGUGUGUGUUAGUGCACUAAUACUGUUCACUGAAUAAGACAAAGUGACUUUCGUAGUAUAAGGAGAAACUUAGAAAAACAAGGAAUUACCUGGUUUGGGAGAUUUUGAGAUAUGUGAUGUUGGGAUUUAUACUUCUGUGUAAACUCUUAAUUUUAUGUAGUAUACAAAGUUACUGGAAACUGUUAAAACUGUUAAAUUGUUUAAUUCUCUUAAAAUAAAACUUGGUUGGCACGAAAGGGUAACUUUCUCUGUAGCCUUCGCAAAUAGACAUUGUUUUUUUUUUUCCCACCCUCCACAUGCCUUAUGGCCAGAAGUUGUUCUUGUUCUUCAUUAUAGCUUUCAUAUUGCUAAUUUCUUUCCUUGUUGCAAAUCAUACUGUUCCUUUGAAACGAAAACACUUUGGAAAUAUUAGUCAUGUUCUUUGUGUAUUGUUGAUAACAAACAGAUCUCUUGGUUACUGUUGCCAUUUAUUUAAGGCUUUAUUUCAUCCUUUUUCAAAGUCUACUUCAGCUAAGUCCUAGUAUCAUUUUCAGUGACUUCAACAUCCAAAUGGAAGGAUCAUCAAAGUGCCCUGUUCACUUGUCGUCUUGACAUCCUUAUCUCCAUUUCUUUUUCAUUUCCUUCCUCCACUUUAGUUACCAAUACAUGGUCAGAUCUAUCUUUUGCACACCAGUGCUUGUACCACCAAGAUCUUAAUGGCAAAUGUUCCACCAACUGGACUUCAUUCCUCUUCUAAUUCAUUUGCUCGUAACUCAUUAACUCACGCCUAAGAUUCUUCAUCUUCACUGACAUUCAUCCUAGACCAUAGCAUUUGUUGUUUCUUCACAAUUCAUCAGUACUCUGAUGUCUUCAUUUUCCACCAUUUUGAGUGCACAUAUCAUGGUUCAUCUGUGGCACUCCCUUGCAAAUAUCCUAAGGUACAUUUCCCAACCAUUAAUAGGAAAAUGUGUUUCUAGGCCUCUACUCAUUACUACUAAAUAUUGAUAUUUCCUUGGGUUUCAUUCUAAUCUCUCUGCUCUUCAUACACAUACACACUCUCUAAGCUCUAAACACCAUUUCUAUACUAAAGAGCUAGUAAUUUUCCAUUUUAGUGUCUGACCCAGAUAUUACCUCUGAAGGUCCUUGCCUCCUUCGACAGCAGCAUAUGGAUACUUGAGAGAAAACAUGUCCCAGAAAAUGGCACCACUAACCUUUCAGAUAACUAAGGCAGAAGCUAAUGAUAAUUUUUGUAUUCUUCCUCUGUAUUCUCACAAUACCCAAUCCAACAUUCAUUUAAAAAUAUUUUGUUUCCAAAUAUAUGUAGAAUUUUCCCACUGAUUUUUAUUUCCAAUGUAUAGUCUAGCCAAAUUUGGUUCUUUCUUAACAUCUCUGUUAUCCUGCCUCAUUAGUCUACCUAAUUUUAUUCUUAACUCCCAAUACUUUAUUAGCCACAUAGAAACCAAAGUGAUAUCUUAAAGUGUUUAUCAGUUCAUAUCUCUUCCUACUCUUUCAAUGUACUUGGACUAAAACCCACUUUCUAUGCCAUUACCAAUAAUAGCUCUGUAUAGUUUCAUAUCUUAUCUUUCAGUUACAUCACGUCAGUCUUUCUUCCUGCUUCACUCCAAUGAGAUUCAUAGCUCUUAAUUACUUCUGUAUGCCAAGAUCAUCCUUAUAUCGGGGUUCUUGAAAAUUCUGGUUUCAUUUCCUAAGAGACUCUCCCCAUUGUAUGCAAAGCUAGUUCUUGUUGUUUUUGGAGCUAAGCUUAAAUAUUAUCACUUGAAGAAGUGGUUCAAGUCAGAUGUCCCCCCACCCACCCGACUCUUUUGUCAUCCAGCUCUUGGUUUGAUAUUGCAUAUGGACAUGUUUUGCAAUGAUUUAUUUUCUUCUUUUAAUUGGGUUUUGCACACUUGACUUUCUCUGUAGAGUUCAAGCCCUAUGAGUGCAGGGACUCUGGCGUUCUUGUUCACUACAGUAGCUCAGUAACUAGUAUACUAUCUGACACAUAUCUGUUGAGUGAAUUAAUCAGUUCUUCAAUUGGUAUCUGCUGUGUCUGGUGGUGUCCAUAGACUAUUCACUUCCCUUAAUUUCCAAAUCUCAGAGUCUCCUUGUCCUACCUUAACGAGGUCAGGGAAUCUGGUCUGGAGAUUACUCAGCCUUAAGUCCACUUGAGAGGAUGUCAGGAUAUGUAGGAAUGGACUUAUGCUUCUUCAGUAAUUCCAUCGUGUUUAGGAAGAUCACUCUGCCUCUCUGGAGAGACGUUAGGCUCUUGUGGUUCCUUUGGGAUCUCAAACAAUAGGAACAUUACUACUAAACUUGUUUUAGGUCUCUUGGGCAUAUUUAUUCAAAAUUAGACAUAGAUUACUAGUCACUACUUAUGUUGUGUUUUUCUGAAAAGGCAGUCUGAAUAUAGAGUUUCUAUCGUUAAGAUUAGAAAGACUAUGGAUUUCUAUUAAAUCUAUGUAUAAUUUUAAGUGGGAUGGUAUAAACCACAAAUUCCUAGCUUUAUGACUAAAAACUAUUUGGGGGCUUUAUUAUGAUGUGUAUUCCAAGGCUUCAUCUCCAGAAAUUCUGAUUCAGUGUGUCCACAGUGACACAUAGGACUAUACAUUUUACCAGGUAUCCUAGAUUAUUCUGAAAUAGAACAUUUGUGGACCACAUUUUGGGACAGAAUUGCAUGCUAUGUUAUAUUUCAAGAUGUUUAGUUUUUUAAAAUGCAAACUAUUUAUCAGUCUCUCUCUUGAAUUAAUGACAUAGUAUAAUUUUAAUACUUUAUAGCUUAUAGGAAUUUUAGAGAUUUUUUUCAUUUGUCACAUAUGUAGAGACUGAAUCUAAAAAAGAUUAAUUAAUUUGUCAAGGUAUUAAAUGGGGUCAGCAUCUAAGUUUCUUAUCACUGCCUGGGCUUUUAUUCUAAAGCAUGGUGGCCUACAGUAAUAUUUUCAGCUUCAAAGUUUUAUACUGUUGAAAAUAAAAUAAAUAUAAAUGUAUUAAUAUUAUUAUAUGUACACUUAUAUUUACACACAUUGCAAUAUUAAUUUGGAUUAUACAGAACUUUGGCCAUCAUCACUACACACCAGGUAUAUUUUGGACUGAGAUAGAUCCUACCUACAAGAAUUUACUAAUGUCAAAAAAGGCCCUUUUAAAAAUGAGUCUGGCACCCAGUUCAAGGACAAUGUUAAAGUGAGAGUCCAAUAUAUAUCUUAAUCUAAGUUAUUACUGAAUGUAAGUCAUGUGAUGGCUUCUAAUAAAAAUUUCCCAUUGAAAAAAAUCAAUGUUAAUAACUGGAACUCAAGAACUAUAAUGGGCUCUAUGUUUUUCUGGCUUAGAUUGUGUUCCUAUAAUAUGCUAAGAAGAAGAAUUGAUGACCUGUGAGCUAUGGUCACUUCCUGAUUUCAUUUGGUUCUUUGGUCUCUAGUUUUAAAAGGGUGAUCAGAGAGGUUGUGUUUUAAUGGAGAAGUUAAGCAAAAGAAUCAUCAACCUGGAGGCUUUUUGGCACAGCCUAACUCUCUCAAUGGAGAAGCACUUCAAUUGCCAAGUUAGGGUCUUGCAAGAAAACUGUUCCAGAGGACAUUUUUUUCUUUGAAGAAGCUGCUGUAAAAUCUUACACAAGAAACUGGCUGGAGCUACAGCCUAGAGAUUAUAAUGGAAUGACAAGUCUGGGGGCAUUACUUAUCUGGAUUCAGAAAUAGAUUUCACUGAAGAACCAGUUUCAUGCAUACAUACAACCAAGGAUGCCUGUCGGGUCUGCUGGCUGGGGUGGAAGAGAACAUCUAGAAAAUCCAUGUGAGAAGUGGAACUACUGGGAGUGGGCAGAAGAAUUUUAGAAGUUGCAGAGAUAAUGCAGAGAUGUUCUGUAAUGGAAACUUCCACUUGUGUUGAUAGUAGGUGUUCUAUAGCCAGGAUCCUUAAUUCAAGACUGCCCUCCCUAGUUGGUACAGUAGGUGUGAAACCUUCCUCAGACAAGUGGUACCAUUGUGGGCAUCAUCCGACAGAGUGACACCUUGUAAAUAUACCGUGGAGUCUUCAUACUCCAGGACACAAUCCCAUAGUGCUGUUUGCUCCAAAAUCCUUGCACACCCAACUAAUUUUCUUAUUACAUGUAAUAAGAAAUCAUACAUAAUACAUUCCUAACAUCUAUUUUUUUUUUCCUUUGGUGACCUUCAACAUGAAGAGAGUCAUAGGAAGACGAUUGAGUCAGGUGUUUUAUAUAGUCAUUACCAACCUGAAGUCUUAAAUUAUUCUCCACUUAGGGAAUAUCAAAUCUAUUUUCAGACAGAAAAACACAAUGGACACAAUUAUCCAUGUUUUAGGACUUAUUCCAAUCUUUAAAAAGUAACAGGCACAAGUAAAAGUACUUAACACUGACAUUGUUCGUCUACUUUUUAUUGUCAAAUGCAUGAAAAUAAUGUUACAAAAAGAGAUUUAGAGAAGUCCAUGGCAUGUCUUAUGGUCAAUGUUACUUCUUGGACUGUUUACUAUGGUUCAUCUAGCAUGUUCUUUUUUAGUUAUUUUGUUUUUCUUUCAUAGAAAUAAAAGAAGUAUUGAUUUUAUGUUAUGUGAGCACAGUUGUUGAUUUAUAUAAAAGUUUCUUAGAAAGUUAUGAUUUUUAUAUUUAUAGAAUGGCAGGAAUAGUAUAUAGAUAACACAUCAUAGUAACUUGGCAUUUAUAAUAUAUUAGUUUUCCAUAAACAUCAACUCAGAAAGGAAGGUUACAUUUUAUUUUGAUUACAAUAACAAUUUGAAAGCCAUCUGUUCUUUAAAAUUUUACUAAAAUAUAUAGUGGAACUGGUGUUUUAUAUGCCAAUCCUUUCUGAAGAGUGUUUUUAGAUUUUUCAAAUACUGCCACAGGCACCAUUUAAAUUGAGUACUGUGUGUAGGCUAGCAGAAGUUCAGGAAAUAUUAAAUAAGAAUAAAUUUGCCAAAGCAAUCCAUUGAAGGGUGAUUUGAAUCUGAAUUUUGACAUUGCUGAUACCAGAUAAAAAUGGUUAUGCAGUGAUUCAAGAGGACAAAGAUCUACAAAUUAGUGGCUAAAAGAAUGUGUACAUGUACACACACACACACACACACACACAUCACUAGGGUUGGUCUUUGGCAACAUUUUCCUACCCUGCUCCCUAAGCAAAUAACCAAGCAUGGCCUUUGCUUUUUUCUAUUAUUACCCAUCUUAUUCUUCAAUGUAAAGUUAUUAGCAAUGCUAAUGUAUGUUGGCAGAGGGUGGAGAUUUGUCCUGGACACCCCAAAUUCUCUGGAAAGGGUUUAUACUUUAAGAGAUUAACUGUAAUCAUUCAACUGGUGUUUUAAUGAUUUUCAAUUUGAAGAUGUUUAUUUGGAAUGAAUACAUGAGUUACUAUAUGCAGGAGAUCUCCUUUUCCUCUCAGUAUUCUUUUUGGAAUGCUUGAUGGACUAUAGUUAGACUUAAGGCUACAUUUCUGCUUACUAAUCUGUUGUUCAAAGCAUAGGCUCUGAAGUCUCUGUGUUUUGGCUCAAGUGACAACAAUGAUAGCUGCUAAUAAUAUGACUUGGGAAUUAUGUGUCUUUUCUCUAAGCCUCUGUUUUCUCAGCUAUGAAAUGGUGAUUUUUGAAAUUGCUUAGUUCAUAGUGAACUACAUGAGACAAGAAAUACAAGGUUUUUAGCACAGUAAGAUAGCCUGGAAUACAAAAAAUUUUCAAGGAAUAUUAUUAGUACUAACACUAUCACCGUCUGUCAUCAUUGAAUUGUUACACUUGAGCUUGGAGAUGUCAUUGCAGGCUUCUUGGACUGUUUGCUCUUUUAAAAUGAGGAGAAUGAUCCCCCACCCGUGCUCUGUCUCUAUCUCUCUCAAAAAUGAAUAAACAUUAAAAAAAUUAAAAUGAGGAGGAUGAGUUAGAUGGUCCUUCAAUUUCCCUUUAUUUCUGAUAUUGUGAGUAUGAAGUAAUACAAAAUGAAUAAUUAAAUACCCUUCUUUCUUGAUGUGGGAGAAAGGGAGAAGAAAAAGUUCUGGGUGCCUAGAUUUCCUUCCAAGUCUGCUAGAAUUAUAACUAUGUAGCAUUUUGAAUAGAGGGUUUAUUCUGGAAAUCUUUAAAUUUACUUGCCUUAACUGUAUACUUUGUCAACUUUGGAAAAAUUGGGAUUUGGGGUAAUCUUUGAGUGAAGUUUCCUUUGGAUACCUAUUUAAAUUGUAAUCUUGUAAUUUACUAAUUUGGGAUUUGGAGGUGUUUACCAUUCUUAUGCAUUAUCAUGUUGAAGUAAAUAUUUAUACAUAACAAAAAUAUAUGAUUUCAACAAUUUUAUAUUGCAUAGAAAAUGUAUAGUAUAUAGUAUUGAACCUAUUAUUUUGCAACUUGGCUAAUUUUGUUCAACUUUUUAUUUGUGACAUUUAUUCAUGUUGAUACAUGUGGUUUAGUUUAUUCAUUUUAGUUACUAUACAUCAUUCAGUUAUAAGAAUAAAAUCUAUUUGAUGGACACUUGAGCAUUUUAAUUUUUCACUAUUAGCCAGUGUGAAAACAAGCAUUCAAGUACAUUUUAUUUUGUGUGAUAUAUCAUAUUUUAUCUGAGUAUAUGAGAGUGCCUGGUUUAUAUACAGAUAUCUGAAAUUGGAAUUGCAAAUGUUUUGUGGCUUCUAUAAUGUUACUCUCAAUUUUAAGUAUAAAAGAUUAGUUUUGUGGACAUGAUUAAUCUCUUUAUGUAGUUAAAGUUACUGAUAUAACUAAUUAAAUUCAAAAUUCAAUAAUAUUUUAGGAGAUAUUUAGGUCAAAUUUACAUAAAUGUGUUGAAAAGUCAUUUUUGUAUGUGUGCAUGAAGAUGACAUGGUGUAUCUAUUUACCUCAAAUACCAAGUUAUAACUAGUGUCCAUGUACAAUUUUUUGCUGACUUAUUUCCAGUAGAUAUUUUGGUAAUACUUUUUAAGUAUUCACAGGUUUAAUGGCUUAUUUUUCAAAGUGCCAUUGGAAAAUAUCAUUUAGAUACAUGUUUGAACUAUGAGGCUGAGGAUGAACGAGUUCUCAUAUUAAUCAUCAUUAUGAGAAUCCCAAAGAGACACGUGAUUUUCAAAUAUAUUUCCAUCUGAGCAUGAUAGUUUUUAAAUACACAUUGCAUAUUAGAUAUGGGAUUUGAAUGGUAAUACAUUUUUAAGGUUGUAAUUUAUUAUACUUUUCACACCCAUCCCACUGAAUAUGCAGUUUAAAAUGCAAUGGCCAGAAGACAAGGAAGUGUUACCAGAAGGAUGUGGACGUGGACUCCGAAACUGCUAAUGAUGACCGUGAUCUUUUGGAGUCAGCAGGGGAAUGGUCAAGGUCAAGGUAGGCGAGAGCAUGUUUUAAUAUUUUGAGAGCUGGAUAUGAGUUUCACUUUACUUUGAAGUUAUGUGAAGCUUUAGUUUGAUGUUUUAAGUAUUUGUUGCAGUCUUUCUCCAAGGUUUUUGUUAAAGUGUGUUAUAAUACUUCCGAAUUAGUUAAGUUGAGCUAGAAUUAGGUGUGAGUUGUUGUUAUCACAUUUGAAGCGACUGCUAAAAAAUUGGCUUCAUUCUGUUGUAGUAGAUUUUAGAGAUACAGAAAUGUUUGUGUGUGUGUGUGUGUGUGUGUGCACAUAUGCAUGUGUGUGUAUGUGUAACUUUACAAGAAUGUAUUAAUUGAAGGUUUUAUACUUUUUAAGAGAAGUUUUUGGAUCUCUGUGCCUUUCCGUAAGUGGUUUUUGUUUUAAUUUUUAAAUUUCAAGAACAUAUUCUCUAAAGGGUGUGAUGUUCUUCAGAAAUUAAGUGAAAAAUUUGAUGUUUCUCAUUGCUUUGCCAAAUGUAUUUGGAAGAAAUUAACGGUGGAGCAGAGUCCUGAGGUUGUGGUGCCCUGAAGUGUCAUUCACAGAGUAAGAAAGGACCAUAGAAUUUCUAAUAAGGUUUUUCAGUGUACUGAUUUGACAGUAGCUGUGUGGAGUGGUUUAUGCCAAAACUAGUGUCUAUGAUAUGUGUUUUGUGAUAAAUGUUGUAUUAUUUUUGGAGGUGUGUUGCUGCUCAGACAGAAAUUGUAAUUUAAUGUUUUAUGUGAAAAAAGUCCUGACUCCCAUGACAUUCUUUUCCCUUGGAGGAGAAUCCAUUUUGACAUUGUUUCUACUUUUGUUAAGACUUGAAAUCUAUGAGUAGGAAAGGUAUACAGGCAGGUAUAUUACCCUAGAUGGAAUUGAAAGUGUAUAGUGGUGUUGUAUAAUUGGAGUAGAGUUGUUAAGCUUUUGUUAGUCCUUCGGUUUCCAAAAUAAUCAAUAAAUAUUGUGUAUAUGAAAGUAAAUUUAAUAAAUCUUUCAAAAAGAUGAUUCAAAAAGGACAUUGUUUGCUUACCAUAUGUAAUUGCAUUUAAUUAAUUUUUGAAGUGAAAUAGAAUGAUGGUAUUCAAAAAUAGAAAUGCGUGUAUGUGUCUUUGUGUGAUAAUAGUUAUAUACAUACAGACAGACAGACAAUAAGUUUUAAUAAUGAAAUAGGUUUUGAUUUUAGAGUGUUUCUUUUAUGCCAUUAAGAAUAUAAUUUAGUUCUCAUUUUGUUUUUAUUUUUUGAUAAAAAUAAUGGAAGGAAAUCGUAUUUAAUACACAUAGUAUUUUUUUUCACCAAAGAUCUAAAACAAGAAUGUGUAGGCAGCAGCUACAUCACAUUUCUGUUGGCUAAAAGAGUUGUUUAUUCCUCUGGCAAUGUGUCAGAUCACUAAAAUGCAGCAGGACAACUGUUUUUCUGCAAUAGUGAUCCAACAGUACAUUUAGUAUUACACAAGACUGCCAAAACCCUUUCAAAGGCGAUCAUUUCCAGGGAUUAUGGCUUUUCUUAAUGGGUAAUAGCUUAUUGGAUAUUUAAAAUGUUAGAGGAAAAGUAAGUAUCAUCUCUUUUAUUUGUUCAAGCCUUUUAUUCUUUCUUCAAUAUUGAUUGCUUAGAUAUUCUUUUUCUUGAUAGUGACCAUAAUGUGUAAAAAACACUCCCUGAAAUCAAUCCCAUGCUUAGCUAUACUGAAACUUGUGAUGAUAAAUGCAAGUUAAGUAAUUUAGUUUCUUUUUAAAAGAAUAAAUUAAAAUAGACAGUGAUUCAUGGGGCAAAACAACUUAAUAGAAAGCAUAAUGGAAUGCUUUAAUUUUAUGAUAAAGGGAUUUUUUGCUUCCUUUAGGUAGCUAGAUUAAAUGAAGGAAGUUUCAUAGGCAUCAUAAGAAAUCUUAUGAUUUCAAAUACAACCCAAGCAGCAUAGUAUCAUUUGGAUCAAUAAAGCUCAUUAAAUACUAUUUUUUUUCAUCUUUGGACAUGCAAUUACACAGAAUUUAAAGAUAAAAGUUUUAAAAUGAAAACUUUAUAUUACUGGAUAUAUUUUUAAAUAAAAAUUUCAUGGUACUUUACUAUUGGUAAGAAAUAAUACAGUAAAAUAUAUAAAUGAAGUUUUCUCUACAUUGAGUUUAUAGCUUUGUCUUAAACUUUGAUCUUUGGGACUUCCAGAGGUGUGAUAACACAUCAAUGAAGUAUGAUUCUUAUAGCAAAUAUGUGUGCAAAAAGUAAUAAAAUUAUUUUAACUUAAAGUUUCUUUAAGAGAUGAGAGCAAAACUACAUUGCAUUUACAUACAAGCUCUCCAUAUUUCUCAUUAGAUUAUAUGCUAAUGAUUUGUAAGCCAUUGGGAAACUUGGAUGUUCUUUCCCCAUGAAAGCCAUGUUAGAAAUAGUAAUUAAGUUGUGGGGACAGAAGACAAAAAUGUAUAUAUACUAGAAUGUACAUAAAGCAUCAUAAUCAGUAUUAAUUCAACUGUGUGCAAUCACCACUUACAACAAACAUGCCAUAGGAAAUGCAUCCUAAAUUCUAAGUAAGAAUGUUGGCUGGUGAUCUCUCUAGGGGCAUCAUGUUCAGGUAAGAAGGAAGGAGUGGAGUAUGGGCUCCAGUCAGGUAGUUGUCCCUUUUCAAGUUUUCAUAUCUCUCAAGAAAAGCAUCUGCUUGACUCAUCUGUUUUCCUGACUUCUGACUUACAGAAUAAUCGGUGCAUAUCCUUGGAGUAGCAUUUCCUGUCUUGCACUCUGCCCUCUUCUAUGCUACUCAGGUGGUUCUUGCAUUAGAAACUCCUUAGUAAAUGAAAAUAAAGCCAAUCCUUAAGAUAAAGUGGAAUUUAUGUGAUUUUUAAAAAAGAAAAUGAAGCAAGUAACAUAAUUGUUCAGGUUUAUUUUGUCUUUAAAAGAACUAUCACAGAUGUUAGUACUAGAAAUUGAGUGUCAGGUAUGUGGGAGCUUUAUGAACUAUCUUUAUAAAUUUUCUGUAAAUCUAAAACUAUUCUAAAAUAAAAUGUUUAUUAAAAAAUUAAAAAAAAAACACUACCACAGAUAGUUGUGAACAUACACAUUUCCAAACACACUACAUUUACUUUUAGGGACAAUCUAGAUAAAACUGAACUGACAUCUAAUAUGUAUAGGUAUAAAACAUAACAGUUUUGGCCAUGGGAAAGCUGACUGCCCAGAGGGACUGUACAGAAACAUCAGGGAGCCCAACUUAUUUACAGAAUUCUAGGAGGUAUAGGCAGCAGUUACUGUGUUUAGAGCUAAGAAAUUAAUUCUGAGCUCAACAAUUUAGUUUCUUUCUUUCUACAACAAUAUGUUCAAGUAAUGAUAUGAGAUGUAUAUUAAGGUAAAGGUGUAAUUUAUAUAAAAAUUUAAUAAAAGUCAGCCACUGAGAUGCAUGCGAAUAUAAAGGCAGGAUGAAGCAGUUUGGAAUUCUUGUUGAAAGUAAAGAUAUGAUUAACAAGGUGAAUUCUUGUUAAAAGUAAAGAUAUGAUUUUGACUUUAAAAACAAAACAUUCAGAAAUAUUGUUUGACAGACCUUAAAAAUAUAUUCCUAUCUUAAUGGCUUUAAUAAAGGAGUGCUAUUUUUUCUGGUACAUAAUAAGAAUAAUAAUAAGAAGAAUGGAGUGUGUAUGCCACUCUGUUUCCAAAAACAAGUUUGUCAUAGUUUUUGAAUUAGUGCCAUUUUCCUGAUUUUUGUAAGCAAUAUAGGUUUUAAAUAUAGUAAUAUUUUAUUAUCAUGAAUAUACAGAGCAUUUUAAUCAAUUUAGUUUCCAUGAUUAUUUAUAUGCUGAAAUUCCAUCUCUGAUACUAUAUGUAAGAAAGUUUGAAAUUUUGAAGAAGCCAGUGGAGAUCAUGUAGCAAACUUAAACUUUGAGGGCAAAUUGAUUUCUGUUUCUUUCAUGACCAGAUUUUGGGUGAGACAUUAAGCAUUCAAAAAAAUCUGAUAACAUUCAGCAAUUAUGAUUUUUAGUUUCAUGAUCUCCCUUGUAAAAUGCUAUUUGAGAUACAGGGCAAAAUUUUAAAAAAUAAAUCAUUUGGUUGUCCUAUUUUGCAAGUUGUUAAGGAUGGAUGGGUAGAUGGAUAGGUGGAUGGAGGGAUAGAUAAAGAGUUUUCUCUCCCAUCUCUUUUUCUUUUUCCCUCUCUCCAUUGAAAUCUUUUCCAUGUGUGCCAAAGGCAUUAUUUUUCCCCUCAUUUUUUUGUUUCAUUCAUAAAAAGAAAUUUAAGUGAUUGUAUACUUCUGUCAGUAAAUGAAGAUAGUAUCCAUUUUUGAGUGAAGAUUUAUAGCUACUGCUUUUCAAUUAGAGUAUAUCAGAUCAUAUGAUCUAUGAGUUUUAAUAUCUUAGAAUCAUUAUGAGUGAGAAAUAAUCACCUUGAAGGACCUUAAUGCCACCAGAGUUUAUGUUUUUCCAGGUUGCUUAGAUAAAUUGUUCUCAUCUUAUAAUUGAAUACUGUUUUAAGAGAAGUGAGCUCAAACAUUUGGCAGUCAGUAUUGAAUGAUGAUUAGUUGUGUAUGCCAGGAGACCUGACCUUAAAAUAUCAUCAAGCUAAGUAGUGGUGAAAUUGAACUCUGCUAUCCAAUAGAAAGCUUAAUGUUUUUGGCAUUCCUUAUCAAAUGUAAAGAGUUUUCCUUUGUGCUAGUUAAGAAUAUAUAUGUGUGUAUGUGUAUAAGUUGGUCUGUAGCAGAAUUAUUUAUGUCCAGUUUUAGUUUUUGAUUUAAACUUCUUAAUAUAUAAAUGCAAAUCCAAUACUUAAAACUCCCAUAAAUACCCACCCCAACAACAUUUAAAUUCUAACAGCUUCUUGAAAUUAACAACAACAAAAAGCUAGCCAUUCUUAGACAUUACAUGCUUUUGACAUGCUUUAGCCAUGCUUAGACAUUACACCUUUCCCGAGAUUAAAAAUUCAUAUCAUAUGGUAAACAAAGUAGUUAUUUAAGAACACAAAUGGAUUUACUUGAAAGAGAAUAACAUUUAUUGAGAUUUUGCCCUCAAAAUUAAGAUUUCUGAGAAAACUAUGCAUUUUAAAUUCUUUCCAGACAUCUGAAGGUUAUAUUCCUAAAAGAUGUCAAUGCAUGUUCUUUUAUGCAAUCUGCUUGGGAGCCUGUGAAGUAAGGAAGGUGAUGCCAUAAAUAUCUAAUUAUAAAGACUUGUUGUGGAAUGCUCUCUUAAAAAUAUACUUUUUUUGUACAUAAAGGGAUUUCUCUUCACAACUUAGAUUUGAUUGUUUAAAAUGAAAUCAUUGUAUGGUAUUUUGUUACAGUGUUUUAAGGUGAUUUCCUAAUCAUCAAAGCCAUUGCCAUAGGAAAAAAAUAGGGUUUAGUUGUAGAAUAUUUCAUUUUUAUGGGAGAAGAACAUGGUAAUUGAUACCACUUUCUCCUAAAAUUAUAUAGUAUUAUCUAAUCUUUAGGUGGCAUUCAUUCACAAUAUUCUACAAAAUACCCUAAUCAUGCACCGUAAUAAAGUGUGGGUUUUAUUUGCCAUUUAUUUUAUUUAAUUUGUUUUGUAAGGAAAAUCUCAUUUUAUUUUUUUAUUUAUUUUUUUUUUCAACGUUUAUUUAUUUUUGGGACAGAGAGAGACAGAGCAUGAACGGGCGAGGGGCAGAGAGAGAGGGAGACACAGAAUCGGAAACAGGCUCCAGGCUCUGAGCCAUCAGCCCAGAGCCUGACGCGGGGCUCGAACUCACGGAACGCGAGAUCGUGACCUGGCUGAAGUCGGACGCUUAACCGACUGCGCCACCCAGGCGCCCCAGGAAAAUCUCAUUUUAAUGAGGGUUCUCCUAAUCUCUAAAAACUGAAUGUAUUUAGGAAAAAAUAUUUUAAACACUGUUCCAAGUGAUCUUAGCAUUUUUUAUUGAGCUUUAAUGCUCUGUUUUUACGUGUUUGGGGACUGUGAGGGCACUUGGUUUAGAAUUAAAAUUUAAUUUGGAGAUUUUUGUUGUGUUUGGAAUUUGUUAUGGAAUUUAACUUCAAGAAAAUGUAGGUUUAUUGGACAUUAUCUUCUAUGGGAUAUACUAGCCUCAUUUCUCUUCCCAGCCACGUGUGCGUGCAUGUGUGUGCAUGUGUGUGUGGGUGGGUGUGUUAAAUUUAGAAUAAAGAGGCCAUAAUAGCUGAAGAUAUAGAAAGAGGAAUAGAAAUGGUAUACAUAGGGGAAAAAAAAGAGAAGAAGUGAUAGAAGCAGGUAUUAGAAAUAUAUAAAGUAAGAUAUUCUGAAAUGUGCUAAUAAAAUUAAAAUAUGUGAAUUAAAAAUUAAUUUCAGUGAAAUUUUAGUGGUACUUUACCUACCAAAAAAUAGAAAUAAAGUAGUAAGUAACUGAUUAAUCUGGCUCCUUCCUCGGGAAGGCACUUAGCCUACUCCACCUAACUUUAUAGUCUCAUGGUAUGAAGUGUUAAAUUGUGCUUUUAAUGCAAGUUAAGUUUGUGUGUGUGUGUGUGUGUGUGUGUGUGUGUGUGUGUGUGUGUGUGUGUGCGCGCAAACUCCAGAACAAACAAAUUAAAGAGCCUAGACAGUGGAGUCAAGAAAUGCAAAAUAGUCACAUGUAUGAGACUGUAUGUCCUGGUCUUUGGCAGAAAUUACUGCUUACUCUUAAUUCUGUUUGUUUCUUUCUACCUCUUCAACCUAUAAUACCAUAUAUACCUCAGCACUUGAAAAUCAUUUCUCUGUCACUUAUUAUGUUUCCUUUAAAAGCUCAUGAAUUACACAUGAUUUUCAGAGUUGCCAACUUAGAUUUCAAGAGACUUCAAAAAAAUUAGUCUGGCACCUUUCCAUUAUGAAGGCUGUACACAAUGUUCACAAGCUAGUGCUGGUCUUUAACGGACAUGUGCCUCAUACAUCAACAACUUUCUUCCCUUACUUUUUCUCAAAAGUUAGGAAGCACUGAGAUUUCUAUUUGGUCAUGUCACAUAUUGAUCUAUUUAUUAACCAUAGUUUUAUCAAAGCGUAAACUAUUUUUGGUUUUUAUAGUUAAUUGUGUGUGACAUAGUAAUUGAGAUGCAAUGUGUACUAUGCUUUUGUUCUUAUGAUGAUUUUUUUAAACUUAUUUUUCCUGCAGUAACUUCUAAUUCUCAUUUUCUAGAUCUUCCUUUCUCUUUUUUCUUUAGCUGCCUUUCUUCCUUUUGUCCCUUAACUCAGAUAUCCCCUGCUCUGUCUCUGCCCAGAUUCCACACUAUUUUUUUUGAUGUUGUUCUCUAUAGUUUUCAUAGGUCCCCAUAACAACCCUAUCAAUAUUUCUCAAUAUGCGCUAUAAUUGUUCAUUUGUGUCUUUUCCUUAUUUAUAAGCUCCUUGAUGGCUCAGACUAUAUAGGUAUCUACUCAACAGAAGCUUAUAAAGGAUUUACCUUGAUCCAGGAACUAUUCUGGAUGCUAGUGAUAAAAUAGUUAAGAAAAUUGACAAGCAGUCCUGCUAUCUGGAGCUUGCAUUCCCUCCAUGGAGGGAGAGGGAUGACAGACAAUGAGCAACAUAAAUAUGUUAAGUAUGGUCGGGUUGAUGGUGAAAAAGAAUGCAGUGAUGGGGAGCAGGGAAUCCUGAGAAGUCAGUUUUUAAUUGGAUAGUCUGGAAUGACCUCAUGAAGAAGAUGGCGAUUGAAAGCCCAAGGUAGUUAGGGCCUGAGCCACACAGAGCAGUAAGUGUGUAAAUCAUGAACAAGGUCAUGCCUGGCGUUUUUUAGAACAGCAAAGAAACGAAUGUGUCUAGAGCAAAGCACAUGUGGUGGGGUGGUAGGAGAUCUGAGAGGUAACAGAACAGAGAGGAAGGGAUAUAGACUAUGUAGAGUCUCACUUGCCAUUUUAAUGACUGGCUUUUGUUUGGAGUGAAGUGGGAAGCUAUUGAAGGAUUUUUAAAUUUCUUUUUGGUAAUUCAUUUUGACUUUUCAGAUUAUACAGUGGUCGCUACUUAAGACUCAAUAAUUUUGCUUUAUUAUUCUUGCAGUCAAGUACAAACUAGUGUAUUAAAGUAAUGUUAAAUUCUAAUUUAAAUUGAUUAAAACAGGCUUUUAUCUCUUUCUCUUUUCCAUUACUGAAUAUCUUGUUUUUAAUUAAUUUGAAAGCUUUCUAGAAUAGUGAGCCAAUGAAAAUUUAGCAUAAUGUAUAACUUAUUCUUCAUUAGAUUUAGGUACUUAAUUGAAGAUGCUAAUUAGAAAAGACAUUUGUUCUGUUGGAAGAUGUUGAUAAAACUGCUCCUGAAUUACUAUCACAUAAAUUGAUACCAUAUUAAGUUGUAUUUCUGGAAUCUAAAUGUAGACAGUGAUAAUAAGUUUUGGCUCUAAGUAGAUGUCUUUCAUCUCUAUGGUCAAGGAUGCUUAAAAGUGAAAAAAACUUACUGCAUUCAAAUCUGGGAACCAGGAAUAACCGGAAGUGCUUUUGUUUAUUUGUUUCUUGGUGGAAUUGUCUUCCUGGUAAUGAUGUGUCUACUUAUACCAAACAAACAUUUACUGUAUUCUGUCUUACCUUCUGGUUUUCUUGCCAAAAUUGUGUUUGCUUGUUUUUUUUUGAGGAAAUUAAGCUUCACAAUAUAAUGGGGAAAUUCUGAGGCCACAGAAUAAUAUAAAAUUUAAAGAUGAGUAGAAAGCCAGAAGAUAAAUAAGAGAGAAGAGUACAGAGGGGUAGAAGAGAAAUAGUGUAAAAAAAUUAGUCAAAAAGAUUAAUAUAUGCAUAGUGGUCAACAAGGCAAUCAGAAUAGAGUACCUACUACAUGCCAGGCACUGGGGAUAUAGCAAUGAAGGCAGAGACUCAAGUGGUUUUAUAACCACAACAUUAUUGUAGUAGAAAGGGACAGGGAAAAAGGCACCCAAAUAUGCAGUCUAAUCAAUGUUAUGGAGGGCUAUGAAGUACACUGCUAUGAAGAAGAUGAAAUGUGAUGGUGUAGUUGAGUACUACUGGCAUGUGGAGAGGCAGUGAUUCAGCUAUGGGAAGGUCAGAGAAUUUUCUCUUUGAGGAGGUGAUGCUUCAUUUGAGAUUGGAAUGAAAAGACAAACUCAUGUACUUCGCUGACCCCAGGUAUUCCAAUCAGAAGGAAUAGCAAAUAUAAAAGUUCUAGAACAGAAAUCAGCCUAAUAGUUUUGUGUAGCGCUGGCCGGUUUGGCUGGAAUAAAGGAAGGGUAUGGGAGAGACAUGAGAUUAAGAGCUGUAAGGGAUGAGGAUUUUGUAGUCAAUGUUGAGAUAGAAAACAAAUCAAUUGAAAGAUUUAAUAUAGAUGGUGAUACGAUUAGAUUUACUCUUAACACUGCUCCUUCCACCUAUAGUAUGAAAGGUAUAUUAUUGGUGAGGAAUACAGUGGUGGGGGAACAGGGAUUAUUUAGUUGACCAUUACACUUGUUCAGGGGAAGGAUGAUGGCGGUUGGGAUUGGGAUUGUAACAAUUAUGUUGCCUAAAGUUGUAGCAAUAAAGUUGUAAAAUUGGUUGAAUUUUGAAGUUGUUUUUAAGAUAGACCCAGUGGAACUUACUGAUCAAAAAUUACAUCAAGCAUUUAAAUGUAGAUACAUGGUUACAAUCUUUUAUUGAGAUUGGGGAGGUUUGAUAACAUGGGAUAGACUCUAAGUGACAGAUGUGUACAUGGAGUCAUGCAUGUUAUUUAUUUUACCUUUCCCCCCUACAUUAAAUUGAGGUGUAUUUUAGAAUUCAAAUGAAUAUAUCCAGUAGACAACAAGAAGAUGACUUGGAUAGAGAUGUGAGUAUGAAAAUCAUAGGCCUAUAGAUCGUGUUUAAUGUCAUGUAUCUAGGUCAAGCAUUGAUAAACUACUGCCCAUGAACCAAAUCCGUUCUGCUGCCUGAUUUGGCAUGGACUAUAAAUAUUUUUUUACAUUUUUAAAUGUAAAAUAUAAACUAUACAAAAGAAAGACUGUCUUGUGAUAAGGACAGUUGCUCAGUUUUUACUCUUGGCUCACAAAGCCUAUCUUGUUUACUUUCUGUUCUUUACAAAACAUUUUGCUGAUUUUUGGUGUAGAUGAAACUGUAGAAAGAGCAUUAAUAAGCAAGAGGACAUAAUUGUGGAAAUUAAAAUUAUGCCAAGUACAGCGUACACUGUGGAAAAUUUAAGUGUGGGUAUAAUAGAUGGUAAGACUUUAAAACAACAAUUUCAUUAUCAGCAUGAUCAAUGAAGACUUUUGUGGCAAAAAGAAAGUAUCAUCAUCAGACCAUUCAAUGGAUCAUACAAGAUGUGUUCUGUGUUCUGUGUCUGAGGAACUAAGAGAAGGCUAAUACAGUUUGAACAAAGAAAGCAAAUAGGAGGAUGAUGUCAGGUCUGUCUGGAUAUUUAAGGUAGGGCCAAAUACUUCAGUCUAUUUAAAGUGAGUAUUAGAGAAAGAAGAAGUCAUUAAAGCAUUCUGAAGGGGGAAGAGCAAAUCAUAGAUGAGGAAAGAGACUACUUUGGGCAUAUGCACAGCCAGAAUGAAAGGAAUCCAAUAUGGAUGAGAGAUUAACAUUGUCCAUUGGUAUUAAUGAAGUGAAGACCCCAAGUAACCUUGGCAAAGGGAAGUUUGUACAAAGUGAUAAAGGAGUGAAUGGGAUCAGGACCUAGGUGUUAGUUUUAGUGAAAUUUUAUUAAUCUUCUCACUAUGUAAAAUAGGUUGUCAAAAUAAGGAACACCCGUGUUUGUGUGUGUGUGUUUUCUAAUUUAGAUUUGUGAAUUCAAGUCCUGAAGAUUGUGGUUUAAUAAGUAUAGAGUAAGCCAUUAUUUUUCUUUUUUCUUUUUAACUCUCCUGAUGAAUAGAAUGGCAAUCAUGACUCUGAUGAUACUGAAACAUUUUUCUGACACUUUGACUUUUUUAUACCUUCAUUAUUUAUGCACAUCCAGGAGGUUUUGCCCAAACCCCAUGCAAAUCUAUAAUUCAGUGCAGCUAAAAUAUGUUCUUCUGUCUGGUUUCCAUGGUUCUUCACAUAGAGUAUGGCUUUCCCUGCUGGGGCCCUCCAUGUAGCACCCCUUGUUGUAUGAUAAUUACCAUACUGAUCUAUCACCCUUACUAGAGUGUGGCCUCUCAAUGAGGCCUGAAAUUUCAUACUGUUCUUCUGAGAUAUAAUAAUAUUUAUACUCAAAUAAUUAAACAAGUUCUUCUAUUUUGAAAAUAACAUGUUUUCUAAUUUGAAUCUCAAUUUAUCCAUUAUACUGCUUAACUACUAAGUUAUGUUAUGAAAAUAAAUUUUAACUCUCUACAAAUACCUUCAGAUAUAACGCUUACCAUUUAAGAUUAAUGUGUGCUCAACAUCUAUAAGGAUAUUUCUUUCCAUAUAGUAUUUAUAGCCUCUAUUGUUAUUCUUAAAAUGAUUAAUGUUUAGUUUGGAAUAGUUCAACAUGAGGAUUGGAAUGAGAAAUAAUUUACACAGUGAUAGUCUUUUUUAAUUUUUAUAUUUAAAAUACUAAUUAUCAAAAGAAAAAAAACUAGUGUCUUGUAUUUGUUUCUACUUGCCUUCUGGAUUGAUUUCAAGUCAUAUUUUACAGCUUGGUGUGUCAAUUUAUAUUUUGCUGAAAUAAUAGCACUGUCUUGGGAUCCUUUUUUUCCUUAAUAUCUUUGUGCCAUUCACCAUGUAUGCCUAUUCCUUACUUCUCUUUCUUUGAUAUGUUUGGUGAGUCUUCUGUUUUGGGUUCUGUUGAUUUAUAAUAGCUACUUUUCUUGGAUAUACAUAGAUAUUCUUUCCCAUUUUGCUUAUGAAUUUGCCUGAGAAGAAUUUGUAUAUUCCUUUUACCCAUAGCUCCUCAGAAGUCACUUUUGAUGAUACUGAUUUUACAUGUCACCUAAUAUAAAGCUUCAAAGGCAUGAUGUUGAUGACUUAUGCUUUGACCUAGAUUGAAAUGUUGACUCAACAUGGACUGAUGGAAAGUGUUUCUUUUCUUUUGUUAAAAGUUACAUCACCUUAAAAACAAACAAACAGAAAUGAAGAUUUAGUUUUGGUGUCCUUGGUUGAAGUGUUCCCUUUCUCAACAAAAUAGGUUUUGUCAUCUAACUUUUGGUGUCAAUGUUGAACACAUAGGGUACUGGAAAACACGCUGUGACAAACCACUGGAAAAAAAAAAUUCUGGUUUUUCUUCACAUUCCAGAGCUAAUGCUUCUGAAAGCUAUUUAAAUUCAUUACAAAUUAUAUUUGUUAUUGCUAUAGUUAUUGUUGAAGUUGAACUUUCAUUUGUAAUCUGAAUUUUAUGUAUAAUGUGUUCUCAUGUUUAAUCAUUUUUAUAGGCUAAAUCAUUUGUAAACAGACAUAAGCAAAUUGUAAACAAAUAACUUGUCCUUGAGAAAGAGUUUCAGAGUGAAGGUACAUGAUGUAUCAGGUAGGAUCUAUGUCAGUAGCUUUAUCCAUGUAUAUGGAGGUGUGUGUGUGUGUGUGUGUGUGUGUGUGUGUGCAUGUGCGUGCGUGUGUACUGUGUAUCACCCAAUUUCAUCAAAAAGAUUAUUUGACAAAAUUGAUAUACAAUCUCUAAAUCAUAGUGUCUGCAUUCAGUCAUCCCUCCCCAAAUUAAAAAUUUUAUCCUAAGAUUAGUAGUCCCUUUGUAAAACUAGACAUUCUCAUUUGUGCAAAGAAUGGAAAAAAAAUAAGACAAAUAAUGGAUUCAAGAAACAAUUAGAGGCCAGAUUCCUCUUGCAGAAGUCUAGUUCAUUUCUUCCUUCAUUGUCCUCCCCACAUACCUAAAUCUCAACAUUUAAACAUUUUAUUUCAGAACACAUAUAAGGAGAAAACAUGUUAGCUAUGCUAAAGAACUAAAGUAUUACAAUGCACAGUGAUAUAUCUAUCCUAAUAAGUAAAUAUGAGUAAAGGAUAAAGAUUCAAAUAGAAUAUGAAAUUGUAGGGGCACCUGGGUGGCUCAGUCAGUUGGGUGUCUGACUUCAGCUCAGGUCAUGCUCUCACGGUCUGUGAGUUAGAUCCCCAUGUCGGGCUCUGUGCUGACAGUUCAGAGCCUGGAGCCUUUUCAGAUUCUGUGUCUCCCUCACUCUCUGCCCCACCCCCACUCACGCUCUGUCUCUGUCUCUCCAAAAUGAAUAAACAUUAAAAAAAAUUAGUACAUGAAAUUGUGUUUAUGAUGUAGUUCUAUUCCAAUGUGUUUUCUGGAUUGGCUAAGAGCAUGUUAAUGACAUAUCUUAUGGGAGACAUACCAAAUUUAGUCUGUGGGCUCAUAGUUGGUGGGCCCCUCUCUAUAUCAUCAAAUUUCCACUUUUUUCUAAAUGUAAUAUAUUAGAAAUCAGUGUGCCUCUAGCAGUUGAAAUUGGACUUACUUUUGAACUUUGGAAUGCAGGGAGAUGACAUCUCAUUUAAACAAGUUAUACACUAUUUCUGACAUUAAAAACACAAGGAAACUACUUACUUAAAGGGCCUUUCUUAAGUUUUUAAUGCAAUUACUCACGUAUAGUGGAAAGAAACGAUUUCCCUUUCCACUUGCCUUUUUAUGCAAUAAAAAGUUCAAAUCCUAUCUUUUCCCCUGAAUAAUUGCUGAUACUUCUGUCCUUUGUGUGCAUUUUGCAGCUUUUCUUCAGUAACUGUAGUGGUUCGGUCUCAGUGUAUUUUACUUUUUCAAGCAAAGUAAAAUACUAACUUUAGCUAAUAUUUGUAUUAAGCUGAAGUGCAAGAUAAUAUGAAAAAAGAGGAAAAGGAAACACAAUAAAUUGACCUUUUGGUAACUGUAAAGGACAGCAGAUGAAACACAAAUUUUCAGAUUUGACGGUAAGUCCACAGAGUCCUAAAAAUAGGUCUUAAUCCGAAAUUGCAAUGCCUCACAAAUGCUGUCAUAAUAUGGAGUUUGUUGAAGAAAGUGGUUAAUGUAUCCCUCAACUUGUUUCUCUUUGUAUGAAACUAUGUUUAAAUCCAUUAUAAAACGAGCUAUUCAGUUCUAAAGAGAAGAUUCUGACUUUGGAGUGAAAGUUUUUUUACUACAAUCAUUAAAGUAAAUUUCUCUAGAUAUUUGAUUUUAUUCUGCUUUACAGCAUAAAGAGUGAAAUCAUAAUGAAAAAGAAUCUAGAAAAGCAGUAUAGGCACAAUUGUCAGUCACUUUUCCAACUUGUGUCCGUUUGUUCAAUUAAGUGACAUCCAUUCUCUGCCCUGCUUGAUUUAAUAGACUUAAGCAGUUCAGGUUUACAGAAAAAAAAAUUGAGUGAAAAAGACAACAUUCUAGCUACUCCUUCACAUCCUAAUUUUUCUUAGUUUUAACAUUUUUCAUUAGUGUGGUAAAUUUGUUAAUAAUUGAUAAUCCGGUAUUAUGCAUUAUUAGUAACUAAAGUUUGUAGUUUAUAUUAGGGAUCACUCUUGUGUUUUAUAUUCUAUGGGCUUGGCCUAAUAUAUGAUGACAUGUAUUCAUCAUUACAGUAUCAUAUAGAAUAAUUUUCACUGCCCUAAAAAUUCUCUGUGUUCCAUCUAUUCAUGCCUUCAUCCCUUGGCCCUCAAUCCUUGUCAACCACUGUUUUACUGUCUUCAUAGUUUUGCCUUCUCCAAAAUGUCAUACAGUUGAAAUCACAGAGUAGUUAGGUAUGUAGUUUUUCUAGAUUAGCUUCUUCCAGUUAGUAAUCUGCAUUUAAGUCCCCUUCAUCUCUUUCCAUGGCUUAAUAGCUCAUUUCUUUUAGUGCUGAAUAACAUUCCAUUAUCUGGAUGUACAACUUUUUGUUGAUCCAUUUGCUUAUGAAGGACAUCUUGGUUGCUUCCAAGUUUAGGCCAUGAUGAGUAAAGCUGCUAUAAACAUUUAUUGGCAUAUUUUUGUGUAGAUGUAUGUUUUUAACUCAUUUAACUAAAUACCAAGGAGUGUGAUUGCUGGAUCAUAUGGUAAGAGUAUGUUUAGUUUUGUAAGAAAUGGCCAACCUGUCUUCCAAAGUGGCUGUACCAUUUUGCCUUCCCACUGGCAAUGGAUGAGAAUUCCUGUUUCCCUGCAACUUUGUCAUCAUUUGGCAUUGUCAGUGUUCUGGAUUUUGGUCCCUCUAAUAGAUGUCUCAUUAUUGUUUUAACUUGAGUUUCUUGAUGACAUACCAUAGUGUCUCAUUUAUGCAAUAGAAUCUCAUUGUUUUACUUUGCAUUUCUUGAUGACAUAUGAUGUUGAACAUCUGUUCGAUAUAUUUACUUGUCAUCUGUGUAUCUUAUUGGUAAGGUGGCUCUUCGGGCCUUUGCCUAUUUAAAAAACAUUUUUUUUUGCAUUUUUAAAGUUCUUUGUGUAUUUUACAUACUGGACCUUUCUAUUUGAAAUUUACUUUAAAAAAUUAUUUGAGUGGGGCGCCUGGAUGGCGCAGUCGGUUAAGUGUCCGACUUCAGCCAGGUCACGAUCUCGUGGUCUGUGAGUUCGAGCCCCGCGUCAGGCUCUGGGCUGAUGGCUCAGAGCCUGGAGCCUGUUUCCGAUUCUGUGUCUCCCUCUCUCUCUGCCCCUCCCCCGUUCAUGCUCUGUCUCUCUCUGUCCCAGAAAUAAAUAAACGUUGAAAAAAAAAAUUUAAAAAAAAAAUUAUUUGAGUGUAGUUGACACAGUGUCACAUUAGCUUCAUGUGGAUAGCACAGUGAUUUAAGAUCUCUAUAUGUUAUGCUGUGUUCACCACAAGUGUGGCUACCAUCUGUCACCAUACAAUGCUAUUACAAUAUCAUUGACUAUCUUCUCUAUGCUUUGGCUUUUGUUCCCAUGAUUUUUUUCAUUCCAUGACUUGAAGCCUGUAUUUCCCGCUCCCCUUCACACAUUUUUCUCAUCCCCCAUUCCCCUUCCCUAUGGCAACCAUGAGUUCUGUGUAUUUAUAGGUCUGAUUCUACUUUUUGUUUGUUUAUUCAUUUGUUUUGUUUUUAGAUUCUACAUAUGAGUCAAAUCAUAUGGUAUUUGUCUUUUUCAUUCUGACUUUUUUCACUUAGCAUAAUACCACUUAGCUGCAUCCAUGUUGUUGCUAAUGGCAAUAUCUCAUUUUUCUUUAUAGCUGCAUAAUAUUCUGUGUGUGUGUGUGUGUGUGUGUGUGUGUGUGUGUGUGUGUAUCAAAUCAUCUUUAUCCAUUCAUCUAUCGAUGGGCAGUUAGGUUGCUUCCAUGGCUUGGCUAUUUGAGUAAAAUUGCAAUAAACAUAGGCUCACAUAUAUCCUUUCAAAUUAGUGUUUUUGUUUUCUUUGGGUAAAUACUUAGUAGUGGAGGUAAUGAAUCAUAUGGAUUUUCUAUUUUUAAUUUUUUGGUUACUGUCCAUACUGUUUUCUACAGUGGCUCUACCAUUUUACAAUCCCACUAAUAGUGAACAGAGAGUUCUUUUCUCUCCACCUACUCAUCAACAUUUGUUAUUUCCUUUUUUAUUUUAACCAUUCUUACAGGUGUAAGAUGAUAUCUUACUGUGGUUUUGAUUCACGUUUUCCUUAUGACUAGUGAUGUUGAGCAUCUUUUCAUGUGUUUAUUGGCUAUCUGUACGUUUUCUUUGGAAAAAAUUCUAUGCAGAUCCACUGCCAAUUUUGUAUUUGGAUUGGUUGUAGACUUUUUGUUUGUUUGUUUGUUUGUUUAUUAUUACUUGUUGUUUUGGUGUUGAAUUGUAUAGAUACAAGGCCUUUAUCUGAUAUGUGUUUUGAAAGACUUUCUCUUAGUAUGUGCCUUUUAUUUUUUCUAUAUAGUUUUAUUGAGAAAAAAUUAACAUGCAUCACUGAAAAGUUUAAGGCAUACAACAUAAUAGCUUUAUUUACAAACAUGGCAAAAUGAUUAUUGCAAUAGGUUCAGCUAUUUUCAUUUUCCUAAGUGUCUUUUGUGAAACAGAAUUUUUUCCUUUUGAUAAUGAUAAUUUAUCAAUUUUUUCUUUGAAAAAUAUCUGUCUGGAAGUGUAGCAAGAUUUCUACCAUUUAAGAUAACUUAACAUUCACACAAACAUAAUGUAGACCUUCUUGAAAUAGUCAUAGCUCUCACACCAAAAAAUACAAAAUGAAAAUAAAAACAAAGACUCUGAUCCUGAUUCUGUUAGUUUUUUUUUUUCUUCAAUUCAAGAACAUUACUUGAAUUGAAUUACUUGAAUUACUUGAGCAGGAUAAGCAAUGUUUAUAUAACAUAAUUUUUAAAGAAAUGCCUUAUGACAAUAUCAAAUCACCUUGAUUCUGAUCUACAUUAUUGUUAUUAAACCAGUUGCAAUUAGACAUAAAUGAGAAACAUUUUGUAGUAUAUUUUAUUUGAUCAGGUAUAUAUUUGAGCUUUUUCACUUUUCCCUUGCGGUUUUUCUGUUAUGAUCAGUGUUAUUAUUUACAUGGACUUGUUAAUAUCAAGCACUUUUAUAAAUAAACUUAUUUUCCUCAAACCCUAGAGAUAUCCUUCUCUAUUCAUGCAGCCAACAUAAAAGAAGCAUGUCAAGAGGAAAUCAUGUGCCAUAUGAUUUGCUAGAUUGAAGUAUUAAGUUUAUUUAUUAUGUCUGAUCUUCUUUCUGUGGUCAUUGCUCUAUUUGAUACAUGUAAGUUUUCUCUUCUUCAGGCCUCUCCUGCCCUCUGACAUUCAGAAAUGCUAGAUAGAUACAAUACUUAUCAUACCCCUUAGUGCUGCCAGGCCCAGGGUAGGAUGUGGAGAGAGAGUGCUUGUAUCUUCAUUAUGCAGGACACAGGGCAGAAGCAUAAAAAAGGCUGGGCUGCCAAUGUGUCUCCUCUUUCCCCCCAAAUAAUCUAUCCCUUCAACUCCUCCCGCUUAAAGAACCAGAUUCAUGAUUCACCUACAUCAAAAAUAUUAUAUUAAGGACAAGGGAAAAACCUGUGUUAAUGUUCCCAUUUUCUCCUUAAACUUGCUUUAUCAUAAAUGUUCCCAAACUACUGUUAUCCCCAGCCCGAAUACCGUUUUCUAAGAAAAAAAAAAAAAAAAAAGAUAAAUUUAGGAAGAGGUGUGUACUAUAUCUCUGUUUUAAAGUUCAUCAUUUGCUGUGGAUAGUUAUGCUCCAAGAAAAAAAUUUAAAAAAGGAAUUUAAUACUUAUACUUGGUAUUUUCCAAAUGUUUAUGAGGAAAAUUGCAGAGUUAAUAUUCCAGGAAAAAUCUUAGCAGAAAUCCAGAUGUUCUACACAGUAAUGUAGCUAUAUACAAAAUUUAAAUAUGAUUAUAUAAGGGAAUUAAAAAAAGUAUCAGUAAUAGAUUCAUUUGUUUUGUUGUUGUUUAGGAGAGGCGGUUAGAAAGUUAGAAUAUAAAGAGCAUAGAACAAACUCCAAGGUAAAGGGAUGCCACUGGGUGUUGUUGGUAGAAGGAAAUACUGGACGAAUAUAACAAAUUCGCCCUUUUGCCCUCUCCCUGUUUAGAUUUUUGCUGGUACAAACAUAAGCAAAUUCAUUUCAUGGUUUUGUCAUUAUGAAUGUAUAACUUAACAGUAGCUAGAGCAGACUCAGUAUGUACAACAAAAGAUUAGAUGUACGUUUAACAUCAUUAUUUUAUUUGCACGAAUGCCAGUGAGGAACUUCCACUUAUGCUCUUGUUUUCAAGAUGAGCGUUUAAUUGAAUUCUGCGAUGCAUUUUACAAUAGGACCAUGAGUAGAAUACAAAUUUCUUUGCAUGAAAGACAGUUUGUACACAUGAGUCUGAGAGCAGUUUUGUGUUGAUGUAACCCCAUUCCAGCCUUCCAUUUCCUACUUUUUUAAAAAAGAGCAUAAUCUGAUAGUGAUUGUGAAGGCUAUAAAAGAUGAUGCUUGUAAAGAUACUCUGUUCACUUAAAGUGUGUUCCAUAAACUUCAUUUUUGUUGACAUUUUGGGUUUACAAGGCUACCAUUUGAUGGCAGUUCAAAUCUGACUCUGAGUUACACACCUUAGGCUAGACGGUUUAUAGGGGUUUAGGUCACAGGCCUACAACUAGACAAUCCUAGCUUCCCAUCCUGUGCCACUAAACCUCACUGGGCCUAUUCUUAACUGUUUGAAACAACUUUGUUCAUCCAUAAUAGGCACUAUGACCUCAUGUAGAUAUUCAGGAAAAAUUAAUAUAUAAAAAGGACUUGCAAUAGUGCUGGAUACAGUGGUGUCCAAGACCAGAGCUAUUGCUCUGGUUUAGAGUUUUCCCACCAUAGAAUCCACCACACUGUAUCCUCAGUGUGAUGCAUACUCAGUGCUUACCUUAGUUCCUAGCACAUAGUAGGUACUCAUCAAUUAGUUUCAGCUGUUCAGGGGUUAAUUAUAUCAUAUUCAUCUCCCUUCAAGUGAGAACAUAUCCCAAGACACCUUGUGUAGCUGAGCAAAAGUUGGCACUUGUUGGGGCACCUGCAUGGCUUAGUUGGUUGAGCAUCUUACUUCGGAUCAGGUCAUGAGCUCAUGGUUCGUGAGUUCAAGCCCCACAUCGAGCUCUGUGCUGACAGUUCAGAGCCUGGAGCCUGCUUUGGAUUCUGUGUCUCCCUUUCCCUCUGUCCCUCACCUGCUCACGCUCUGUCUCUCAAAAAUAAAUAAACUUAAAAAAUUUUUUUUAAAGUUGGCACUUGUUUUGAAUGUAAAUUUAAUCUUUGAAUGUUGUCCUGUUAUCUCAGAGCUAUGGGAGUGCUAUCUCUUGGAACUAAAUCAUAAUCAGUUAGGAAACUAUAUAUUUUGCUAGGCCUUGUAUUGUUGGAGUCUGACAAAUAACUUGUGGGAUUUUCUGCAAUGCCUUCUCCCUCAACAAAAUUCAUAAGAACUAUUCUCUGAAUUGUUAGGCUUUCAUGUCGCAAAUAGAAGCAUUGUGCCCUAAUGGCAUUGGAAAGCCAUUUGAUGUGACCUAUUUUUGUUUCCUGUGAGUAAUUUCUUUAUGCCCAUCAUAAUUAUUGUGAGAAUUACAUUUUAAUUUGGGGAUGUUCAAAUCCAUUAGCAUUUUCAUUGAUAUAUCAUAAAAAUCACAUGGAAUCAUUGAGGUAAGUCUGGAAAUAUACAUCAUUAGAGAUUGUCUUAGUGGAAUAUAUUAUUAAUGUUUCUCAGAUUUUAUUCCUCAUAUGUUCACCAGUAGAAUGUAAUGUGACAAAAAUAUCAGCUUCAUGUGGGCAAAGAUUCUUGUUGUAUUUGCUAAUAAACAGUGACCACAUGUAGGAGGCACUCCAUUAAUAUCCAUUGUUUGAAUGCAUGUGGAGUGACAGAUCUUCUAUUUACCACCAAUGACUGUCAUCUGGGCUUGGCCUGCUUUGUGGAGAAAAAUAAAUUGGACAAUAUCUACUGAGGCUUUUUUUUUUUUUUGAGAAAAUAGGUUUUUGUUUCCUUCUUUACAGUUAUAACUCUGGGCAGGUUGAUAGAUAUCAUGACCUUAAUGAUAUUUUAGGCCACAGAAUGGAAGAUAUUAUACAGUUUGCAGUUUAUUUAAUAAUAAUAUGAAGCUUUGAGUUUUCAUUUCAACCUUAAAUAAUGUAUUCUGUAGUAGAAUUGAUUACGUUAACUGGUGUUCAAGAACUACAUAUAAAUAUAAUAAACAUCUCAUAACCUAAUUUGAAAGAAAAACAAGUGAUUUUUUUACUAAAGUAUUUUUAAAUGGAGCAUAUGUAAGUUAGAAUUACAGGUAAUAAUCAUAUAUUUUCAUAUAUUAUACAUAUAAAUAAUGUAUGUAUUGGUUUUUCAUUUAGUUUCUUUGUUUCUAUGAUUCAAAUUCCUACCCUAAUAACCUUAUCAGUUUUAAGAUUCAUUUUUAGAAGAAAAGAGCUUGAAACAUAAUUAGUUUGCCUUAGUGAUUUUUUCUCCUUAUUUAUAAUUUAAUAAUUUAAUAAAAUGUGCAAGGGAAAUUUUGUAUGAAUGUUUAUGCCAAGUUCCCCACAUAAUUUCCUGCAUAUACUCCUAAGUAGAAAGUUUUGUUUUGUUUUUUACUUCAGCGUACAUGAUAAAAUCAAUGUCGCUGUGUGUUUUUACUUUACAAUUCUAAGCUACCUGAUGCUUAAAAAGAAAGCGUUCUGGCUUUUAAGGCAAUAACCAAUUUGAUCAUUGUGUAUAAUCUAAUUAAAGCCUUCCUCAAUAGAGUUGUUAUUCCUGUCAAUAUUACUGUCAAUAUUGAUAAAAACAGAGUUUUUCAGAACAUGGGGUAUUCUGGUCGUAGCAUUUACAUGCAAUUUCUUAUUUUUUCAGAUAACGUUAGAGGAGAGGUAUGUGGUGUCAUAUGCAAAAUAAAACCAUCAGAAAAUGUGUAUAUAUUAGUGCAACAUGAUGAUAUUGAUUAUUUGACAUGGUUUGGAAGGUAGAGUAGAUUAAAAAAAAAGCAUUGGUAUAAAGGGAUUUUUAUUCCAUGUUUGGAGGGCAACUUGUGAUGUGACUACAUUUUAUCUUUGCCUUCCUUUCUAUCCUCAACUCUCCAUCCUAGACAGCUUGUGAAACUUUCAUGAUGAGUUUAUUAUUCUGGCUUCCUUUUCUUAUCAAAAUUCCUAGCUACUACUUUGUUUAGUCUAUGUACUACACCAAGAAAAUUUCAGCUUAACUUUUUAAUUUUUUAUUUAUAUAACAGAUUUGUGUUCCUUCAAAGUUGUACUCAUUUAGGAGAGGAUUUCUAUUAGGAAUACAAGAAUUUUAUUUUGUAUGCAAUUUUUAAGACAAAAAGAAUAAAAAAAACAUUGCAUUGAUGGCUUGUAUGUGUCAUCCUGAUUGAGAGCAAGUAAGAUUAGAAAAGGUGACAUGGUAAUUUCUGAAAAUAAACUGUUUAAUUUGGAAAUUAGACUGUAAGCCAUUUUAGUACCUUAUUGUUAUAAAGCCUGUAUAUUUCCAGUGUGAUUUUUACACAGUGUGAUUAACUUCCCUGUUUAAGCCUAGGAUCUCAUUCACACAUUAAGUUAUCACAGAAAUGCAUAUGAUUUGUUUAAUCACACAUUCCUUCCUUCCUUUAGUCCAUCAAUACUUACCAUUACUAUUAUAGACAUUUACUGUUAUAAGCAUGGGAUAUACAAUGUUAACUCAGGUCGGAUAACUGCAUUUGUGGCACUUACACUUCAGUGGAAGAAAGAGACAAUAUGGUCAAAAACCAAAACUAUAUAAAUUAUAAAUGAUAUGUGCUCAUGAAGGAAAAUUUAGCACUCAAACAAAAUAAUCAGGGAGAUGAAGGAUGAUUAGGAGUUUGCUAGAUGAAGUUUGUCACGGGCAGAGGAAACAGCGAGAAAAGAAAGAGGAUGGCUUUUGCAGUCAGAAAACUGGGAAGACAUAUCCAAUCUGCCGAAUGAAACAGUAAGUGUUUUGUUCCAUCUGUUUUACUGAUGUUAUAAUCAGUGUAGGACUCAUAUGUAAGGGGAGAAAACAGCACAUUUUAAGAUAAGGGAGAUAAGACAUGACUGGUGGAAAGAAUAUAACCAAUGUUAGGUUCUAGGUCUGGCUUGGUUAGGUAGAACAUGUUUAACUUUGGAUAGUUCAUAAAUUCUCUAUAAAUUUUUGUUUCUUCGCCUGAACAAUAAUUGAACUGGAGUCACCACUAACGUGUUCGAACUCUACAUAUUUUAUAUUUCUAGGAUUCCAAGUUAGUAUAUAAGCUUCCUUCCUGAUAUUUUUCUUUUUUGUUUUUUAAUGUUUAUUUAUCUUUUUGAGAGACAGAGUAUGAGCAGGGGAGGGACAGAGACAGAGAGACAGACACAGAAUCCCAAGCAGGUUCCAGGCUCUGAGUUGUUAGCACAGAGCCGGAUGUGGGGCUCAAACUCACAAGCUGUGAGAUCAUGACCUGAGCUGAAGUUGGAUGCUCAACCAUUUGAGCCACCCAUGUGCCCCAAUAUUCCCUAUUUUGUUUUGUAUGGUGUGGACAUUUUUCCUUCUCGUAAAUCUGUGGCAAGCAUGUUCCAGGUGUGAAAAUAUUUCUAUUGUGCUUUGUGGAGACAUAGAUUCUUUUAUUUUGGCUGCUAGACAAAAUGUGUUAUUUCAAGUGGAAGGUCUGUGGUUUUUCUUACUACUAGGUAGGUUGUUUGAAUUACAAAGUUCAGUAAACAUCAUUCUUUCUAAACCUAUCUCCUUUUCCUUUAAGUCAGUCCGUUGGCACUGGAAAAUUCUCAGUAUAAGAUUGUAUCUUAACCUAGUUAAACAUGUCUGACUUUUACAUUUUCAAAGGGCAAGUUGAUGUAGCCUCAUAUGAUUCUAUAUGUAAAACCAAAAUAUUGGAACAAAAUGUUGUUUAUAGUCUUCUGACUUGAAAAAAUGUUAUUCUAAUACUCGAUAAAAUACAAUAAAAAAAAACCACCUGAAAACAAUGAUAACAUAAUUGGGUGCUGAAUUUGGGGAAAUCCAUUAAGUCCUUUAGGCCAAAAAAGUUGUACUGAUUGGAUUAGUUUUUUUUUUUUUUUUUAACGUUUAUUUAUUUUUGGGACAGAGAGAGACAGAGCAUGAACGGGGGAGGGGCAGAGAGAGAGGGAGACACAGAAUCGGAAACAGGCUCCAGGCUCUGAGCCAUCAGCCCAGAGCCCGACGCGGGGCUCGAACUCACGGACCGCGAGAUCGUGACCUGGCUGAAGUCGGACGCUUAACCGACUGCGCCACCCAGGCGCCCCUGGAUUAGUUUUCUAGGGCUACCACACCUAAAUACCAUGAUCUGAGUGUCUUAAACAACAAAGUCUUAUUUUCUCACAGUCUGGAGGCUGGGAAGAGUUGGUUUCCUCUGAGGGUGAUGACUUUCCAGGCCUCUCUCUUUUGCUUAUAGAUGGUGCCUUCUCACUGCUUUGUCCCUGUGUAGUUGUCCUGUGCAUGCCUGCCCCUGCUGAACUUUGCAGAUCCAAAUUUCUUCUUAUAAGGAUACCAGUCAGAUAGGAUUAGGACCCACUCGAGGCACCUGGGUGGCUCAGUCAGUUAAGUGUCCGACUUCAGCUCAGGUCAUUAUCUCAUGGCUCAUGAGUUCGAGCCCCAUGUCGGGCUCUGUCCAGACAGCUCAGAGCCUGGAGACUGCUUCAGAUUCUGUCUCCAUCUCUCUCUGCCCCUGCCCCUUUCACACACUGUCUCUCUUUCUCAAAUAGAAAGAACCCACUUAAUGGCCUCAGUUGAGUCAUUUCUUAAAGAAUCUAUCUCCAAAUACAGUUAUGUUCUGCUCAACUAAUGGUUUAGGACUUUAGCAUAUAAAUUUUGUGGGGACAUAAUUGAGCCCAUAACACUAAUACAUGGUAAAGAGUUAUUUACCAAAUUACUCAAAAUGGCUCAAAGAAGAUGAUUCACCUUGUUUAUAUAAAACAUUAUUAUUUUUUUUUUUUUUGUCAUUUCUUAGCAGUAGGUCUGGCCAAAGUAGGUUUCAAACAGAGGUAGCAUUUUGAUGAGCUCUCAAUACAGGAAACAGUAUGAUUGUUUCCUACCUUUCAGAUCCUCUUUGCCUAUAUUCAGGUGUUUUUGCAGAAUAUUGAAAACUAUCUAAUGAACUAAUUGGAAGGUACAUAAAUAAGAAAGGUAGUUAUAUUUUUUAAAUAAAAUUUUUACACAAUUCUUUUAAAAAUGUGUCUUAUUUACCUCAUUCCUCGUAUAGACAUUGAACAUAUUUUGUUUUAUUAUUUUUGAUUCCCUGAUCAUUCUGAUGAUAGUUCACAAAAAAUAAUUUUAUUAUAUUUUGCUAAAUUGUAUUAUAUUACACAUGUAACCUCAAAGUUUAUAAUUUUUUCACUAAGUAUAUAUAUUUUCAUUAUAAAAUCAUAUUCCUAAAUAUUUCCAUUCUAAGAAUAUUGUUCUCAAAAUGGGGACUAUAAGAAUCAUACUUCUACAAGUCAUACUUUCAAAUUGCUAAUUUAUUUUUCAUCAGUACUCACACGGUCAGCAUUACUUACUCUUAUUUUAAGCAAUUGACAUUUCACCUUAGCUUUAGUUCAGUUAGAAAUAUAUUCUUUUACAACUUAAACUAUAAACUGUUAAGUUCAUCACUUUCUACAAUAUACAUAUGUUUUCACUCCUGCCCAACCCACACCUUUCAAAUCUGUGUCUUCUACAUUCUUCUGAAAAAUGAAGGGUCAAGGCAUUAAAUAUGUGAAGUAUUUUAUUCUAUACAACUGCAUGGCACUUUGAAGAAAACCUGAAUGCUCUUUUGGCAUAGAAGUAAUAAAGUGAGUUUAUUUUGAAAUCCAGUAGGUUAAUGGCAUUAAUAAUUAUAGUUAAUAAUUAUUAGUGAUGAUGUUAGGAGCUAUGUCCUCAGAGUUUGUUGCCCUUUAAAUUAUAGAAUCUUAAUUAUUUUCCAAGAGGUCACAAAUCUGUAUGUCUUAACUUGGUUAUUAAAGAGGCAGGAGUUUAAUUAGUUCAUCGUAAGAAUCAGUCACACCAUUCAUUUCAUGACUGGACAAUUAAGUAAUCCUAUUAAAAUAGAGAGAUCAUGCCUAAAAUUGGCUGAGUAGAACCAUAAGACAUAACUUCAGGAACGUGAAUAGCAAAAAGAAUAUGAGUGCAUAAUUGAUUAAUUUGUGCAUGGUUCCUUAUAAGUCACAAUAAUACUCCAAAUAAUGAUAAAUUAAUAGUUGUGAAAAUGUUUGGUAUUAAGCCAUUUUCUCUUAACUUAAUGCUCAUUUAAGGCUUAUUUUCCUGGAUUUGUACCAAGUCUUUAUAAUGUUUCCGAUACAGAUUUAUCUGCAUUUGGAAAGCAGUGGUUGUAUAAUGGAUGGCUUAUAGACUGUGUAAGUGACAUGUCUGAAUUUGAGUCAUGCCUCAACCUCUACCCAUCAUGGCACACGUGAAGUAAAGUCUCAGAGCCUUAGUUUUCUCAUAUUAAAAAUAGACCUAGAAGCAUCAAUCUAAUGAUGUUGAAAUGAGAUGAUUUAUAUAAAAUGCAAAACACAGUGCCUGACAGAUAACAGGCACUCAAAUAUUGGUGCCCACUUCUUACCCCCUGAAGCACUUACUUUUCUACUCCCUCAAAUGAUAAAAGCAGCUUUAUUAAGAAACUGUUUUCCACUCCAUGAUUUCUAUUGAUGAAAAAUAAAUAGAGGAAUUGACAUUUUCCUAUCUAGUAAUUUGUAUCUCUGUAUCUUUUCAGUUUCUUGAGCUAGAUAUUAUCAAGUAUACAGUUAAUUUGACCUUCUAUCUCUACAGAUGAUUUUUUAAAUCCAUGCAUUUUUCACUAUUACUGAAUUUUGGCACACAAACUCCUAUCUUUGAUUUCUAUGGGAUAUGUGUGUGUAGGGGUGUGUUUAUUCAUAUGUUUUAUUUUUUGCCUGUUGGAUAGGUGGAAGAAAGGGGGAAGAAGUUAUAACUACAAAUUUUACUCAAAUAUAGUGUCCUAGCUUUCCUCUGAAAGGGUAUUACAAUAUAAUCUUUUAAACUUGAAACCCACUAAACUAUCCAUUUUUUUCCCUUUCCGUAAGGAUCUCAGAAAUGAAAUGACUGUCAGCAGGAUGAAGCACAUGCCAGUGUGUACUGCCAGCUUGAGAUAGUUCUUAAACCAGGACUUUUUUUUUAGAAUUGUCUAUAUGCCAAUCUUGGGGAAAAAUUCAGUUACUUGCAGAGUUUUGCUUUGUAUAGAAAUGAAUUUAGUUCAGAUAUUUUGACAUGACUACAAGUACAUACAUUAAUUGUGUAAAUAAGUCGGGCUAAGCGACUUAUCUUUUCAAAUAAUUCUAUCUCUCAGCUUAUUUUUUUAUAUAUACAUACAUGUAUAUAUCCAAAAAGAUAUUAUAGUAGCUACAAUAAUUAAAAUGACAUCUAAAAUUAUAAAUGAAUACACAACACCCUGAUUAGCAGGCAUUGUGUCUAACUGCACAAGUUACAUACUUCUUCAUCCCAAUACCUUGUUCUCAAGGCAAAGAGGUGCCCAGGUAGAAAUAGUACAUUUAAAAUGCAUGACGGAAUAUUGUACUUUCCAUUAUCUUAGUCACCGUGCAUUAAAAAGCAAGCUUAUUUUUAGCCUCCCUAAAUAAAUUAUUAGAGUUAACACAAGCAGCGUGGCAGGGAUUUCAAGGAAUUACUUGAGUAAGAUGUCCAUUUCUAAGAGUGAUGGGAGGAGGAUAUUAAUGAAAGCAGUAUUUAGGAUCCCAUAAUUGCCUCAACGUAAUCCUGACGAAGUAUCCUUUAGCACUGAGAAGUGUUCCUGGAAUAGAGAAAAUACUCACUUGGAAAGUAUUGAAAAUUUUGAAGAGUUUUUCUUUCUUUCUUUCUUUUUUUUUUUUUUACAAGCCAAAAGAAUCAAAAUUUUGAACAAAUAACUUGAAAUCUAAAUGUUAUGGGACAUUUCCAUAUAUGCAAGAAACUGUGUUUUGUUUUGUUUUGUUUUGUAUUAAAACUGGUGACCAGGGUGUUACAUGCAUGAUCACAAAGGUAGCCAAUUAGAACAGUAGAUACUGAAAAAUAGCCAUUGCUCUGUUUUUGUUUCAUGUGUUGCAACAAUAACAUAUUUAAACCAGUCUCUUUGUUUGUUAACUCUAUGAAUUCUACUUUUGUGCCCACAGACUUCACAGAUGAGUCUAUAUUUAUUAAAUUAUCUCCUUCCUCUUUUUUAUCUUCAAUCAGUACCAUGCUCAUAGUAUUGAAGCAAUUGUAAAUCUCUCCUAUUAAAAAAAAUACCCCUUAUUUUCCCUCUUAAUAAUAAGGUUGCUAAUAACAUAUUAAUAAUUAUGUUAGCAACCAGGAUUUUUUAAAUGCAUUAAAUGCUUUCCCUGUUCAUGAACUGUGCUAUUAUUUAACUUGUAUUGUUUUAUAAUUUGCACAAUAAAAUUUGAAAUUAUGUUUAUUACCAACAUUUACAACUGAAGAGACUGAGGCUUAGAGAGAGAAAGUAACCUUCUGAUGAACAAGCAGUGAGUUAACAGAGAGGUUUCUGUACUCAUAUCAGUUUUAUAUUUCUUUGAGUUCUUUCCUCCUUUCUCUUUACUUUCUUACCACCCAACAAGCCACCUCCAUCUGAUUCCCUCAUCUGGACCCUUCACUCAUUAAAGCAUUCCACAGAAACUGCCCUUCCCAAGAAUUUAAUGGUGUCAGUGUUGUUAACGGAUGACAUUUGUCAAUCUGUGUUUGGACUAUUUGAUCCCACCUCUCAUCUAGAAUUCUCUUGGGUUAAUCGACUGAACACCCACAGUCUCCUAGCUGUUGUUUUCCAUGAAUGACCAAUGCUUUCCCAGCACUUUUACAUGUUGGUCCUUUUCCUAUUUCUUAAAUGGAAGAUCUUUAUUAGGGCUUAAAUUAUACACUCCACCUAAGAAACCUCUGUUCCCAUAGCUUCAACCAACACAUAGUCAAAAGUGUCAAGUCCAUGGCUCUUUGCUGAUCAUCUCCUCAUAGAGCCAGAUCCUCACUGUCACACCUUCACAGGGAUGGUUCCCUAUUCUUUGCCCCAUUUUAUGCAAAGUAGCUCCUACAUAUCCUUCAAGUGUCAGUGCAGAUGCGCCUUUCUUGGAAAGGCCUUAGAAGACUCCUGGGUUCAGUAUUGCUUUGCAAUUCAUCCUCCAACUGGCUUUUAUUUUCUUUGUCACUCAAAAUUCCACCUUAAAAGAUAUAUCCAAUGGAAUAUUGUAUAUGCUUUACAAGAAUAAGAAGAAAGUUUAUCUUGCUCCAUAACUAUUCAUGAAGCAUAGGAAUACUCUUGACAUAUAAUAAAUGCUGAGAAGCAUGUUGAAUUCAAUGAAAACCUGCAACUCAUAUUUGUUUUUUUAGUUAUGUGAGAUGUGGAUACCCAGCAUUUUCAUGACAAGGUUUGGUUCCCUACAUUUUCAAUGAUGUAGAAGACAUGCCAACAGAGUGUCAUAUUUAGAUAAAACGAAGCAUUCCAAACAGGGAUAUAUGAUUUAUUUGAAGCAUUUGUGGGGGAAGGAAAGACAAUUUUCUGAAGGAUGUUUCUUCUAAAUUCUGUUGUAAAGCUGUUUGUAAGUAGAAAAUUGAGUUUAUAUUGCAUUAGAAGAUACUAUAUAGACUUUAUUAAAUUCACUGUGCAAUCUUUAAUCAAAUAAGUAAAUGCAUUAUUUAUUUCCAAGGUUAAAGCACACAUUCUCUUUGUCUGGAAUGCCAAUUCUUGAGGAAAACAUGUCUAAUAAUGGAUGAAACUGAAGGCCAAUUUUACUUUUCAUCAUUCUUAAGCAUUCAAAGACCUAAAUCCUGUCUUCUAUGUUGGUGCAUGUGUUCAACAAAUGCACUUUUUAUAAAUUAGAUAUUCUUAUGGAUAUGAAAUUAACUUCAGUAAAUAAUUUAUUUUGAACACUUAUUCCAUGCUAAUGAAAAAUCUUUGAAGUAUUUUUCAAAUCUUUGAAUAAUAUUCAACAAGAAACUUUGACAAUAAACUGAAAGUUUUAAUGGAAAAUACUGAAAUGUUCUUGAGAUUAAAACCUUUUAAAACUUUCAUUUUUUUGGUCAGAGAAUCCCUAUGAUUCCUAAUGCUUAAAACAUGAAAGUAUACAGAUGAUUCUGGCCACUAAAUAACAAAGUAUAACAUACAUUCUUAGAAAAAAAGAGCUUGUAAGAUUUUCUUGGUGAGUUCAUGUGGAUUGGGUCAUGAGCCUAAAUUGAAAAAGAAAGCAAAUUAUUAUAUUGUACAUAAAAUAUAAUAAUAAGCUAUAAUCUUAUCAGAGGCCAUUGAACUUCACCAUAAAACAUCAGCAUAGUCAUUUUUAGUAAUAUUUGAAUGAGAAAAGCUAACCCAAACUUAUAACAAAGGAAGAGCUUAAAGUAUAAUAAUAACUGAAAAAAAAAUAAACUUAGGCUUGAAGCUUGGUUGACUUUCUAGUGGUAACCUUAAAUAAGCAAUUAACCUAAAUUUCUCAUUUUCUUCAUCUGUAAAGAAUGAAUAAUUGAACUCAUCCUACCUUGAUAAACAUUUUUUUCUGAGGAAGCUGCCUAGUUGAAAUUUUGUGGUAGCAUAGAAUUGUUUAACCAGCUAGAUGAAUGGAAAUUCCUUAAAAAAUAGCUCUGUAUUUGACAUAAAAACUCCAAUUCCAUAAAUUUACUUGUCUAACUUUGGAAAAUUUCAGGUGAUAUGGCCAAAUCAUGAGGAAAUACAGCGCAUAUAUAUAUAUAUAUAUAUAUAUAUAUAUAUAUAUAUAUAUACUGACAUAUUAAUUUUUUCUUAUAAACUUUUAGAGGUUUACAGAUGAUGUAAUUAAAAAAAGUGUUGCUACAUAUAAAAAUAGAAAUUCUUCAUCCUCUUCUAUUAACUGGGAAAAAACUAUAUAAUUGAAAAGUCCCACUUGUUCAGAGCAUGUAAUAGGAGAUAGCAACUUGAAACAAACAUUUUUGUUAUUUUCUAUUGCUUGUGUUUUGAAAGUAAGGCUUAUUGCAGGGCAAAUGAAGAAAAAAAAUCCUGUUCAAUUUCUGACCAAUUUUAUGAUUCAGCUUCCUCAUAGAACUGGAAAGUGGUGCUUAGUCAGCUGUAUGUUCUUUCUCCCAAUUCCCUGUGGGUCCAAUAAAUGUUUAUUGAAUAAAUGUUCAUCAAAAGGCUAUUUUGAGUAAGAUACUUUAGAAGCAAAAAUUAAGACACACUUAGCCAUUUGUAAGAGAGUUAUGAAAUAUGCAUAGAAAUGAUCAAUAAAAAGCAAAAUGUGCUAAGUACCACAAAAGUGGUAUACCAGAUUAUUAUGGGAGCCCAAAACUAUGAAAUUAUUCUGGGGUAACUAUGGAGUUCUGAAAAGGGUUUUUGGCCAGUAACCAUAACUGUGUUUCCGUGGAGGAAACAAGGGAGUGGUAGGCAGAGCAGGAACUCUGGACAUCAUGUUGAAGUAAAGUAAAGAAAAAAAACCCAAAUUCCAGAAAAUGAAAGGCCUCUUGAGAGGAAAGCAAGUUGUCUGUGUGCUACCAGUUUGAUUUUAUUACUCUUUUAUAAGCAAAUUCUAAAGGCAUGAAACUCCAUGUGAUUAUGUCAGGGAUUAUCUGGACAGGAACUUGUACUUUAGAGACACUUUAGGGCCUGUCAUAAUUUUCCUGAAACUAAAUCUUAUAUACUGGUGACACUCAAGAUGUGGGUCCUAGGUCAACAGUAUCAUUGUUACAUUACAACAAAAAUUCUUGGGCCCCUUCCCGCAUCUAUGGAAGCAAACUCAGGAGAUGGAUCCCAGAAAUCUAUUUUGAAACAAGUCCUCCAGGUAACUCCAUUGCACACUUGAUUUGGAGAAUUACAUUAUUUGUAGACAACCCAACUUUCUAAGACCAUCUGGCACUAACUAUGGUAGCCCAUUAAGUGUAACUCCUAUAAGCCUAGCCUUGUUCAUCUUAUCUAAAACUCAAUGACAGAUGAAAGGAUGAUAAAUGAGAGGAUACAGCUUUGUAUAUAAAACAAGAUCUGAGGGAUAAUCUGUUUUCAGGUUUUCUGACUAGAAGAUACAACUUGAUGUUUUAAAAAAACAAACAUUUUAUUGAUUUGAGGAAAACCACUUUGUGUCAAGUACUAUUCUUGGUACUUUACAUGUACUACAUCAUGGACCACACCUAAAUUUUCAAAAAUCAAGAAAAAAUGAUCUUAAAUCCACAUGGUAGUAUAGUAUAUAUAUAAAACAAAACAAUAUGUUGGGACACCUGGGUGGCACAGUCGGUUAAGCGUCCGACUUCGGCUUGCGUCAUGAUCUCACGGUUCGUGAGUUCGAGCCCCACAUCGGGCUCUGUGCUGUCAGCUCAGAGCCUGGAGCCUGCUUCAGAUUCUGUUUCCUUCUCCCUCUGCCCCUCCCCCACUUGCACCCUGUCUCUGUAUUUCUCAAAAAUAAACAUUAAACAAUUAAAAAAAAGCCAAUAUGUAAAAUUGUACAUAGAAUGGAUUAUUAACUUUUAAAAAUAAAUACAUGAAGAGAAAAAUGUAAAGCUCGUCAUCUCACACUGGAGGAUUUAUGGGAAAUGACAUAGCAACAGCAGCAGUAGUACUUAUAUUGGAGAGUAGCAUACGAGGUUUUAACAGAGUGGUCUCUUGAGCCUGGCUACUUGGUAUAAAUCUUACCCACAUCUCAUUUUGUCUGUGUGAACUUGAGUAAGUAUUUGAUGCUUUCAGAACCUUUGAUUCUUCAUCUAUAGAGUGGUAAUAUAAUAGCAUUUACUUUAAAUGAAAACUAAAUGAGAUAAAUUUAUAGGGAUUAAAAGGGUGAUUGGUGUUAUAAUUAAUAAAUGUUAUAUCCAGUAAAACUAGUUUACUUUCAUAAAAAUAUAAAACAAAAAUAUUAAGGUUUACAAUCUUGAAAAUAUUUCAGUCUAAAAAUGUUUGCAAUAUAACGAUAAGUUCUGUAGUAAAAAAAUAAGCAAUAACAUGCAGUUGAGAUAAUGCCCUAUGUCCAGUAACAAAAUAAAGCUGACAUAAAGAUCCUCAAGGUGUCCAAUUCAGCAAAAGCUACAGAAGGUUUAUUUGCAUUCCAUUAUGACUAGGGAAUGCUUUAUAGAGGCAAGUUUGAUGCCUUCCUUGGAUGAUGUAUCUUGGACCCUAUGACAGUUUGUAAUAAGACUGAGAGUAAGGAUGUUUAAAUGUUUAGAUAUGGUCCAUGCAAAGCAAGAAAAUUUAGCGGCUUGUUCAAACAUUAAUGUGCAGAAUUGUGGCCACUUAAAAUGGCAGACAUGUCUGUGCUUUCCGUUUCUAGUUGACGAGUCUACAAAGGCUGAUCUUGGCCAUGCUGUCAAGGAAUUUGGUGAUCUGGGCCAGGGAAUGUGGAGUUGGUGUGUAAAGACAGAGUGGGGUUUCUGGGAAUACUAGUAUGACAAUACUAUAUGUAACAAGCAAACAGAAGAGUGUACUUGGACUAUACAAGGCCUAGGAGUACAGAAACUGAAAGGGGGGUGAUGAUGAUGGAAAGAAUAUGAGAGAGAGAUGUUCGGCUUAAUUAAAAAAAAUAGCUGAUAGAAUCUAUUUCCAGAAUAUGAAUAUAAGGGGAAAGUAGUUGUCAGAAUGAUAUCUAGGAAAAGAGGUAGACAUUUUGAAAAGCAGAGUAAGACAAGAGAACUAGUUUUAUAGGGGAAAUAUUAAGUUUGAUUUUAGAUUAGUCUGAAAUGAGAGUAGGAUAUGAAAUGAAAGCUGCUAUGCUGUAAGUGGAAAUGCUGAUGUAAGGUGCUGGAUAGAGUAUUUGAGUCAUCACAUAGAAAUAAUAUUUGGGAUCAUAGAAGUAGAUGAAAAGAGGAAAUCUAAAGGCAGAAGACUAAACCAAAGUGCCCAGGUUUAGAGAAGGAAGUAGUGAAAGAGAAACCAAUAAAGAGGGUUGGAGUGGGCUGGUAAGUAGGUAUAGUACAGGUGGUUAGAGAAAAGUCAUGGUAAUAUGGUAGUAUACCAUGAGGCAGGUAUAGAGAGCAAGGACUCCUUUUCUUUUUUUUUUUUUUAAAGGAGAAAGUGAGGUAGAAGAUCAGUGUGUGACAACGAGUAUACAUACCCUUCAUAUGCUUCAGAAAGCUCAUUUUUGCUAAAACUGAAAAGCUAUCAGUUAGCCAUUGCGAGAUCAUUAUUAUUAUAAGAUAUAAAGUGAUUGGUGAAUGUAAAAUAUAGAAGGUGAAAGGAAGAGUAUAAAUUUGUGUAAAUCCAAGAGAUAAGCUCAGGCACUUAGUAUAGAAUGUAGUGGGUUAAAAAAAAAUGUAUGAAAGUGAAAAGUGCAUGGAAGAAAGAAAAGAGGUUCAGAUAAGUAUUUUUGGUUCAAAUGCAAUCAAUUAGAAAGGGAUAUCAUGGUUACUGUUACAGUUAUUAUCAGCAUAAUAACGACAUUUGAAUUUUGAAUGGUAGGUACAUUUGAAGAAUUGAGAUUAGCAGUGUUUUGGAGUGUUAUUGAGGGUAUAAAAUCCAUUAAUAGGGGUGCCUGAGUGGCUCAGUUGGUUGAACAUCCAACUUUAGCUCAGGUCAUGAUCUCAUGGUUCCUGAGUUCAAGCCCCGCGUUGAGCUCUCUGCUGUCAGCACUGAGUCUGCUUCAGAUGCUCUGUCUCCCUCACUUUCUGCCCCUCCACUGCUUCUUUACACCCGCACGCACACACGCUCUCUCACUCUCUCAAAAAUAAACAUUUAAAAUAAAUCUAUUAAUAAAAAAGUUAUUGAAAGUGAGUCAAGAUACUGUUGACAUCAACAGUCAAUUUAAUUUUCAAAUUGUGUGGUUUGCCCUAGUAAUCCUGUGUACUAAUUCACAUGUAAUUUGGCAUAACAUUUUGAAUAUUACUGUGGUAGCAAUUAUUAGGUAUGUUAUGCAAAUAUUUGUUCUUUGAGUUUCAUUUCACAGUGACUUCUUGCAAAAUCUUAUAUUUCAAUUUGGUACAAUAGGAAUUACUAUUGAGAAACUAAUAUUGCAAGUAUAUUUGGUUUCAGUAACCUUUUAGUCUUAAGUUGCAUAAUAUCUAUCCAAUAGCAAUAGGAAGGAACAUAUUGAUACCAUGUAAAAAUACACAGAUGUGAGUUUGUACAGGUGAAAUAUGUGAUAAAUUAACAACAGCUUUAUUUAUCUUUGUGAUGCUUUAGCACAUUUCUUCAGCAUGCCCUCAAAAUAUAAAGAAUAACAUUUGAAAUGAAUGUAUGCUAAUCUUUUUCACAAUAGUUGAAAAUAUUGAGUUACUUUAAGAGUUUUAGUGUGUACUUUACAUUUGGAAAAAAGACACAUACUUUUGGUUUAGAAUUGGCCAUGUUAAAAUGUACAGUAGAUAUUAAAGGAAUAUUCCUGUCUAUCUUUGUUCAUGCUGCCAUAACAGAAUACCACAGGCUGGGUAGCUUAUAAAACAAUAGAUUUUUAUUUCUCAGUUAUAGAGGCUGGAAAUCCAAGAUCAUGGAACUGGCAGUGGUUGGUUGGGUGAGGGCCCUCUUCCAGGUCACAGACCUCUUAUUGUACCCUCACAUAGUAGAAGGUGGUAGGGAGCUCUCUGGAGACUUUUAUAAGGGUGCCAGGGUGACUCAGUUGGUUGGGCAUUGGAUUUUUGAUUUGGGCUCGAGUCAUGAUCUCACAGUUCUGUUCGUAGGAUUGAACCCUGUGUUGGGUUAUGUGCUAACGGCCCAGAUUCUGCUUGGGAUUCUCUCUCUUUCUCUGCUCCUCUCCUGCUCACUAUCUCUCUCAAAAUAUAAAAAUAAACAUUAAAAAAUAAAUAAAAUAAGGGCACUAGUCUCAUUCAAGUAGGCUCCACUCUGAUGACUUAAGUACCUCUCAAAGGCCACACCUAUUAACAGAGGGUAGGAUUAGCUUUAGGGGUUAGGAUUUCGACAUAUGGAUUUUGGGGCAGACAUAUUCAGACCGUAGCACUGUCUCAGAUUGUUUUGUUUUCUAAUUGGGUAUGAUAAAUAUAUAGUGGCAAAUUAGGUAAAUAAGAUUUGUCAUAGAUAGACAUUUAAAAAAUAUUUACAUCAACGUAAUACUUUGUUGGCCUUUCCCUAGAUAUUUUUGUAAGGUGCUACUUACUAAUGUUUAUUUCUUCAAUUAUUAUGGUCCUUAAUGUCAACAGCUAUAACAUUUAAUUUAAAAUGUGGCUUAGAGCAUUACUUAUUCUGACUUACUCUCCUGAAUAACAAGGGAUGCUAAUAUCACUAUAUAAUGUUAGUGUGUGACAAUUAAAUAUUGUGUAUGAUCUGUGGUUCAUAAUUUAUAAGCAUGAAAUAACUAAACAGCAAAAUUCCAUCUAUUAUUGGAAAAAAUAAUUACUAAAAUGAGACAGGAAAUAGUAUUAAUCUGAUUUCUGUAUAACCGGAGAGGCAUUUUUCUUAUUGAGCACAAGCUGCAGGCUGUGCUAAAGAAUUGUGCUAAAGACCUUAUAAAGAACUAGGGACCAUAAAAUGCUAACUAAGUACUGCUAUGCAAGUCUGAAAAUCAGUACUGAAUAGGAGCUCUGAAUGUAUGUCAACCAGAAGCGCCAUUGACAAGGUAAUGGAGACCUUUUGCUGUUGUCUGUGAGUCUUCAUUGGAGAAGUGGGGAUAAGUCUGAAGAUCUGUACAAAUGGGAAUAGCAGAAACAGAAAUUGUAAAAGGUAAAUAAUUUGAAAAAUAGCAACUAUACCCUUAAAGAUGAUAUGAUGAUAUGUAUUUGCUAUGAUCUCACACUCCAACAGAAAUGUAUACAUGUGUUCAAAAUAGAAAUGUACUGGAAUGUUUGUGUCAGCAGUAUUCAUAAUAGCCACCCAUUGGAAACUAACCAAAUGCCCAGCAAAAGUAGGAUAGAUAAAUUAAUCAUUGCAUAUUCAUGCAUUAUAAUACUAUAGAGCAAAAAGAAUGAACUAUAGCCACAGGCAGCAAUAUAAACGGCUCUCAAAAAUAGAUUGCUGAGUAGGAGAAGCCAGACACAAAAGGCACACCCUGCAUAAUUUUAUUUGUAUAAAGCAGAAAAUUAGGAGGUCUUUUGUGACUGGAAGUGGUAGAAGGGGAGCUUCUAGGGUGCUGGUAAUGUUUUAUUUUUUGAUUUAAACGUUGAGUAUGUGGUGUGUUUAGUUUAUGGAAUUCACUCAGCUGUAUUUAUAUGUUCACUUUUCUGAAAAUAUAGUGCAUAUUGAUAAAUUCAGAAAUCAGUUUUGUUACAAAGAAAGAAUUUUUAAUAAUUCAUGGUAAAAACUCACAUCUAUUGAAGUUUCUGUUGUGACACAGACAAUUCUAAUACUUAGACUGUGUAAUAUACAGAGAGAAAUUAGAAACAGUAAAGACUCAGGAGGAAGAAAAAAGUCCAAAAAUCAACAUAUGGGCAACAUUAAGGUAUUUUUCCUAGCCCCACAUCUGUAGAAAGGGUUCCUCCACCCAUAAAAUGAAGUGACUGAAGACUUAUUAGCCGUAUGGUGUGUUUUAAUUUUAGUUGAUUACAUCUAAAGUUAUAUUUCCUAUUAGGCAAAUUGUUGGGAGUUCUCAUCCCAUAGUUUAGGUAUUUUUAAUCAUUCUCCUUUCUUUAUAGAAUGUCACAUUAAAUAAGUCAUUCAAGUACUAUGAAUUGAUUCUUACUAUCUUUGUGCCUGAUCUUCAGAAUUAAAAUUGUAUGAUAUGAUAAAUAACAACCAUUAAAAAAACUAAUAAACAACAGAUUGGAAGCUUAAUGAGGCUAAUUCUUGAUAGACAUCACUCUAUCUCAUAAUAAUGCCUGGAAACAUAAUGUACUCUUCGAUUCUGAAGGACCCAGAGCACAGAUCAAAAGAGAGGUCCAAGCAUUCAGUGUACAGCUAGGCAAACAAUGAAUUUGAAAAACAAAAACCUCAUGCAUAUAUAUUCAUAGUUUGUACUUGUUAGAAUCAAUGACCUCAAACUACUUCUAGAGUAUUUAAUGAAAGGUUAAGUCGUUACAUACAGAAGUAUUGACCUGCAAUCUGUGGUUUGUUGUCAGUUGAUUAGAUGGAGAACCAAACUUUUAACUCAUCAUAGAACUCCUAUCUUUUGAAAAUGUUUAAAAAUAUUUUUCUAUCAUCAGCACCUCUCAAUAUACCAUAUUUUAUACCACUUAGAGACUUUGUUAAAGUCACUUAAAAUUUAAGGAAGCAAAUUUAUCUAAAGAAAUGAGUAGAGGUGUCCCAGUUUCAAUUUAACUAGGAUCAAUAAAUAUACAUGAUGAAGACAUGAAUAGUAAGAUCUUCAUAUUGAUGUAUAUACUUAGCAUGUACUUUGGAUUCUUUUUAAAAAUCUAAAAAAAGAGUGACAAAGAUGGAUCACAGUAUAUAUUAUUUUUUACUGUUGAUUAUUUCCACUAUUUCCUACUUUUUGUCGUUUUAAUAUGUGAUGAGACAUAAUUAUAUACAACCAGAAAGAUUCUGACAUCCUUGAGGAAAUUAUAGUUAUUUUAAUAUUUUCUCAUUAAUUUGUCAGUUCAGAGAUACUAUCUUGAUAUCAACAUUGUGGAAAACUUAGUAUAGUGUAAAGGAAUUAUAAAAGCAAAACAUACAACAUUGUGUGACAUAUUUUCCAAUUUUUGAAAAAUAUUGAUAUAUUAUACAUACAGUUUGAAAGGCUAUACACAAAAUCAGCAAUAGUAGUUUUAGUUAAAGCUAAUGAAACAAAAUGGGCAAAGGGGAAGCAAAUGGGUGAUAUUCAGAUAGUAUUUCAAGAUGAAGAAAGUAACCUAGUUGGUCAGGCAAUUUGUUGAAGAUAAGUCCAGUAAUAUGAGGACUUGGAAGUGUUACAGGAUUUGGCAGUGCAGUUAUCUUUGGUGAUGGUGAUAAAAUAAAUUUCAAUGGGAUGAGGAAAAUUAAGGCAGACUGGAGAUAUGGAUUCAAGGCAACCAGAGCAAAGGAAACAGCUGUGACUACGGGUAAUACUUUUAAAAAAUGUUGUGAAGACAGAAAAGAUGUAGGACAGUAACUAGAGUGGGAUAAAGGGACGAGUGAGAAUUUUUUUAAGUGGCGGUAUAUGUAUAUAUAUGUGUGUCUUUUCAUGUAUAUUAUCAUAUAUAAUCAUAUAUGAUAAAGGUUUUGCAUAUUUAUUUGUAUGCUAAUUAUCUAAUCCACUAGAAAAGAAAGACAGGAGAAAUGCUGGAAGUUUCCUUGAACAGGCAAGAGGGAACAGGAGCCAAGAACCAAGAUGAGAUAGGCACAGGUGGCAUAUGAAUGAUGUUGAAAUCCAUGAGACUGGAUAAGUUCAUCCAGUAAGUGACUAUAAAUGAAGAAUAGUUCAGAGGACAGUUUCCUGCAUAUCCUAAUCUCAUGGGAGCAUGUUGAAAUUCUAUUUUCGUAUACAGUCUUUAGUUAUUAACGAAGACUGAGGACAUAAUAUGUAUGAAGAUGCCUUAUCUAUUGGAUCUUUAAAAUAAAGUGGAUGCUUCCUGUGUUAAUUUCCUCCUUUCAACUUCUAUAUACACUUUGUCUUAUAAGUUUUAACCUCCAAAACUUCAAAUCAUGACCGUUAGCACACUUCUUUCUAAACCUUGAAAUCUAUACGUUAUUUUUUGUUAAAUUCCUAAUUGUGUUAAUGUAGAAAUUUGGUAGAGAUUGGUGUUGGUAUCUUUUGAUCUGAUAUGUGGAAUGUAUGUCAUUUAAUCCUGUCUUGAGCUGUGGAGGUUUAUUUCUCACACUGUCUCUCAGGAAAUUCUAUUUCCUAAAAAUAUUCAUGGGGACUUUAGGAAAGACUACAAAUAUUAAAUUGAAUAAUAAUAAAAAUAAAAAUUACAAAAAAUCAAGAGACAAAUUUUUAAAUUUUAUAAGCUUGUCUAGCACUUGCAAAAGAUAUUUUUAAAUUACAUUAGCUAGAUGAAAAUUGAUGUCAGUUGAAAUCUCUUUCCAAGUUACAAAAUGACAUAGAGCAAAGGCCUUUAUCAUCAGGGACUUAAGAUUUUAUAAUGAAAGUAUGUAUAUUUCUCUUACAAAUUAAAAUAUAAGAAUCAUAAAGUAUAUAAACUUUAUGAGCUCCGCUCCCUCUUUUGCUUUCAGAAUAAUGUCAUUCUUUGGUGCACCUGGGUGGCUUAGUCGGUUAAGUGUCUGGCACUUAAUUUUGGCUCAGGUCAUGAUCUCAUGGUUCAUGUGUUUGAGCCCGCUUUGGGCUCUGCACAGACAGCAUGGAGCCUGCUUGUGAUUCUCUCUCUAUCUACACUCUAUCUCUAUCUCCCCCUCUAUCUGCACCUUCCCUAAUUUCUAAACAAACAAAGAAACAAAUACUAAAAAAAGAAUAAUGUCAUUCCUUGAAAAAUAUUUUAAAAAGCAUAUAUGUUGUCCAUAUCCCCAAAUUGUUUUUUAUUCCAUAAACCUUCUUUAAAAGCUUCUGUGAGAACUUUUGAAUUUGGUUUUCAGUGGAAGUCAAAUGUUUAUGCCUUUAAAUUUUUUUCCCUGCUUAGUAUGCAUUCCCAUAUUUGUUCUUGAACUUCAUAGUGCAACAAGUAAUAAUGGAUACAAAAAAAAAGUUUUCUCAGAUCUUCCUCAUAUUUAUUUUUGAGUAUAUUCCAAGUGUUAAUAUCCAUGACUGUAGAAGUGGUGGUUUAUUUUCACAUGGAAUAUGGUGCGUUUCUCUAGUCAAAGAUACACAAAGCUGCACUGCACCUAACUACUGAUAUGGAUUAUAUGCAGCACAUUUAUAAUGAUAAACUGAAAGACUGAAAGCAUUGCUAUUUACUUAAUUUGGAUCUGGCUGAACAUAUACAUUUCUGACAAAAAAGAAAAAAAUCCUAGUGCUAGAUAGAUAUUUGUAUUGGUUCUCCUUGAUUUCAUGUCAGUAAUUGCUCCUCUUCUAGUUCUGUCAACUCUUUCUAGAAAGGUAAGCUAUAAAUCGAAUGGACAAACAUUACUGAUGAGACAGAAUUAUAAAUCUAUCUUAUAGGAUAUUCACCAAUAUGAAAAUAUAUUAAAUUCAUGUUUAUGUUUUCAUUUUGUGUGAAAUUUUUGUAAGUGUUCACUAUGUGAAGUACUCAAAAUAUUACUUUGUAAAGUAGAAACAAGAUGGUUAAUAUUUUUAAUAUAACAUUAAACUUGCUCAAAUAUUAGCCAAGCCUUUCAAUUGAAUAUCAGAAAUGAAUUAAAAGAUUAUAUCUACUGUAAUAGAGCGUAUUUUCAGUGGAACAUAAGAUCAUUGAAGUCAAGGGCCCAUGUGUUUUUCAAUGACACUUCAUAGAGAGUCAGCACCUCAUAGUGGUGAGGAACUUGUAGAAAGGAAUCACACAAUCAGACUUGAAAUAAAUUAUUUAAUUCUUCUCUUUCUCAAUUUCCCCAUUUGUAAGAAGGGGAUAUUUACAUAUUAUAUCAUGUAUCUAUAUCAUAGGGUUGUUAUUACAAUUAAAACAUGAUGCACAUGAAUCUUAAAAGACAGUGUCAGUUCCAUAGUGGGUAUAUAACAAAUGUGGGGUUUUUUUAUUAUUUAUACACAAUAAUUCAUCAGACUCUAGGUAUUAAGUACCUAAUAUAUGUGAGAGAUUUGGGAUACUUUAUAUAAAUUAUUUUCAUUAUUAAAUGCUAAUAUUAAUAUUAAACACUGUAACAAACUAUCAUAUAAAAAAGUUUACUUCUUAAAAUACAAAUCUUCAGUACUAGAAUAUAGGUUUCAGGAGUUUGCUAUCUUACCUUUGUAAUUUCAACCAUACUUUGUGUUUCACAUAAUAAAUUGCUGGUAUUAUUGUCUUCUUUCUAGGAUGAAUGCAAAAGUUUGAUCACACUUUUAACACUUGACUGUAGAGUUGUCUUUUAGUCACCUUCCAACCUUGCCAACAAAUUCAAUCAGCUUAAGAGCAUUUUAAUGUACCUAUGCAACUCCUCAGAAUUUAAGAUUAGGAGAGAAAAGUAGGUCAUAUGACCUUUAUAAGUAGUACUCAAUAGUUACUCUUGAAAUGAUAGAAUUAGUUUAAUUUAAGCUGCAAUUUGAUUGAAAUGUUUUCCAGCUUAAAAUCAGAUACUCGACUAGCGCCUACAAUGUGAGGAAGGUUAUGUGCAGUGCAUUUCUAAUGCAGUAGAAAUGCAGUCAAGUCAAAUAAAAUUAUUUUGUCCUCAGUAAUCAAGAAGAGGUUGCCCUAGAUGUUUUAGAUUCCAAUUUUUAAUUUAACAAGAAAGCUUAAGUGUACAGUAGCGUAGAGUAUAUACGACUCAGCUCUUUUUACUUAGAAGAAAAGUGCAAUAUUUUACUUCACUCUGACCUUGAGUCAAAGCUUUGCAAAUAAUCUGAUUCUGAGUGGAUUGGGGGUGAAAUGAAAUGAAAAAAAAAAAAAAAAGAAAAAAAGAGAAAAGGAAGAACUGCUUUUAUCAUGACCAGAUGGUAAUUUUUACUAGUUGGCAGUGAAUUAAAACACAUUUUUUGAAAGGAAAGUAUACAUUAUAGACUGGCACAACUAAAUGUGUGAAAGUAUCCCAAAAAUAGAUAAAAAUAUUCUUUAGCUUUGAAAUAAAGUUAUAAUAAACUUGUCUAAGUGAUGGUUAUCUGUAGGAUACAGGUAGCAAUGAAGACUAACGAUACAGUCAAAGGUCCUAAAGGAAUUAGAACUGAGUCAACAAGAUCUAAUUUCUGACAUUAUAUCCUUAAAAACCUGAAUUGUAUUCCUCAUGUGCUAGUUCUAGGCUAAACCUGGUAUAUAAUUUAAUAUUAACUUCUCCCUUUCCCAGUGAAACCCCAGCCAGUCCCAGUGAAAACCACACAAUUGAUUUCUCAACUAAAUUUUUGAAAUCAACUGAAUUCUUUCAUAGGGUACACAACUUUAAAUCUGCUAAAUUAUUCAUUAAAUAGUUUUUUAAGCUCUUUAAGUGCACCAGGAAAGUUGCAAUGACAUAACCUGAAGGCCAUUAAAACUCACUUGCCAAAAUCCUGGAAAACACCAAUAUUUAAUUACUUAUUGCUAAUCAUUCUAUAGUUAGUUUCAUUUGUCUUAUUAUUGGCAUGACUUUUUGCUUAGACACAGUGAUUCUGUCUAAUCCUUUGAUGGUUGAUAUGGUGGAACUGAUGAACUCUUUAAAGAUAUUAGUAAUCUUUAAACCUUUCUAGUAGUGGAAUGUCUGAAUAUUUUACUAGGAAAUGAGUGAAAUAGCAUUUCAACACACCAGUGCAGGUUAAAAUUUGAACACGUUCACCAGACAAGAAGCAGUUCAGGCCCUGAGUUCUAGGCCCAUUUUGCUGCCCUACCAGGGCAGGGAAGUAAGUUUAUAUCCCAUAUACUAUUGAAUAUAGGGUCUAGUCCUGGUCAUCCAGUAAAGCAGACAAGAUGUCUUGUCUGUGAAGCCCAUCCUAUAGCCUCACUUCAAUACAAAAGUAAGGCAGCAGGACUGUUCAACUGAUAGCCAGUAGCACACCUCCCCAUGCCCAUCUUCAGAGCUCAAAAAAUUGCCUUUCUCCAAAACAGACCAUAAUAGCAGGCCCCACCUUCCCAAGGAAAUUAUAAGCAGAUAUACCCAGAAACCCCAACUGAGCUUACUGGUGAAAACCUGUCUCUGCCAAAGCAUACCAGUAGUGUCUGGAAGAGAAGCAAAAUUACUCAAAUGCACAGAUACCAAUGUAAGGAAAUAAGGGUUACAAAAAAAAAUCAGGUAAAUAUGACACCUCCAAAGGUAACUAAUAACUAAUAAAGCUCCAAUAAUUCACCCUAAGAAAAAUGGAAAAUUUAUGAACUGUCAAAGAAUUCAGAAUAAUCCUCUUGAAAAAGCGAGUGAACUAUAAGAAAACACAGACAACUAAACAAAAUUAAGAAAACAAUGCAUGAAAAAAAUGAGAAGUUUAACAAAGAAAUAGCAAUCUUCAUUUAAAAAAAACAGAAAUCUUAGAGUUGAAAAAUAUAACUUAACUGAAGAAUUCAAUAAAGUGUAUCAAAAGUAGACUUGACCAUGCAGAGGUAAGAAUCAGCAACCUGGAAGAUAGAACAUUGGCUAUUCAGAGGGACAAAAGAGAAAAAAAUGAAAAAGAGUAAAGAAAACCUGUAAGAAUUAUAGGACACAAUUAAACAAUUUUUGUUUAUUUUUUAAUAUUUUCUUUUUAAAUUUAUUUUUGAGACAGAGAGCAUGAGGGUGGUGGGGCAGAGAGAAACACAUUCAGUCUGAAGCAGGCUUCAGGCUCUGAGCUUUCAGCACAGAGCCCGACGUGGGGCUUGAACAUGUGAAGUGCAAGAUUAUGACUUGAGCUGAAGUCAGAUGUUUGACUGAUCUACCCAUGCACCCCUAAAAGAAACAAUGUUUACAUUAUGGGAAUUUCAAAAGGAGAAGAGAAAGAGAAGGGACCGAAAGCACAUUUAAAGCAACCACGGUUGAAAACUUUCCAACCCUUGGGAGAGAAAUGGACAUCUAGAUCCAUGAGGCCCCAAAGAAUCCCAAAUAGGUUGAAAAUGAAUAGGGCUACACCAAGACCCAUUACAAUUAAAUUGUCAAAAGUGAAAGACAUAAAGAAUUUUAAAAGCGGCAAGAGAAAGUAGAGAAGUUGCAUAUAAGGGAACCCGCAUAAGAUGAUUGGCAUAUUUUCAAACAGAAACUUUUCAGACCAAGAAAGAAUGGGGUGACAUAUUCAAGAUAGUGAAAUAAAAUAACUGCCAACCAGAAAUUCUAUACCCAGAGAAGCUAUCCUUUAGAAACAAAGGAAGAAUAAAAACUUCCCUGAAAACAAAACUGACAGAGUCCAUUACUAGUCCUGCCUUAAUAAUAAAUGCUAAAGGGAGUUAUUUGAGUGGAAGUAAAAGAAUGUUAAUUAACAUUACAAAAACAUGUAAAAAGUACUAUAAAUCUCACUGCUUCUGGUAAAUAUAUAGUUAUGGUUAGAUUCUGCAAUAUGGUGAUAGUGGUAUCUACUUCAGUCACAUCUCUAAAAGUUAAAAAAAAAUCAUAGUGAAAAUAACUAUAACUGUAAUAAUCUGUUAUUAGUUACAAAAUACAGAAAAAAAGGUAAUAGCUAUAGCCUAAAAUGCGAGGAGGAAGAGAAAAGUGUAAAGUUUAUGAAUUCGAUUGAAGUUGUUAUCAGUUUAAAACAGGGUAAGUUUAAGCUUUUAUAAGCUUCAUGGUAACCUCAAGGGAAUAUCCUAUAGUAAUUACACACAAACACAUAAAAACAAACAAAAAAACAAAAAACACACAAAAAAUAAGUCAAAGCAUACCUAUAACAAAAAAUAUCAAAACAUGCAAAAAAAAAAAAAAAAAAAAAGACAGCAGGAUAAGAAACAAGGAGCAAUGGAUCAACAAACAACCAGAAAACAAUGAACAAAAUGGCAAUAGUAAGUUCUUAUCAAUAAUUACUUUAAACAUAAACAGAUUAGAUUCAGCAAAUAAAAGACAUAGAAUGGCUGAAUUGGCUUUAAAAAUAUAUAAUGUGUUGGGGCGCCUGGGUGAUUCAGUUGGUUAAGUGUCCAACUUCAGUUCAGGUCAUGAUCUCACGGUUUGUGGGUUCGAGCCCCGCAUUAGGCUCUGUGCUGACAGCUCAGAGCCUGGAGCCUGAUUCUGAUUCUGUGUUUCCCUGUCUCUCUGCCCCUACCCCCACUCAUGUUCUGUCUCUCUUUGUCUCAAAAAUAAAUAAAAUAUUAAAAAAUUAAAAAAAAUAAUAUGUUGCCUACAAAAGACUCACUUUACACUUAAAGACACACAGAGAUUGAAAGUAAAGGGAUGGAAAAAGACAUUUCAAGCAAAUGGUAAACAGAAAAGGGAUAGCUAUACUUGUAUUAGACCAAAAAAUCUUUAAGAAUGGCAAGAGAGAAGAAAGUCAUUAUAUAAUGAUAAAGAAGCCGAUGCAUCAAGAAGAUACAACAUUGUAAAGAUUUAUGUACCCAACUUUGGAGCACCUAAAUAAGCAAAAAUGAGUAGAGCUAAAAGAAGAAACAAAUAGUAAUGCAAUUACAGUUGGAAACUUUAAACUCUACUUUCAACAAAGGAUGGAUCAGACAGAGAAUCAACAAGGAAACAGCAGAUUUGAAAAACAGUAUCAAUCGAAUGGUGCUAACAGACAAAUUCAGAAGAUUUUAUCCAACAGCAGAAUACACAUUCUUUUUAAGCACCCAGAACAUUUUCUAGGAUGGACCAUAUGUUAGGCCACAAAACAAGAUUCAAAUAGAUUGAAAACAUACCAAGUAUCUUCUCUGAUCACAAUGGCAUGAAACUAAAAAAUCACAAGAGUAAAAGUGGAACAUUUAUAAACAUAUGGAAAUAAAACAACAUUUUCCUGAAUAACCAAAACAUCCAAUAAGGAAAUAAAGGGGAAAUAAAAGUUUCUUGAGAUAAAUGAAAAUGGAAACAGCAUAUCAGAACUUAGAGGUUGCAGCAAAAGCAGUUUUAAGAGGGAGAUUCAAAGCAAUAAAAUUUUACAUCAAUAAGAAGAAAGAUCCCAUAAACAACUUGACUCUCCAGAAGCUGGAAAAGGAAGAAUAAACUGAGCCUCAAGUUAACAGAAGAAAGGAAAUAGUAAAGAUUAGAUUAGAAAUAAAUGAAAUAGAGCAGAAAAAUAACAGAAAAGAUGAACCAAACUAAGAGUUGGUUCUUUGAAAAGAUAAACAAAAUUGACAAACCAUUAGCUAGAAUAACAAGAAAAGAAAAAGAACCCAAAGAAACAAAAUUCUUAAUGAAAAAGGGGACAUUACAACUUAUUCCACAGAAAUUCAAAGGAUCAUAAGAGGCUACUAUGAACAACUAUACACCAACAGACAGGACAAAUUAAAGAAAUGGAAAAAUUCUUAGAAACAUGCAACUUACCAAGACUGAAUCAGGAAGAAAUAGAAAACCAGAAUAGACUAAUUACUGGUAUGGAGAUUGAAGCAAAUGUCCCAACAAAGAAAAUCCCAUGACCAGAUGGCUUCACUAGUGAAUUUUGUCAAACAUUUCAAGAAGAAUCAACACCAAUUCUUUUCAGACACUUCCAAAAAAGUUGAAGAGGAGAAAAUACUCCCAAACUUAUUUUAUGAGACCAGUAUUAUCCUGAUACAAAAACCAGAAAAGAACAUUACUACAAAAGAAAAUCUACAGGCCAACAUCCCUGAUGAAUAUAGAUGACAAAUUUCUUAAUAAACUACUAACAAACCAAAUUCAUACAUCAUGAUCAAGUGGGAUUUAUCCUUGGGAUGCAGAGAUAGUUCAACAUAUGCAAAUCAAUCGGUGUGAUAUAUCACAUUAAUGGAAUGAAAGAAAAUCAUAUGAUCAUUUCAGUAGACACCACAAAAGCUUUUGAGAAAAUUCAACAUCCACUCAUGAUAAAAAUUCUUUAAAAAUUAGACAUAAUAACAUAUCUCAACAUAAUAAAGGCCAUAUAUGACAAACCCACAGCUAACAUACUCAAAGGUGAAAGAUUGAAAGCUUUUCCUCUAAGGUCAGGAAGAAGACAUUCACACUAGUCUUAGGCACAUAGUACUAGAAGUCUUAGCUAAAGCAGUCAGGCAAGAAAAAGAGAUAAAAGUUAUCAGAAUUGGAAAGGGAGAGGUAAAACUGUCUCUUUCUUCAGGUGACUUAAUUUUAUACAUAGAAAACCCCAGAGACUCAACCAUAACUGUCAAUGAAAUCAGUAAAGUUGCAGAAUACAAACUUGAAAAAAAAGUCAGUAGCAUUUCUAUAUACUAACAAUGAAUUUUCUGAACAAGAAAUAAUUUGAUCCUAUUCAAUAGUAUUAAAAACAAUAAAACACUUAGAAAUAAAUUAAGGAAGUAAGCGCUCUUUACUCUGAAAGUAUAAGAUAUUGAUGAAAUAAACUGAAUAAGACAUAAAUAAGUGAAAAAGUAUUCCAUGUUCAUGGCUUAGAAGAAUUCAUGUUGUUAAAAUGUCAAUAUUACCAAAAGUCAUCUGUAGAUUCAUUACAAUCCUUAUCAAAUUCCAAUGGCAUUUUUUAUAGAAGUAUGAAAAAUACUCCUAAAAUUUAUAUGGAAACACAAAAAGCUCCAAAAUAAAAUUCUAGAAAGAACAAAGCAGGAGAUAUCACACUUCUUAAUUUCAAGCUAUGCUAUAAAGCUAUAGUCAUCAAAAAAGUAUGGUACUAGCAUAAAAUAGACAAAUAGACCAAUGGAAGAGAAUUGAAAGCCCAGAAAUAAACCAAGUAUAUAAGAUCAACUAAUAUUUGUGAAUGGAGCCAAGAAUACUCAGUGGAGAAAGAGUCUCUUCAAUGAAUGGUGCUGAGAUCAUUGUAUAUACACGUGUGAAAGAAUGAGAUUGGAUCUACACACUACUCUCAAACGUUAACUUAAAAUAGACUAAAGGCUUAAAUGUAAGACCUGAAACCAUGAAACUUCUAAGAGAAAAUAUAGGAGUAAAUCUCCUUGAUAUAGAUCUUGAUAAUAAAUUUUUGGAUAUGACAACCUAAAGCAAAGCAACAAAAUAAAAAAAAUAAACAAGUGAGACUACAUUAAACUAAACAGCUUUUGUGCAGCCAAAGAAACCAUAAAAAAUGAAAAGACAACCUGUGGAAUUGGAAAACGUUUGCAAACCAUUUACUUGAUUAGACUUAAUAUCCAAAAUGUAUAAAGAACCCCUAAAACUCAAUAGUGAAAUAAUAAAUAACCCAAUUAAAAAUCGUUAAAGGGCCUGAACAGAUACUUCUCAAAAGAAGAUAUAGGAAAGCCAGUAGGUACAUGAAAAGAUGUUGAACAUCACUAGUCAUUAAGGAAAUAGAAAUGAAAGCCACAAUAGGGUAUCACAUGCCUGUUACAAUGACCAUCAUCAAAAAGACGAGAGAUAAGAAAUGCUGGUGUGGAUGUGGAGAAAAGGGAACCACUGUGCACUGUUGGUGGGAAUGUAAAUUGGUAUAGCUACUAUGGAAAACAGUAUGGAGGAUCCUUUAAAAAUGAAAAAUAAAACUCUUGUGUGAUCUAGCAAUUCCACUUCUGGGACUGUAUCCAAAGAAAACAAAAAUACUAACUUGAAAAAAUAUCUUUACCCCACAUUCAUAGAAUCAUUAUUUAAAGCCAAGAUAUGGAAGCAUCCUGUGUUCAUUAAUGGAUGAAUGGAUAAAGAAGUUGUGGUAUGUGAUAUUCAGCCACAAAGAAAUGAGGAAAUCCUACCAUUUACAAGAACAUAGAUGGACUUCGGAGGCAUUAUAGUAGGUAAAAUAAGUCAGACAAAUAAAUACUGUAUGAUUUAAUUUACAUGUGAAAUCUAAAAGAACCCCACAAAAACAAAAAUCCAUAGAUAAUGAGAUUAGACUUGUGGUUAUUGGAGGCAGAGAAUAGUGGAAGAGGAAAUUGAAGGAAGGUGGUCAAAGGGUACAAACUUCCAGUUACAAGAUAAGUAAAUACUACAAUGGAAUGUGCAGCAUGAUGAUGUAACACUGCUGUAUGAUAUAUAACAAUGUUGCUAAGAGUAAAUCUUAGGAGUUCUCAUUACAAGGGGAAAGUUUUUCUUUAUUGUAACUAUAUGAGAAAAUGGAUGGUAGCUGAACCCCUUGUGUAAUCAUAUAUAUAUGUAAUCAUAUAUAUAUGACACAUAUAUAUAUCAAACCAUUGUGCUGUAUACCUUAAACUUAUAUAGUGAUGUAUGUCAAUUAUUUCUUAAUAAAACUGAAAAAACAAAAGCCCUUAACACUUAUUUUAAGUGCUUGCAUGGGUUAAGUGUUUUCUACCUUUGGAUCUUUGGUUAGUUUGAAAAAUACUUUGACAUAAGGCACAAAAUAUGCAUCUAUCUUAAUUUUUUAUAGUUGCUAAACAAAUUUGUUAUGAACUAGUAUUCAAUAAUCCAAACUUUUCAUACUGUUCUGAAAGGAUUUUAUCAUAUAUAUUGUUUUCCCCCACCAAAAAAAAAAAAAAUCCACACUCACACAUUUUGAUGAGGCCACUGCAAAACUUUCAUAUUGAAUAGAUGCAAUGUAUUCCAAGGUGUAUGAAUCAAAUCAGAACAGAGGAACAGAGUACAUUAUUCAGUAGCUAUACAUGUACAAUUUAAAACUCAUUGCUUGAGGGAUGCCUGGGUGGCUCAGUUUGUUGAGUGUCAGACCUGCGGUUUGUGGGUUCGAGCCCCACGUGGGGCUCUGUGCUGGAAGCUCAGAGUCUGGAGCCUGCUUCAGAUUCUGUGUCUCCCUCUUUGUGCCCCUCCCCCCCCCCCACAUGCUCGCUCUCUCUCUUUCUCUCUCCCUCUCUCUCUCUCUUAAAAAUAAAUAUACAUUACAAAAAUUAAAAAAAAAAAUAGGGGCGCCUGGGUGGCGCAGUCGGUUAAGCGUCCGACUUCAGCCAGGUCACGAUCUCGCGGUCCGUGAGUUCGAGCCCCGCGUCAGGCUCUGGGCUGAUGGCUCAGAGCCUGGAGCCUGUUUCCGAUUCUGUGUCUCCCUCUCUCUCUGCCCCUCCCCCGUUCAUGCUCUGUCUCUCUCUGUCCCAAAAAUAAAUAAACGUUGAAAAAAAAAUUAAAAAAAAAAUAAAACUUUUUGCUUGAAAACUUAUUGCUUAUUUAUCAAAGUAAUUACUGAGUGAUAUCACCUCACGCCAGUCAGAGUGGCCAAAAUGAACAAAUCAGGAGACUAUAGAUGCUGGAGAGGAUGUGGAGAAAUGGGAACCCUCUUGCACUGUUGGUGGGAAUGCAAACUGGUGCGGCCACUCUAGAAAACACUGUGGAGGUUCCUCAAAAAAUUAAAAAUAGACCUACCCUAUGACCCAGCAGUAGCACUGCUAGGAAUUGACCCAAGGGAUACAGGAGUACUGAUGCAUAGGGGCACUUGUACCCCAAUGUUUAUAGCAGCAAUCUCAACAAUAGCCAAAUUGUGGAAAGAGCCUAAAUGCCCAUCAACUGAAUGGAUAAAGAAAUUGUGGUUUAUAUACACAAUGGAGCACUAUGUGGCAAUGAGAAAGAAUGAAAUAUGGCCCUUUGUAGCAACGUGGAUGGAACUGGAGAGUGGAUGCUAAGUGAAGUAAGCCAUACAGAGAAAGACAGAUACCAUAUGCUUUCACUCUUAUGUGGAUCCUGAGAAACUUAACAGAAACCCAUGAGGGAGGGGAAGGAAAAACAAAACAAAACAAAGGUUAGAGUGGGAGAGAGCCAAAGCAUAAGAGACUUAAAAACUGAGAACAAAUUGAGGGUUGAUGGGGGCUGGGAGGGAGGGGAGGGGAGGGUAGGUGAUGGGUAUUGAAGAGGGCAUCUUUUGGGAUGAGCACUGGGUAUUGUAUGGAAACCAAUUUGACAAUAAAUUUCAUAUAUUAAAAAAACAAAGUAAUUACUGAGUUGAUUUUUCUUUCAAUCUAAUUUUUAUAAUAAUCGGUAUGAUAAAGUUAAAUGCCCAUCAUGGUGAUUUCUGUUUUUUUUUUUUUAAUUAAUUGCAAGAAACCCAGAGUUAUAUUUCUUCUUUAUCUGAAUUUUCAGAAACACAAUUGGAAAAUGAUAAUCACAAAGAUUAGGAUUUCAAGAUACACUGAUAUUUAAAGUUAGAUAGAAAGCUGAGAGCGUUCGAAUACUUGGUACCAUGAGAGAAGGCUACACAUUUGUAGCCUACACAUUUUAUUAGACUAAUCAUUUAUCUAGCAGUAAACACAAUUCAUCUUAUGUAAUAUAGCACAGUAGGGCAAUAAAAAUAAUAAUUAAAAUUAGCUAAUAUUUUUCUGCAUGCUAUGUGGCAUAUUUUUGUGCAUGUGUAUAUCCAUAUUGUGCAUGCAUUGAUACCUAAAUCUGACAAAUUUAUGAAGCAGAGAGAACUUAAGAGGCCAGUUUGCACAGCUUAUAAGUGAUAGAAGAUCUGGGAUUCCAACCCAGGCAACCUGGCUGCACAGUCUAUGUCUGACUAGUGUAAGAUACUGUUUUUCGAAGAAAAAAAAAGUAGAAGAAUUUGGUUGUCUACAAUGAUUUUAGCUUAGUGGCAUAUUUUAUAUAUUGCAUUGGUAUAAUUUACAAACCUGAUACACAAUUGAAGCAUCAUGAUAAUACUGGUCUAUUUAAAUAAGCAUCAAUCGUAGCAAAUAUCUCUAAUCCUUGUGAAUAUAUGUGUGGGGUUUUUUUAGAGAUCUUUAUUUCAAUCAUAUGAAAUAACAUUUCAUAUUCAAACAUGUCAUUUUUAUUUUUAUUCACACAAAUAAGAUCAUGUAUAAACGGUUAUGAAAAUUAUUUUUCACUAAAUAAUUCAUGUAAGGUUUUUUUUUUAUGUAUUGUGUCUUGACAGUAAAUUCUGUGAGACCUGUUCUGCUCCACCUGACAACCUUCCCUUUUCCUUCUGUUAUGAUUUUCUCUUGCUUUGUGCUGGCCGAAUUGCUUAGUGUAAGCAAUUAUAAGUGGAGACAGAGAUGGUAACUUUGCCAAACUCUCUUUAUUCCAGGUCUAUUAAAUUUUUGUGGUAAAAUACAAUGAACAUAAAAUUUACCAUAUUAACCAAAUUUAAGUGGACAUUCCUAUUGUUGCAUAAUCAUCACCACCAUUCAUCUCCAGAAUUCUUUUUAUCUUGCAAAACAUAAAUUUUACACCCAGGAAGUAAUAACUUCCCAUGUCUUGACAGCCACAAUUUAACUUUCUGUCUCUACCAUUUUGACUGCUGUAGGUACCUCACAUAAGUGGAAUCAUGCAGUAUUUUUGCUUUUGUUAUUGGCUUAUUUCACUUAACAUAAUGUCCUCAAGGUUCAUCCAUGUUGUGGUAUAUGUCAGAAUUUCUUUCCCUUAUAAAUAAGGCUGAGUAAUACUCUCUUGUAUAUACCAUAUUUUGCUUAUCAUUCAUCCAUUAAUGGACAUUUGAACUGCUUGCAUGUUUUAGUUGUUAAUGAUGCUGCUAUGAAUGUGGAUGUACAAAUAUUUUAAGACUCUGCUUUCAAUGAUCUUGGGUAUUUAUCUAAAGUGGAAUUACUUGAUCAUAUGGUAAGUAUAUUUUUAAGUUUCUGAGCAACUACAAUACUGUUAACACAGCAGCUGUACCAUUUUACACAUCCUCCAACAGUGCACAAGGAUUCUAAUUUCUUGAGUGGUGGUAUCUCACUGUAGUUUUGAUUUUCAUUUCCCUAAUGAUUAGUUGAGCCCUUUUUAAAAAAUGUGCUUAUUGGCCAUUUGUACAUCUUUAGAGAAUUCAAAUCAUUUGUCAGUAUUUGGACCAGGGUGACUGUUUUUUAUUGAGUUUUAGAAGUUCUCUAUUUAUCCUGGAUAUUAAUUUCUUGUCAGAUAAAUGAUUGGAAAUAUUUCUUCUCAUUCUGGGUGUUGCCUUUUUGCUCUGUUGAUAAUGUAUUUUGAUGUGCACAUUCUGUUUAAAAUGUUGUAUGAUUUCAUCGUACAUGUAUUUAGGUAUACAUACCUUCAGGUUAUAUGGGAGUCCAGGAGAUAGAGUGAGCCAGAGAUAUGUACAUAUUCAAUUUGAAGGAAAGAUUUUUUUUUUUAAUUUUCAUGAAGUUUAAUUUGUUAACUUUUCUUUUGUUGUCUGGGGCUUUUGGUAUCAUAUCUAAGAAAUCUCUGCCAAAUCAUGUCAUGAAGCUUUUGUCCUAUGUUUCCUCCUAAAAGUUUUAUAGUUUUAGGUACACUUGGAUAUCUAGUUUUCUCAGCACUGUUUUUUAAGAAGACUGCCCUUUUUCCAUUGAAUAGUCUUGACCAUCUUGUGAAGAAUCGUUUGACUAUCCAUGUUAGAGUUUAUUUCUUGGAUCUUAAUUCUAUUUCAUUCUAUUCUGUAUGUCUGUCUUUAUGCCAGUACCACACUGUUUUGAUUACUGGAGGUUUUUCAUUAAACCUUUUGAAAUCAGGAAGUGUAAGCCAAUUGGUGUUGUUCUUGUUUUUCAUGAUUGUUAUGUCUAUUCAGGGCUCUUUUGAAAUCAUAUGAUUUAAUUUUUUUAGGAUGGAUUAUCUAUUUAUGUAAAAAGUAUAAUUGGGGUUUUUAUAGGGAUUGAAUUGAAUCUGUAGACUGCUUUGAAUAGUAUUGACAUUGAACAUUUUUUGUUUAUGUUUUCAAUUUCUUCAACAAUAUUUUCUAGUUUUCAUUGUACAAGUCUUUAUUUCCUUAGUCAAUUAUUCAGUAUUUUAUUCUUUUUGAUGCUAUUCAAGGUGAAGUUGUUUUUGUAAUUUCCUUCUAAGGAUAUUCAUUGUUAGGGUAUAGAAAUGUAACUGGUUUUUGUGUAUUGGCUUUGUAUCCUUCUACUUUACUGAGUAAGUUUAUUAUAACAAUGUGUGUGUGUGUGUGUGUGUGUGUGUGUGUGUGUGUGUGUGUGUAUCUUUAGGGUUUUCUACAUGUGAGAUCACAUCUUCUACAAAAAAGAUAAAUAUUACUUCUUCCUUUCCAAUGUGGAUACCUUGUAUUUCUCUUUCUUUCUUUCUUUCUUUCUUUCUUUCUUUCUUUCUUUCUUUUUCUUUCUUUCUUUCAGCCUAGUUGCUUUGCCUAGAAUUUUCAGUACUUUGUUGAAUAGAAGUGGUAAAAGUGGGCAUCCUUCUGAUGUUUGCGGUGACCUUUAUUAUGUUGAAAGUGUUUUCUUCUAUUCCUACUACUUUGCUGAGUAUUUUUUAUCACUAAAGAAUCUUCACUUUUUACUGUUUUUUUUUUCUGUAUCAGUUGAGAAUGAUUUUGUGUUUAUUUUUCCUUCAUUUUAUCAAUGUGUUGUAUUACACUGAUUGAUUUUCAUAUGUUGAACCAUCCUUGCAGUCCAGGAAUAAAUUCCACUUGGUCAUUUUAAUAUGCUGUGAAAUUCAGUUUGCUGGUAUUUUGUUGAAGAUUUUUGCAAUGUUCAUAAGGAAUAUUGGUCUGUAGUUUUCCUUUCUCAUUGUGUCUUGUUUUGCUUUGGUAUCCUGGUAAUUCUGGUCCCAUAGAAUGAAUUAGAAAGUAGUAUGUCCUAUAUAUAAUUUCCUUUCCUUUCCUUUCCUUUCCUGUCCUGUCCUGUCCUGUCCUUUCUGAUUUCAUUUAAGAAAUUAUAUAAGUAAAACGAUUAAAUUAAUUAUGAACUAAUUAUAUCAUUUGUUUGCUUAUCAUUUGUCUGUAACUCAGUUGCCCAGAGCUUUCUGUUGCAUGAUUGCUUCAGUAAUAUCCUCAGUUAGUGUUGGUAUAGUUAGGAUGUAAAAUUAGCAAUAUUGGGCAGCUUGUUUCAUUUAUGAAUUUCAUUUUUUAAAUGUAUUUAUUGGGGCGCCUGGGUGGCUCAGUCGUUUAAGCGUCUGACUUCGGCUCAGGUCAUGAUCUCGCGGUCCGUGAGUUCUAGCCCCGUGUCGGGCUCUGUGCUGACAGCUCAGAGCCUGGAGCCUGUUUCAGAUUCUGUGUCUCCCUCUCUCUCUGACCCUCCCCCAUUCAUGCUCUGUCUCUCUCUGUCUCAAAAAUAAACGUUAAAAAAAUUAAAACAAAUAAAUAAAAUGUGUUUAUUUAUUUUGAGAGAGUGUGUGCUUGUGCCCGCGAGUGGAGGAGGGGCAGAGAAUGGGGGAGAGAGAGGAUCCUAGCAGGCUCCCUACUGUCAGCGCAUACCAUAGUGGGGCUCAAACUCCUGCACCAUGAGAUCAUGACCUGAGCCUAAAUCAACAGUUGGAUGCUUACCCAACUGAGCCACCCAGGAGCCCCUUAUUUAUGGAUUUCUUCUCUAUUGAAGAUCAGCUUCAGACACUUGUGGUUCUUGUGAUAACACAGAGGUUCUUCAAUAUAUAAUAAUAAAUUUAAAUAUAAAAUGAAUACCUUUACUCUUUAAUACUUAUUCUUCCUAUAGAAUCUUUACUAAUUAUUUUAGUUUGAGUUUCUCUCACACGUCUUUAAACUUGUGUCACCUUUAUAACAGCUGAUAUAAUUUAUUUAUUUAUUUUUUUUCCUAAUUUGUAUGUGUGGUGGAUGGUAUAGGUACUGCAUGCUGGUAGAAAUUAAAAUUUUGUAAAUACCUACUUUUACUCUCCAAAUAUGUUAUUUCAAAUAUAACAUAAUUAAAUGUAUAAAUAGUUUAUUUUCUGUCUUAAAAAUCACCUCUGCCUUGAAGAUAAUCUGCUUAGAAAUACAUAUUGCUUAUAAAAGCCACAUUCUUGACCUCUUAUACUCUGUUACGACAAUAAAUAUGCAUUAAAACAGUAAAUAGCUAUGAAACAGUUGUUAGAGGGAUUCUAUUAAAACCUUGACCUAUUAAAACUUGGGCAGAUCACAUUUUUCUAAGGGGAAGAAAACUCAUAUGAGUAAUGGGGUUGUAAUUUGUGUUGUAUUAUAAUAAAAAUAAAAUAAACAUUGCUUUAUGGCAGGGGAUUUCAAAUGGAAUGAGGUAAAAAAAUAUAACAUGAAAUAGGAAUUGUAACUAAUAUUUUGGAGAGAUUAAUAUACACACAUGAUUUAAUUAGGAAAUAUUGGUUGUUAAAGAAAAUACAGUUUUAUAAAGAUCAAAAGAGAAAUAUAAUUUUAUGAAUUUUAUGUAGAUAUAGAAAUAUUAAUAUUUAACUCUCUGAUUCUUUAUAACUUCAAUCUAAAAAUAUGCUUACCAAUUGUUUUUCCUACCUUUAGUUAGGUUCUUAUGAAUUUAUAGAAUUGUUUAUUAUCAUUUCAGUUCAAAUGGCAUGAGACCUUGGAAACACAGGGUACAAGGGAUCAAUAUAUAACAGAUAAAUGGCUUAAACAGGUGGUACUUAAUGCUAUUACCUAUAUUGUUCACUUGGGAGGAGAGUUCAGUUACUGAAGUGAAUAUCAAUUAGAAUAAUGUUCACCUCAGUCACUGAAGACACUACGUCAAAAGACACUGCUGCCUCAGAGAAUGCACAAACAAUACAGGUAAUGUCUUUCAGCUCAGAUUUCAGUCAGUCAACACCAAAUAAAUCCAACAAUAAGUUAAAGGGUGAGGAUAGAAAGAUUAAAGACACAGCCUUUAUCCUAAGAAUGUUCUACUUUUGCGACAAGAGAUUGUCUUAUUAGCAUGUUAGAUAUAUUAGCAUAGGAUAGAGGCCAGAGCCCUGGAGUAGAAAAAACAAAGUUUGACUCUAAGAUAUAUUGCGAUGUUCAAUAAGGCAAGUGAUUUAUUUUCUCUUAGCCUCAGCUUCACCAUUUGUUAAACUAUUAGAUAUUCUAUAAGUCUUCGUCUGACUCAGACUUUAAUUAGAAUCGGCUUAGACAGUUUCACUUUCAGCACUGACUACAUUUCUCUAACCUUCUCUAGAUCUUAGUGGUGAAUGUCAAUAUACCAUCAGAUAUUAACAGUUACCAGGCUCCUUGGAGUUGGUAGAGCAUAGUGAUCAAUCAAGUAGGUUCUGAAGAUGAAUGCCCUGGAUACAAAUCCCACAUCUUCUACUUUCUAAUUAUAUGAUUUGGACAAGCUAAUUACUCUCUGAGCCUUAUUUUCCUCCUCUGGAUUGUUUUGAAGACAAAAGAAAUUUUAAAAAUUUCUAAGAUCUAUAGAGUUAAGCAAUACGUACAAGUAUGUGUCUGACACAUCCAAAAUUCCCAAGAAUAAUUGCAGUUAUUAUUUUAAGAAUGCAAGAACAGUAGAAUUUGAUCAAAAAAUCAUUUGGAUUUGAUUCAAAUGGACAUUCUCUUGCUUUGGGGGAUGAUUAAGAAAGCCAAAUUUCAGAAAGCAGAGGGAGACUUAGGCAAUGCCUAGAGGAGUAAUAGGAAAUAGGCUACAAAUUCAGAAAUCAGCUCUCAAUUAUUCACUGGUUAGGAGGAUACAUGUUUCAGGAGUAGCCUUAUAUAUGUACAAUAAGAUUGAAACCUAGAGAAUGUGCCUGAGAUUCACCUUUGUGAUAACUGCUGAAUUCACAAGUGGUCAGAGUAUUUGUAAAAAUUAAGGUAUUUUAGGUUUUUAUGUGUCCCCCAAACUUAGAAUUGACAUUUUACUCCUUAGAAAUGAGUGAUAGCAAGCAAGCAUCAUGUUAAGCAUUCCCUUCUUUUUUGGGAUGAUAUAGAGAUGUGAACUAGCAAUAAAUGAAAAAUGUUUAUUCACUUAUUUUAUAGCAACUCUUUGAAAUAAAAGAAUUUUGCAUUCCUUUAAUAAACUUGCAUAAUAAAGUCAACAGCAAUAUUUAACUUUUGGCUAAUAUUUUUCACCACCUGAGAAUAUACAUAGACCUUCAAAUGAAGUGAUUUGAAUUAUGCUGUGACAUCAUAGUUGGAAAAAGUAGUGUUGCACGUGGAAAUGCCAUGAGUAAUAAAUGAGGGGGGGGUAGAUGAAAAGAUCAUAGGGAAUUAUCUCCUGUGAAAAAUACUUUCCAUCAUUUUUGGAAAAUAAGUCUAGUAGAAAUAAGACCAGUGCUUGGUAAUUUUCAUUCAAAAUGCCAUAUUGAAAGUAGUGGGUUUUCUUCCUUCCUUCCUUUCUUCCUUCCUUCCUUUCUUCCUUCCUUCCUUCCUUCCUUCCUUCCUUCCUUCCUUCCUUCCUUCCUUCCUUUUCCUUCCAAGUUUUUAUUUAAAUUCCUGUUAGUUCAUACAUGUGAAAUAUUAGUUUUGGGUGUACAAUAUACUGGGUCAACACUUCUGUAUAACACAUGGUGCACAUCAUAAGUUCACUCGUUAAUCACCAUCACCUAUUGAACCCAUCCUCUCCCUACUGGUAACCAUCAGUUUGUUCUCUAUAGUAGAUUCCUCAGAUAAAUAUUGAAACAACAGUUAAUUUUCUUUAAUUAAAGAUAUCUUAUAGUGAAGACACAACAAAAUGGAUUCAGGGGACAGUUGUUCUUAUCUAGGAGCUCAAUAAGUCCAAAGGUUAAUCAAGAGUUACUAAAUGUUAUGAAUAAAAAUGAAACAUGCAGCUUUAUUUAAAGAAAAAUAGAUCUUAAUGUUUAUAUCAUUAAAAAAGGAAUGAUAAGUGUGUGCUGAUGGAGAUUCUAGCUAAUAUUAUGGUGGAGAUCAUUUGGCAGUAUAUCAACACGUUUUAACUUACAUUAUGUUAUAUGUCAAAUCAACACGUUUUAACUUACAUUAUGUUAUAUGUCAAUUAUAUCUCAGUAAAAAUAGAAUCCAAGUCUUAUAUUUUCUUUUUGCACUUUGAAGAGAUUCUAUCGUCUCCUAUAAUUUUAGGAUACUUUGUUUUAUGGGAUAUAAAGCUACUACUCCGGCUAGGUUCCAUACUUGUCUGAUGUGAAACUUCUUUGCUUGUCUCUGAGCAACCACUUGGGGGACUAGAGAAUAGCUGACUGCUGCUGUCUGGUCUGCUCUGUGAUCUGUCUGCUACUGCAAGACGUCCUGUGGAACAGCAUUCUGCCCUGCAGGCAAGAGGUAUCUCUCUGAGCAGACUGAUGCCAAACGUGGCCCAUGGUAGUUUUGUGAGUAUGAGCGUUUGGUGAGCCCAUGAAAAUCCAUAGUGGGAAUUGCACUAUUUUAGAAAAGGAUACUCAGAAAUCUCAGGGGUGCCUGGGUAGCUCAGUCAGUUACCGUCAACUUCAGUUCAGGUCAUGAUCUCAUAGUUCGUGAGUUUGAGCUCCAUGUUGGGUUCUGUGCUGACAGUGCGGAGCCCAGAGCCCACUUCGAGUUCUGUGUCUCCUUGUCUCUCUGCCCCUCCUACCUGCGCCCCUGCUCACACUCAAAAAUAAAUAAACAUUUAAUUUUUUUUUUAACAUUUAUUUAUUUUUGAGACAGAGAGAGACACAGCAUGAACGGGGGAGGGGCAGAGAGAGAGGGAGACACAGAAUCGGAAACAGGCUCCAGGCUCUGAGCCAUCAGCCCAGAACCCGACGCGGGGCUCGAACUCGCGGACCGCGAGAUCGUGACCUGAGCUGAAGUCGGACGCCCAACCGACUGAGCCACCCAGGCGCCCCAAAAAUAAAUAAACAUUUAAAAAAAGUCAUCAGAUAUAUCACUCCCAUCCCUACCCCCUCCAUUACAUUGUCACACAUUUCUCCAUUUAUUAUUUAUCUUGCCUAAGUUUCUCUUUGCAAAUAAAGGUACGUGUUUUUCUUACACAAAGGUGCAAACACACACAUGUGUACACACACACACACACACGCACGUAUAAAGAUAUAUAUCGUCAAGUCACUCGUAUCAGUUCAUAAAGAACAUCCUCAUUCUUUUUUUUAAUGACUGCAUUGUGUUUUGCUCUGUAGACACAGUUUAUGCAACCAGUUUCCCAUUGAUGGACAUGUGAAAUGUUUCAAAUAUUUUGCUAUUGAAAAUAAUUUCACAGGGUCUCUGGGUGGCUCAGUUUGUUAAGUGCCUGACUCUUGAUUUCAACUCAGGUUAUAAUCUCAUGGUUCAUGGGUUCAAGCCUGGCAUGGCACUCUGUGCUGAUAGUGUGGAGCUCACUUGGGAUUCUCUUUCUUCCUGUCUCUGUGCCUCCCCCCACCCCCCACUCUCUCUGUCUGUCUGUCUCUCUCUCAAAAAUAAAUAAAUAAACUUAAAUAACUUCACAAUAAAAAAAUACUUUAUUUUUAUUUUAACAGUGAAAAAGAGAAAUUACCUAAACUAUACAAUGAGCAGAUUGACAAUAUUGCUUUGGGUAUUGAAUAUUGCUUUGGGUACCCAAUAUUGCUUUGGGUACAAUGGGUAUUGAAUUGUGUUACCCCAAAAGAUGUUGAAGUCCUAAGCCCCUAGUACAUGUAAAAAUGAUCUUUUUGUACAUAUCUUUGCAGAUGACAGAGUUAAGAUGAGGGCAUUAGGGAGAGUCCUAAUCCAACAUGACUGUGUCCUUUUGAAAAGGGAAUAUGUGUACACAGAGACAGACAUGCAUGGAGGGAAGAUGAUGUGGAUACCCAGGGAGAACACCAUCUCUGAGCCAAGGCAUGCCUGAGGUUACCAGCAGUUCAGGGAGAGGAAUGAAGCAGAUAUUCCCUUAAAGCUCUUAGAAGGAACCAACCCUUUAACACCUUGACUUUAGAUUUCUUGCUUACAGAACUAUGAGACAUUUCUAUUGUUUCAGUCACACAAGUCACACAGGUUAUGUUGGUUUGUUAAGGCAGCCUCAGGAAAUCCAUCUAGACGAGAAUAUUUUAACCAACAGAAAUAAAAGCCAGGAGGCCGUAGCACCUCUGGCUCUCAUGAAUGAUCCUAUUUUGUCUUGGGUCUUUACAAGACACUUCAAGUGUUAGGUAAACCGUUUGUAGACCAUACAUAAGCCCACCAUUUCCCCAGUCUUUUCAUACACCAGCCCUUCCUUAUCAGAUAUCUGCAGUACUUAACCAGGCAACAGGUUUAUGUCUGCUACUGUUUGUGAUGCUUAAUACUGUGUUUUCUCUUAAUCGUGAGAGCUUCCAACUCUUUAGGUAAAUUAAUACCAGUGGCCAUAACAGCCAACAUGCUGGAGUUUUCAGUAUAUUUAAGACAGAUGAAAAGCAAGCAUUUCCACAGAUAAUCUUAAAAAUGCCUUUCAUGGGUCUGGAAAUUAAGUAGCUGAAAAAAAGUGCCAGAAGUAAAUGAAGCCACUUUUUUUUUUUUUUUUUUUUUUUUUUUUUUUAUUUUUUUUUUUUUUCAACAUUUAUUUAUUUUUGGGACAGAGAGAGACAGAGCAUGAAUGGGGGAGGGGCAGAGAGAGAGGGAGACACAGAGUCGGAAACAGGCUCCAGGCUCUGAGCCAUCAGCCCAGAGCCCGACGCGGGGCUCGAACUCACGGACCACGAGAUCGUGACCUGGCUGAAGUCGGACGCUUAACCGACUGCGCCACCCAGGCGCCCCGAAGCCACUUUUAAAUACAUUAUUGCCUCUGACAUUAAAGGUAACUUAAGGAAAUUAAGACAAGUGUAUAUUAUCAUAGAAAAGUGAGGAUAUCUUAUGAGUGAGUAAAAAUGAAAAUGUUUACUUUAGGAGCUGUGUUUCAUAUUUUUAAAAAUUUAAAGUAAUUUAUCUUAUAAGAAAAAAUGUUAAACAUGGAUAAUCUUAUAAAAUAAAGGUGUUAUGUCAAAAAUCUUUGCAAUUAGCUUCUUGAUAUUCAUUUUAAUUUGUAAGAAUGCUUUAAAAAGUCACAGUAGUACAAUUAAGAAAAAUGUUUAAAUAAUGCAAUGUAUCCGACAACUUUUUAAAAUUGCUGCUAACUGCAUUUCUGAUUAUUAUUAAUUUCUAUACAUACUGGUCUAAUCCAUGCUUUUCUUUUUAAUAAAUGAUUGCACUUUUAUAGCAAAGCACAGCUAUGUGGAUAAGAUGAUUUUAUUUCUCAUGUAGAGCUUGGGGUAAACUCUAACGUCUUAAUACUAACAGUGCCAGUGACACCUCCUCAUAACAACAACAAUGUCAAGCUCAGUAUGAAAAAAAUAAUCAGACUCUUGUGAAAUGUCUUGCAAAUUCAAAUUCUUUCUAUAAGGGCAAAUAUAACAAAAUUUGGGACACUACAACCCUCCCACCAAUAACCAGAGCAUAAAAGUUUCAGGCAUUUUUUAUAGAUUGUAAAUUUAUGAUUUAUACCUAGGAUGAUAUAACUCAAAUGAUUUUGGAUUCCCAUUGUAAGGAAUUUGAAUUUUCCUUCUGUAUUGUGACUUGUUAGUAGCAUAGAAAAUAAAAUACUUCCAGAUACAUGUAGUUCAGGAAGCUACCAAACUUGUUUUCUUCCAUGUCAAGCUUAACUGUUUCAUUGUCAUCCAUUUUUUUUUUUUGUAUGCUCUUUUUGUCUUUCAUUCUUGAAUUUUGGGGGCAGGGCACAGUGUGAUGUUUCUGUUAGCUCUUGAAAAGAGGAACAAUUUAAUUCAGGAAGUUUAAUACUUGAUUCCCAGUUCCCUAGAAUGUUAUGGUUUACUGUUUUCUUUUCAUUUAACAGAAGGCAUUUUGCUUCUUACCCAGAUGCUAAUCACAGAUUUGUUACUGCCCUGAAAACAUCCCUUUACUGAUGUCUAACAUAAAGUUGUCUUGUGUUUUUCUAAAUUUUCUGAAUAGCAAAGGAAAUUUGGAACAUCGAGAAAAUAAUGGUUUCUGCUUUCUUUAGAAAAUCAGAUCUAGGAAAUUUUAGGCUACUUCAUAUGUUUUUCAGAUUUCCAUUUAUGGAUAAUAAAGAAAUUUUGCCAUAUAUAAUAUACAAUGUAUAUAGAUAUAGAUAUAGAUAUAGAUACAGAUAUAGAUAUAGAUAUAAUUUAGAAAAAGGAAAGUGUAUAAAAACACUGGUUGCUGAAAGUUUUGUAUUCUGAAAAGUUGAUGAAUAUUAAAUCUUGGCACAAAAGAAAAAAAUAUUUCCAACAUUUUUUUAAUGUUUAUUUAGUUUUGAGAGAGAGAGACAGCAUAAGUCGGAGAAGGGCAGAGAGAGAGGGAGACACAAUAUCCAAAGCAGGCUCCAGGCUCUGAGCUGUCAGCACAGAGCCUGAUGUGGGGCUCAAACCCAGGAGCUGUGAGAUCAUGACUUGAGCCUAAGUCAGACACUUAACCGACUGAGCCACUCAGGCGCCCCUACUUCCAACAUUUUAAUCUUUCACUCUGUAUUGUAGUCAUUUUUCAAUGUGAUAAACAAGUUUUUCACUUGAGUUCUUUAUUGAAAAUUGGUGCACUUACUUGCUGAAAAGAAAUUUUGCUGUUUGCAUUUUUGUUUUGCUGGUCAGUGAUUACUAAUUUCUCCUGUGUCUUUUAUAUGUGUUGUCAUUUUUUAUUGAUAUUUAAGAACUCUGGAAAAUGUAUUGAAAGUUGAGUUGAGAUGGAUAUAUGUAAACACCUACACAUUUGAAAAAAAAUUCUACAAAAUGUCUUUAAAAAUUAAUAAAAUAUAAACUUGGAAAUCUAAUAUGCCUGGAGCUGAGUAAGUCCCAAGAAGAGAGGUACCAAGUGAAGUCAAACACGAAGGCAAUUGAAAGAGAUUUUGAUUUUAUAAUUAGGAUUUGUUGGCUGUUUAAGAAAGAAAUUGACAAGACUUGAACAUAUGUCACUUCCUUCUCUGUAAAUGUAGUAGUAGUAGCUCUUCCCCUUUAUCCCCCUAUAAGAGCACGGGUUCAAAAUGAACAGUUCCCCCUCUGCCAAUGAAGGGGGUUUACCACUCAGCCAGAGGUAUGACUUCCCUUAAUAUUGCUGCAAACUUCUUGUCACUGCCCCAGAGGCUCUAAGUUAACAUUAUGGUUUCUAAACAGCCUGAUUUCCCCAGGGCCGCUGAACACAGUGAUUUGGCCCUACUAGGCUGAAAGCCAUAUGUUAUAAAUUGCAACUGGCUUGUUACUAUUCCUAAACAUAUCUGUUUAACUGAUUUACUAUAUUGACCAGAUGCUCACCUUGAGUUAUGUUCACACGAAAAUGAAAAAAAAAAUACAAAAGCACAGUUUCAUAUUUGUAAUUAAUUUUAUCCUAUAAGGAUGCUGAAGAAAAAAUGCUAAAGUAGCUUCCUACUGUCAAUUCAUAGCAAUGUAUGAAAUCGCUUGUUGGAGAAAAAUGUUAGAAUGAGCUUAAUUACAAUUGCCAUCUCAUAAGUGUAGACAUGCAGAUUGUUGAAUUUAUAGUUUUGAGAAAUUUGCAAUGUAAACAUUUAAUAAAAUAGACAUGACACACCUUGAACUUUCGAACUUAUGUAUUUUUUUAGAGUAUAAAUUUAGACAACCAUAUUAUUCAAAAUGCAUCCUAGAGCUUGGGGACGUUUGGAAAAGAGAAGACUCAUAGGACUCCAAAUUAUUUGGUGGGCUCUGUAAAUGAAGAAAGAAAAUAAAGUUUGAGGGAAAUAUAAGAGUAGAGAAAGGGGGAACUUACAAUUAGGGAGAAAUGAAUUUAGGAGAAUUAAAAACAAAAGAAGAGAACAUUCAGAAAGGAAUCUCAAAGUGGCAUAUGUGUGGACAUUCUGUUCUCAGCUGAAACAUUAAGAAUGCGGUAUUGCUGGGGCACCUGGGUGGCUCAGUCGGUUAAGCAUCUGACUUCAGCCCAGGUCAUGAUCCUGUUUGUUGUAGGUUUGAGCCCUGCAUGGGGCUCUGUGCUGACAGCUCGGAGACUGGAACCUGCUUCAGAUUCUGUGUCUUCCACUCUCUCUGCCCCUCCCCUGCUUGCACUCUGUCUUCUGUCUCCCUAAAAUAAAUAAACAUUAAAAAAAGAAUUCAGUAUUGCUUCUAGUAGGCUUCCUUUCUGUGCUAUAGCUCAGUGACUUGGGAGUAUGGUAUCACCUGAUUUCUUCUCAGAAAGUAGUUUUAGACUGAUUUCAAAGCUCAGUUCAAUUAGAAAGCAGUUUUUAUCCAAGAGUCUCUAAUUUCUACUUUAAUCAAUUGGUAGCAAUAUAAUUUUUGCCAAACAAGGAAUCUAAAUUCAUCAAGAUUGAAUUUUAUUUUAUAUCUGCCUAGAGGUAGUGAACUAUGCUUUGGGAGACAUAAAUUAGGAUGAUAGACAACAUCCAUUCACUCUAAAGCCUUUGUAUGUAAUGAAUUAUUUGUCAUAAUUCUAGGAAGUGGCAUAUUUUAGCAAUUAUAAAUACAAAUGGUAUUAAACAUGCAGAAUAAACUAUUAAGCUAUAUCACUAAGGUCAAAAUGAUGUUUAAAGGAAUUAACAAGAAAUAUACAAGUAAUAUAAAAAUAUACUUUUAAUAUACAAGUCUUCUCUGGCUCAUGCAUAAUCAAACUUGAUAAAAAUAUAUAAAUAUUUGACAGGAUCAACUUUCUUCAAAUUAGUUUUUAAUUAAUUCAGUAAACAUUUAUUGAUGACCUACUGUUCACAAUGCACUUUACUGAUACCAGUAUAUUUGAUUAUUUGCUAAGGCCAUGGAUCAUGAUAUUUAUGCAUGAGAAUUUGAUUUGUUAAAUGUUUGCAUGUUAUUCUGUAUAAGCAAAAUAAUUAAUUAAGUAUAAAUACCUAAAUUCCUUUUAAAAAUCCAGGUAGUAGCAUUAUGAGAAAUUCUGUACUCCUCUAAUCUCUGCUUUCUUCCAUUGGAAAGAAUACCUACUUCUCACUUAAGUGAAGUAGUGUAUAUAGGGCCACUGACACAUAGUAGGUCCUUAAUAAUUUGAGAUUAUAUCAGUCUGUGUCCUCAUGCAUUGUAUUAUCCUAUGUACUCAUAGCCUCUAAAUCUCUAGUCUUGGGGUCCCUUUUCUGUGGCCUUACAUACAUUAGAUUAGGAUAAAAACAGCACCAUCUAAGUUUUUGACUUAACUAUUUCACAGUUAUUUUCAGAUUCACAUUUUUCACAUUGAAGAAAUUAUACCUGGCUACAUAUAAAAAUAUACCUUUCUGAAACAUUUUAGCUUUAAAAGUUUAGAGAAAUUUUGUAUGUAAAAAACAUACAAGUUUUUGUAAAAAACAAACAAGUAGGUAUAUGUUCACAUAUCAUAUUUACUUAAAAGAUAUCUAAUGAAAUUUAGAGUUUGCAAUUGUGUUACACACAGUUGUAGUUGCAAAUCAAAAAAGACAUCCAAAACUCAGGUUGAAUUUUACCUCUGAAAUAUUUGUAAUCCCUCACUAACAGAGUGACUGAUGUUGUGAUUUUUAAGUGAUAGUUAUGUAUAAGUACAUUUUACACAAUGCCAGCCAUCAACAAUUUAUAUUAAAGAUUAAAUUAAGCCAUAUAUCAGACCAAGAAAGAUAGCAAAUUUCUUGUGUUCUGGUGUGGGAAGAAAAAGACAUUUUUAGUAUAAAAUUUACUAUGCAACACAGAAUGGACAGAUGGUGCACAUAAUCCAUUUGUUGAAAAGCUCUUAGUUCUGUGCAUUGGAAGAAAACCAGGUGACAAGUUAGGCAGCAGUUUUCAUCAGAGACAUUUCCCAAUUGCAUACAACCUGAGAAUAAAGAUCUAGAAGGUGGGUUCCAACUAAAACAAGCCAUUCUUAAAGUCACAAAAUUUCACUAUUAAUAAUCAUAAAUAUUUUAUCUUAUCAAGCCUAAAACUCUAUUCUCUUCUCACACUUUCAGUUUUUGUAGGAGAUUCACACUUACCAUGUUAUUUUUUUCCUCUUAACUAGAUGGAUUGGCAGCAAAGAUGAGAGAAUAUCUCAUUGCAGUUGGUGAUUUUCUCAAGAUCACAGAACUGGUCAAUAGACCAUGAGGUUCAAAGAAAGCAUUAGUAUAGCCAUUACUACGUACCCAAAAAAACGAGGAACAUUGUAACUACUGUAAUGAUAAAAACCCCAAUUUUAUUAGUUUGACUGAUUACUACAGUAAACAUGGAUUCAUGCAUUAUACUGCGAGAGAAUUAAAAGAAGAAAAUUCAUGUAAUUUUUUUUAAUGGCAUUGCAUCUGCUUAAGACAGACUGUGCUUUUUAGAUGAACAACUUCAUCCCACAGUUAGAAACUCUAGAGAAGUGUGAUAUCAGAACUCAGUUGGACUUGGUAUUUAAGUUUUUGUACUAAAAUAUGAAAUCUAUUCAUGAACAAUACAAGAAUGAGGUUUGGCAUAAAAGUUCUAUCAGUAUAUUUCAACAUAUCAGUGCCUAGCUGGGGUUUUCACAAGAAAAGUAUUUGGCAUUUUCCGGCAUCAGUCAUAUAUUUAAAACCUGACUGCCUUUUUGAUAAAGAUAUUUUAAAUGUUACUUGGGGAAAGAAUUAUGGUUCUAUAUUGGCUUAAAGAGGAAGACUGCUCACCGAACAUAGUAAAAUGGUUUAUUUUGAUUAGUAUCUCAAUUUUCUAGAAAAAAAAUAAUGGAUUAUUUUGAUUAGUAUUGGUAUUAUCUUAAUUUUCUAGGAAAAUAUAAACUGGAAUAUGCAAACUUUUCAUGCUGUGGGCCAUAUUGAAAGAUAAUAAAAAAUUGAAAUAAAAUGCCAAGAUAUUAAUGGGGACCCAUCUGUGCCUACUAGGAUCUCAAUUUCACCUGAGCAUCCUUAGGAGCACUUGAAUAUGUCCCAGAAGGCAAUGAUUUGCAAUACAUGCUCACUUUUUCUAUAUCUAAAAAUAAUUUACCAAGCAAAGGGGGGAAUGAAGGUUGUGUUAAGAGGAAGCUCAAAUAAAGGAUUAAUUGGGUACAGAAUGGCAGUGUGUGAGGCACUUUGUGUUAAAGCUCACUUAAAAUGCCAUAAGUUACAUAAGGUUUCUGAACAAAAGAAAACAGCCUGAGUUCUGCAAAAGCAACUUCUGGCCAGUAUGAAAUGUGCUGUAAAAUGUGGAAGAGGCAUUAAGAAAAAACACUUCUUUCUUCCGAUCGUUGUCUUCCCUCUGGUUCUUAGCCAACCAAAGCAAUUUGUUUCAUCUUCUUGCUUAGGGCUCCUUCUAUGGCAGCAGGUCUUUGCUCAUUUUGACAAAUGUCACUUUCUUAACAAUCAUGAUAUAUGGAAAGUGGGCCAAUAAUCCCUCUAGCUGUGCAAAAGCCAGGCACAAUACCUGUUGGGUAGUAGAGCCUACCAACUGCAUGAGAACUCAUGAUAUAUUUUCACUAUUAAAACCAGGAGAGUAGGGAGGUUGGCAGGAAGAUGGCGGCGUAGGAGGACGCUGGGCUCACCGCGCGUCCUGCUGAUCACUUAGAUUCCACCUACACCUGCCUAAAUAACCCAGAAAACCGCCAGAGGAUUAGCAGAACGGAGUCACCGGACCCAAGCGCGGACGAGAGGCCCACGGAAGAGGGUAGGAAGGGCGGCGAGGCGGUGCGCGCUCCACGGACUGGCGGGAGGGAGCCGGGGCGGAGGGGCGGCUCGCCAGCCAAGCAGAGCCCCCGAGUCCGGCUUGCAAAAGCGGAGGGGCCUGACGGACUGUGUUCCGACAGCAAGCGCGACUUAGCGUCUGGGAGGUCAUAAGUUAACAGCUCUGCUCGGAAAGCGGGAAGGCUGGAGGACAAAGGGAGGGUGAGCUGCGGAGCCCCCGGACGACAGAGCUCAGUUUGGCGGGGAACAAAGGCGCUCGCCAGCGCCAUCUCCCCCGCCCAUCCCCCAGCCAAAAUCCCAAAGGGAACCGGUUCCGGCCAGGGAAAUUGCUCGCUCCGCGCAAACACCCAACUCUGUGCUUCUGCGGNNNNNNNNNNNNNNNNNNNNNNNNNNNNNNNNNNNNNNNNNNNNNNNNNNNNNNNNNNNNNNNNNNNNNNNNNNNNNNNNNNNNNNNNNNNNNNNNNNNNNNNNNNNNNNNNNNNNNNNNNNNNNNNNNNNNNNNNNNNNNNNNNNNNNNNNNNNNNNNNNNNNNNNNNNNNNNNNNNNNNNNNNNNNNNNNNNNNNNNNNNNNNNNNNNNNNNNNNNNNNNNNNNNNNNNNNNNNNNNNNNNNNNNNNNNNNNNNNNNNNNNNNNNNNNNNNNNNNNNNNNNNNNNNNNNNNNNNNNNNNNNNNNNNNNNNNNNNNNNNNNNNNNNNNNNNNNNNNNNNNNNNNNNNNNNNNNNNNNNNNNNNNNNNNNNNNNNNNNNNNNNNNNNNNNNNNNNNNNNNNNNNNNNNNNNNNNNNNNNNNNNNNNNNNNNNNNNNNNNNNNNNNNNNNNNNNNNNNNNNNNNNNNNNNNNNNNNNNNNNNNNNNNNNNNNNNNNNNNNNNNNNNNNNNNNNNNNNNNNNNNNNNNNNNNNNNNNNNNNNNNNNNNNNNNNNNNNNNNNNNNNNNNNNNNNNNNNNNNNNNNNNNNNNNNNNNNNNNNNNNNNNNNNNNNNNNNNNNNNNNNNNNNNNNNNNNNNNNNNNNNNNNNNNNNNNNNNNNNNNNNNNNNNNNNNNNNNNNNNNNNNNNNNNNNNNNNNNNNNNNNNNNNNNNNNNNNNNNNNNNNNNNNNNNNNNNNNNNNNNNNNNNNNNNNNNNNNNNNNNNNNNNNNNNNNNNNNNNNNNNNNNNNNNNNNNNNNNNNNNNNNNNNNNNNNNNNNNNNNNNNNNNNNNNNNNNNNNNNNNNNNNNNNNNNNNNNNNNNNNNNNNNNNNNNNNNNNNNNNNNNNNNNNNNNNNNNNNNNNNNNNNNNNNNNNNNNNNNNNNNNNNNNNNNNNNNNNNNNNNNNNNNNNNNNNNNNNNNNNNNNNNNNNNNNNNNNNNNNNNNNNNNNNNNNNNNNNNNNNNNNNNNNNNNNNNNNNNNNNNNNNNNNNNNNNNNNNNNNNNNNNNNNNNNNNNNNNNNNNNNNNNNNNNNNNNNNNNNNNNNNNNNNNNNNNNNNNNNNNNNNNNNNNNNNNNNNNNNNNNNNNNNNNNNNNNNNNNNNNNNNNNNNNNNNNNNNNNNNNNNNNNNNNNNNNNNNNNNNNNNNNNNNNNNNNNNNNNNNNNNNNNNNNNNNNNNNNNNNNNNNNNNNNNNNNNNNNNNNNNNNNNNNNNNNNNNNNNNNNNNNNNNNNNNNNNNNNNNNNNNNNNNNNNNNNNNNNNNNNNNNNNNNNNNNNNNNNNNNNNNNNNNNNNNNNNNNNNNNNNNNNNNNNNNNNNNNNNNNNNNNNNNNNNNNNNNNNNNNNNNNNNNNNNNNNNNNNNNNNNNNNNNNNNNNNNNNNNNNNNNNNNNNNNNNNNNNNNNNNNNNNNNNNNNNNNNNNNNNNNNNNNNNNNNNNNNNNNNNNNNNNNNNNNNNNNNNNNNNNNNNNNNNNNNNNNNNNNNNNNNNNNNNNNNNNNNNNNNNNNNNNNNNNNNNNNNNNNNNNNNNNNNNNNNNNNNNNNNNNNNNNNNNNNNNNNNNNNNNNNNNNNNNNNNNNNNNNNNNNNNNNNNNNNNNNNNNNNNNNNNNNNNNNNNNNNNNNNNNNNNNNNNNNNNNNNNNNNNNNNNNNNNNNNNNNNNNNNNNNNNNNNNNNNNNNNNNNNNNNNNNNNNNNNNNNNNNNNNNNNNNNNNNNNNNNNNNNNNNNNNNNNNNNNNNNNNNNNNNNNNNNNNNNNNNNNNNNNNNNNNNNNNNNNNNNNNNNNNNNNNNNNNNNNNNNNNNNNNNNNNNNNNNNNNNNNNNNNNNNNNNNNNNNNNNNNNNNNNNNNNNNNNNNNNNNNNNNNNNNNNNNNNNNNNNNNNNNNNNNNNNNNNNNNNNNNNNNNNNNNNNNNNNNNNNNNNNNNNNNNNNNNNNNNNNNNNNNNNNNNNNNNNNNNNNNNNNNNNNNNNNNNNNNNNNNNNNNNNNNNNNNNNNNNNNNNNNNNNNNNNNNNNNNNNNNNNNNNNNNNNNNNNNNNNNNNNNNNNNNNNNNNNNNNNNNNNNNNNNNNNNNNNNNNNNNNNNNNNNNNNNNNNNNNNNNNNNNNNNNNNNNNNNNNNNNNNNNNNNNNNNNNNNNNNNNNNNNNNNNNNNNNNNNNNNNNNNNNNNNNNNNNNNNNNNNNNNNNNNNNNNNNNNNNNNNNNNNNNNNNNNNNNNNNNNNNNNNNNNNNNNNNNNNNNNNNNNNNNNNNNNNNNNNNNNNNNNNNNNNNNNNNNNNNNNNNNNNNNNNNNNNNNNNNNNNNNNNNNGGGAAGGAAAAAAAAAAAAAAAGAGGGUAGAGGGGGAGAGAGCCAAAGCAUAAGAGACUGUUAAAAACUGAGAACAAACUGAGGGUUGAUGGGGGGUGGGAGGGAGGGGAGGGUGGGUGAUGGGUAUUGAGGAGGGCACCUUUUGGGAUGAGCACUGGGUGUUGUAUGGAAACCAAUUUGUCAAUAAAUUUCAUAAAAAAAAAAAAAAAAAAAAAAAAAAAAAAACCAGGAGAGUAUCUGUUUGGCACAGGAUGCCUAAAGUUAGGUCCCAAUUCAUUCUUGAGGUUCAUUUUACUCUCCAAAAUAUCCCAAUUUGUCAAACAUAUGUUAUGGUCAUCUUAGGUAAGGCUCACCUGUCCCCUCUAUAAGAAAUGAGAAUGUUAAAAAUUUUGGCAAAGUAGGAAUAGACUUUAUAAUGUUUGCAAGUAUGAAAUGAUAUCUGAGCACUGUCUCUGUCACCUUGUGCUUACAGAAUGUUGUUUGCUAAAACAAUAGGUUCACAUACUUCAUCACAUUUGUACAACCUGCACGUAGUAGACUGUUCACAUACAUAUCAGUCACAUAUAUACACUCAUACAAUAUCAUAACAACCUAAUGCAGGAUGAAAGUCUGUAAAAGUCAAGUAAAGUGGAGCAGAAUAGUAUAAUAUUGUCUCAUUUAAACUUUUUUUUUUUUUAAGAAGGAUGAUUCAAGGUAUGGUGGAGGAGAUUAUUCCAAUUAAAUAAAACAAAAUCUUGAAUACUUCUCAUCUCUUAUUUUUGUAGGUACACUAAAAAGCAGUCCAGGAAAUUUUUGUUUGUGUGAAAAAAGAUAUUUUAUCACAUUUUCUUGAUAAAUCUUGUUUAAGUAAUUAAUUUGUUGACAUUUAGUGAAAUUUGUAUGCCCCUUCUCUAAAAAGCUUAUAAUUUCACUUCAGAGUUUCUCUAACACAGAUGUACAGAAAAAUCCUGGGAUGUGAUUUGGAAUAUUGUUAGUAGACAGCAAAAUGGGGAUGGAUGAAUACACUUCAGUCUAUAGACUACUGUGUAAUAAAUAGUAAAAGGAAUAAACUAGGCCUCUGUAUAGAUCAGUCAAGUAGGUCUCAAAAAUAGCAUUUAGUGUGAAAAAUUAAGUAAAACAAGGUAUAUGUGACAAAAUCUUUUGUGUAAAUUUGAAAAUGGAAAAUUACAAACAUGGAUAUAUAUUUGAAUAAAAAGUAUUAAUAUGAUUAAUCUACCAUUUAAUUAUAAGGGUAGAUUAAACAUACAUAUAGUAAAUAUAUGAAAAUUAGUCUGUAGAUUUGUUAAUUGUAUCAUUACUAUCUCACUAAUUUUUGCUUUUUUUAAUAAUUUUAUUUUUGUUUGCCUACAUUUAUUCUAUUCUUUUCCUCUUAAAAUUUUUCUUUAAUGUUUAUAUAUUUUUGAGAGAGAAAGAGCAUGAGAUGGUGGGGGUGAGAGAGAGACAGAGAAUCUGAAAUAGUCCCCACAAUGACAGUGGAAAGCCUGAUGCGGGCCUCUGACUCAAGAACUGUGAGAUCAUGACCUAAGCCGAAGUGGAUGCUUAACUGACUAAGUCACCCAGGUGCCCCUGUAUUGUGUAUUUUAUAAUCCCUUAACUGUUUAAUCUCUUUUUGGAAUUUACUGAUUUCUGGUGUAUUCUAAAUAUGCUCUUGUAUUUCCAAGUCUGCAAUUUUUUUUGAAUCAUUAAUUUUUUCUGAUUUUUAACUAAAUGCCUGGGUGACUCAGUCAGUUAAACACCCAAUUUUGGCUCAGGUCAUGAUCUCACAGUUCACGGAUUUGAGCCCUGAGUCAGGUUCUGUGCAGACAGUGUGGAGCCUAGAGCCUGCUUUGAAUUCUGUGUCUCCCUUUCUCUCUGCCUCUCCCUGACUCUCUCUCCCUCUCAAAAAUGAAUAAACAUUACAAAAAAUUUAGGGGCACCUGGGUGGCUCAGUCAGUUAAGUAUGGGACUCUUGGUUUUGGCUCAGGUCAUGAUCUCAUGGUUGGUGGGAUCUAGCUUGGGAUUCUCUGUCUCCCUCUAUCUGCCCCUUUUACACUGUCUCUGUCUCUCUCAAAAUAAAUAAACUUUAAAAGUUUAUUUAAAAAGGUAAAAAAAGAAAAAGAAACUGUUUUAUGACCUCCCACACAGUCAAGUUUUAAGUUUCAUGUGCAUUUGAAAAUAAUGUGUAUUUCUUAAAACAAUGGUAUCCUAUAUCUCUAUCAUUUUGCCUUAUAUAUUUGGAUGGCAAGUUUUUAGAGGCAUGAAAGUUUAGAAUCAUUUCUAUAAAUGAGUUAUUUAUCAUUGUUUUGUGGUCAUUUCCAUUCUACUUAGUGUUUUAUUUCUUAAAAAAUGCUCUGAUAUUAAUAUAGAUGUACCAGCUUUCUUUGGCUAAUACCUAACUCUCUAUCCUUUUUCCAUCAGUUUUCCUAUGUUCUUAUUUUUAUGUGUGACUUAUAAAUUACGUAAUCAUAGAUUUUAUGUUUUAUGUAGUUUAACUGCAAAGUUAAUCCAUUUAUAUUUAUUAAGACUGCUGUUAUACUUGAACCAUUACCAUCUUAUUUCUUGUUUUCUUUGUAUACUUCUCUUCUGCAUUAUAUUACCUUUUCUGCAUCCUUCAAAUUGUUUUUAUUUUUUAAUUCUGUUUCUCCCUUCUACAUUUCAAUAGUCACCAGGUGUAUUUACCUUAAAGUCUAUAUUAAUCACCAUCUUUACUCCCUUUUGUACAGCACGUGGACCUUAGUUUUUUUUUUUUUUUUUUAAUCAAACAACCAGCUAUCUCAUUUUACUUAUUAUUGUCCCACAUUUACUUCUAUCUUAUCUUUGUUCUCACAUUAGAUAUUUUUCUUAUUUCAUAUAGACUGUGCAUAGUUAGGUUUAUCCACAUGCUUACUAUUUUUUAAAUUUUUUAAUGUUUGUUUAUUUUUGAGAGAGAGAGAGCGAAUGCAUGAGUGGGGGAAGGACCAAGAGAGAGAUGGAGACACAGAAUCUGAAGCAGACUCCAGGUUCUGAGCCAUCAGCACAGAGCCUGACAUGGGGCUUAAACUCACAAACUGCGAGAUCAUUACCUGAGCUGAAGUUGGAUGCUCAACUGACUGAGCCACCCAGGCACCCCAAUGCUUACUACUUCCUUUGUUCAACAUUUGUUAGUUUCCUUCUAUGGUUAUUUUCCAUCUGGCAUAAAUAACAUCAGAAUUCUUUUAAAGUGAGGAAAUGUUGGUGGUAAAUUUAUUAACUUUUAGAUCAACUAAAAGGCUGUUUUGGUUUUUCUUUUAUAUUUACUCAUAUUUUAUCUGCAAUAAAUUCAGACACAAAAAUUUUGUAAGAGUACAAAAAUUUCUAUAUACACUUAUUUUUCCACUUGUUUAUAUUUUAUUAAAUGUACUUUAUUAUAGUCUCUCUCCCUCUCUUCAUCUUUAGUGUUCAGUAUUACCAUGUUGACAAGAAGUGGUAUUAUUGCUAUUAUGUGAGAAAUUUAAAUCAGACUUGCAUAUUACCAAUGUAUGGUCCAGAGGAGAUAAAGAAGAGUAACUAUGUGAACCUCUUUAUGGCUUUUUUGUGGAAAUGGAAAUUCAGGUGUAAAGUAUUAUUAGAUUGGAGAAUAUACACAGAGAAAAAAUAUUAUCAUGUUGCUAUCAUAGGAGAUAUAUGUUUAUCUUAUUUUAUUUGGUCUCUUUAGUUGUUUAUAUUUUUAAAACACUUCAAUACAGUUAAAUUAUAUACAAAAUUCUCCACCACUUCUACCUACUAAUGAUUAGAUAGCAUAAUGGAUUCUUUCCCCCAAAAAGGUGUUUCAUUUUAAUGAUAGUCAACUGCAUAUCUAAGUGCUCAAUAUAAAAUGCAGCAUUUAAUUUCUAUAAUAUCCACAGCAGUAGUUUUAUUUUCCUCUUCUUACAUACAUGAAGACAUAAUUGAUCCAGGUUACAGAGCAAAAAAAGUGGCCAUUAUUAGAUUCAAAUCUAGUCUCUCUGAUGCCCAAACCCCUGCUCUCAAUCAUUAUAUACACUGCAUCCAAUUUUAUGUUUAGGUAAUAUAUAGUCUAAUAAAAUUUUAUGGGGUUUAAUAUAAAAAAUCUAUCAGUUAGCAUUGUCCCAUUAGUAAUAUCACUGUUUUCAAAGUGGGAAAUCCUGCAUAAGGCCAGAAAAGUUUAGUUAAUUAAACACUAUAAGGGUUGUCCAAUGGACAACAACUUGAUAAGUAUGAAACAAAUCUUAAUCUGUACAUGUAUUUAGAAGUACCAUAUAUUUAGCCUUAAACUUAGCCUUAAACUAAGCCAUGCUUUUUUUUUGCUGAAGUAGAGAGGUAAGAACAUGUGGCACCUUAAAUCGGUAAUUUGUAAAGAGAUGCUUAUUUGGUCUACCUUCAUAAGGGAGAUACAACUUGGCAAGAUAAUUAUGAAAAAUUUAAUUUAGAAUAUUAAAGGAAGUAAGUUAACUGAUACUUAUGUUUUAUAACUGGUAUUAUUUUUUAUAAAGCCCUGAGUUGAGUUGUUUUUUGGAUUUGGUUUAAUUUUUAAAUGUUUUGGCUCAUUUGCUGGGGCACCUGGGUGGCGCAGUCGGUUAAGCGUCCGGCUUCAGCCAGGUCACAAUCUCGCGGUCCGUGAGUUCGAGCCCCGCGUCGGGCUCUGGGCUGAUGGCUCGGAGCCUGGAGCCUGUUUCCGAUUCUGUGUCUCCCUCUCUCUCUGCCCCUCCCCCGUUCAUGCUCUGUCUCUCUCUGUCCCCCAAAAAAUAAAUAAACGUUGAAAAAAAAAAUUAAAAAAAAAAUAAAUGUUUUGGCUCAUUUGCAUAUGGCUGCUUUCUGAAUUUCAACACAACCCAACUUAAUUUAAUGUAACCUGUGGUGUACCUGCUAAAUAACUUAAACAGAUUAUUAUAACAUAGAAAUUAAGAUUGUAAUCAUCUAGAGAAUCACCAUGAUGGCAGAACAGCAUGGAGGUUUUCAGUUUGUCUCUCCUGAAAUGCAGCUAAAUCACCACCAAACCAUUUUGCCCACCUAGGAAAUUGAUCUGAAGAUAAACACAACAAUCUGCUUAGCUUUAGCCACAGAACUCAACAAGUACAUGGUGUGGAGAGGUGAACUGGGGGAGAGAAAAGCUGUGGAGAGUGGGGAACUUUUUUUGUGGAGAGAGGACAAAAAAAUAGUAAGGGGGAGAGUGCGGUGAAUCAGAAUCAUGCAAGAAAAACUCCCCUGAAAGUAGCUGGAAAGAAAGAGAAAGAGGGACUGAACAUGAAAUCUGUUCCCCAAAACCAUGACAGGGAGAAAGGAAAGAGUUUCAAUACCAUUAGGAAUCUAUAAAGAGUGGAGCACAGGGUUGGAAAUUCCAGAGUUCAGUGCCUGGCAGUGGGUUCUCUGGUGAGGAAAAAGGGCAAAUCCCAAGAAACAGGAAGUGGGUUUCUGUGGGGUCCAUGUGCCACAUGGGGAGAAGUGGUUCCCCUGCUUGGAGAACAUUUAUUUGGUAGAGGCCGUAUAGCCUUCCCACAGACAAAAGUCCUAGUGGACCCAAAGAGCAGCCACAUUUGCUGGUAUUGGGACAAAGACACCAGAGUAUGGUGAAACCUGGCACUGUGUGUUGUGAAUUGCCACACUCUCUGAACCUCUGCCACUGCGUAAUUGCACGAACAUUUUCUGAGGCAAGCUGGCCCCUGGCUAUUGCUCAGCGAGUCAAAGCAAGUCCCCAGAGAGUCAAAGCAAGUCCAAGCUGCAGGGGUCUCUGAAGUGAGGGAUUUUGAAACACAGCCCCAUCUGAGAUAAAACAUUGGAGAGAGGCACCGCCUGGAAGGCUGAUGGCUUGGACAUGGACAGGGUAGAGGCUGGGAGUGGAAAGAGUCCUGUGACAAAGGAGGGUUGCUUGGUUCCUAUGACAGAGACAAGAGAGCUGGGUGAAGCCAUUUUCACCUCUCCCAUGUAUGCACAUGCAUGCCACCCAAAUAAGGCAAACAGCACCACUUUGUGGAGAAUGGAACCAUUACACCAAGCCCUGCCCAACUGUGUCCUCCAAUCAUAUACCCUAGAAGAUCAGCACAGUCUCUCUGCCAGUUUAGUAUUUGGAGUAUAGAGUGCUUCAUAGGGGAAAUUUAAUUCAGGUUUCAUUCUGUUUGCUGGUUUAUUUAUGCAUCUUUUGUUUUUUGUAGUUUUUUUGCUUCUGUCUUUGUUCAAUUUUUUUUUCCAUUUCUUUUUCUUGGAUAUAGAAAAAGAAAAAUUAAUUUUUAUUUUCUUUAAUUUUUUUAAUUUUAAAAAAUGUUACUGUCUUUUUGUAAUUUUUAUUCUAUUUUAUUUUUUCAUUUUACUCUAUUUUAUUAUAUAAACUUUUUUAUUUUUUUAAAUUUCUUAACUUUUUUUCUUUUCUUUCUUUACUUUCACUUUUUUUUCUAUUCUAUCAAGCUUCUUUCAACAAGCAGACCAAAACACACCUAGGAUUCAGCUACCUUUAUUUGAUUCUUUUUGUUUUGUUUUGAAUUUUUGAAUUUUGAAUUUUUCUUCCACCAAAAUAACAAAAUGAAAGGAAUUCACCCCAAAGGAAAGAACAGGAAGAAAUGACAGCCAGAGGCUUAAGCAACACAGACAUAAGCAAGAUGUAUGAACUACAAUUUAGAAUCAUGGUAAUAAGAAUACUAGCUAGGGUUGAAAAGAGCAUAGAAUCCCUUACUGUGGAGAUAAAAGAAAUAAAAUCUAGUCAGGACAAAAUUCAAAAUGCUAUAACUGAGAUGCAAGCUUGAAGAGAUGCCAUGAUGACAAGGAUGGAUGAAGCAGAGCAGUGAAUCAGUGAUAUAGAAGACAAAAUUAUGGAAAAUAAUGAAGCACAAAAAAAAAAAAAGAAAAGAAGGAAAGGCAAAAGAGCAUGAUGCAAGACUUAGAGAACUCAGUGACUUACUAAAAAGGAAUAAUAUCAAAUCAUAGGAGUCCCAGAGGAUGAAGACAGUGGAAAAGGGGCAGAAAGUUUAUGUGAGCUAAUUAUAGUGGAAUACUUUCCUAAUAUGGGGAAGGAUACAGACAUCAAAAUCUAAGAAGCACAGAGAACUCCUAUUAGGUUCAACAAAAAACCGACUAUCACCAAUGCAUAUCAUAGUUAAAUUCACAAAAUACACAGACAAGAAAAAAAUUAUGAAAGCUGUAGGGAAAAAAAAGUCCUUAACCUAUAAAAGAAGACAGAUUACAGGUUCACAGUAAACCUAUCCACAGAAACUUGGCAGGUCAGAAAGUGUUGGCAGAAAGGAGUGGUCAAUUCAAUGUGUUGAAUCCAAAAAAAUAUGCAGCCAAGAAUUCUUUAUCCAGUAAGGCUGUCAUUCAAAAUAGAAGGAGAGAUAACGAGUUUCCCAGACAAACAAAAACUAAAGGAAUUCAUGACUACUAAAUCAGCCUUGCAAGAAAUUUUAAGGGAGACCCUUUGAGUGGAAAAAAAAAAAAAAAAGACAAAACAAAGCAAAAGAGACCAAAAGCAACAAAGACUAGAAAGGACCAGAGAACGUGACCAGAAACUCCAACCCUACAGGCAACACAAUGGCAGUAAAUUCCUAUCUUUCAGUACUCACUCUAAAUGUCAAUGUACCAAACACUCCCAUCAAAAGACAUACAGUAUUACAAUGGAUAAGGAAACAAGACCCAUCUAUAUGCUGCUUACAAGAGACCCAUUUUAGACCUAAAGACACCUUCAGAUUAAAAGCAAGGGGAUGUAGAACCAUCCACCAUAUAAUGGUUGCCAAAAGAAAGCCAGAGUAGCCAUAUUUAUAUCAGACACACUAGGUUUUAAAAUAAAGACUGCAACAAGAGAUAAAGAAGAGCAUUAUAUCAUAAUUAAGGGGUCUAUCCACCAAAAAGACCUAACAGUUGUAAAAAUGUAUGCCCCCAACAAGAUGGAAUCCUAAAUAUAUAAGUAAACUAAUCACAAUCAUAAAGAACCUAACUGAUAAUAAUACCAUAAUAGUGGACUUCAACACUCCACUUACAGCAAUAGAUCAUCUAGCAGAAAAUCAACAAGGAAACAAUGGCUUUGAAUGACACACUGGACUGGAUGGACUUAACAGAUAUAUUGAGAACAUUUCAUCCUAAAACAGCAGAAUACACAUUCUUCUCAAAUGCACAUGGAACAUUCCCCAGAAUAGAUCACAUACUGGGACAUAAAUAAGCCCUCAACAAGUACAAAAAGAUUGAGAUCAUACCAUGCAUAUUUUUGGACCACAACACUAUGAAACUCAAAAUCAACCACAAGAAAAAGUUUGGAAAAACCUUGAAAACUUGGAGUUUAAAGAACAUCCUAGUAAAGAAUGAAUGGGUUAACCAAUAAAUUAAAGAGGAAAUUAAAAAGUACAUAGAAGCCAAUAAAAAUGAAGACACAACAGUCCAAAACCUCUGGGAUGCAGCAAAGGCAGUCAUAGGAGGGAAGCAUAUAGCAAUCUAAACCUUCCUAAAGAAGGAAAAAGGUCUCAAAUUCACAACCUAACCUUAUACCUAAAGGAGCUGGAAAAAGAAUAGCAAAUAAAGUCCAACACCAGCAGGGGAUAGGAAAUAAUAAAGAUUAGAGCAGAAAUCAAUGAUAUGGAAAUUAAAAAAAAAAAGAACAAAAAAAUACAGUAGAACAGAUCAAUGAAACCAGGAGCUGGCUCUUUGAAAGAAUUAACAAAAUUGAUAAACCCCUAAUCAAAUUGAUCAAAAGAAAAAAGGAAAGGACCUUAACAAAUAAAACCACAAAUGAAAGAGAAGAGAUCACAACCAACACCACAGAAAUACAAACAGUAAUAAGAGAAUAUUAUGAGCAGUUAUAUGGCAACAAAUUGGGAAAUCGGGAAGAAAUGGACAAAUUCCUAGAAACAUAUAAACUACCAAAACUGAAGCAGAUGAAAUAGAAAAUUUGAACAGACCCAUAACCAGUAAAGGAAUUAAAUCACUAAUCAAAAAUCUUCCAACAAACAAGAGUCCAGGGCUGGAUAGCUUUCCAGUGGAGUUCUACCACACAUUUAAAGAAGAGUUAACGCCUACUCUUUUGAAGCUGUUUAAAAAAAUAGAAAUGAAAGGAAAACUUCCAAACUGAUUCUACGAGGCCAGCAUUACCUUGAUUCCAAAACCAGACAAAGAUACCACUAAAAAGGAGAACUACAUAUCAAUUUCUCUGACAAACAUGGAUGCAAAAAUUCUCAACAAGAUACUAGCCAACCAGAUCCAAGAAUACAUUAAAAGAGUUAUGUACAAACAUCAAGUAGUGUUUAUACCUGGGAUGCAGGACUGGUUUAAUAUCUACAAAUCAAUUAAUCUGAUACAUCACAUUAGUAAAAGAAAAGAACCACAUGAUCUUCUCAAUAGAUGCAGAGAAAGCAUUUGACAAAAUACAGCAUCCUUUCUUGAUAAAACCCUCAAGAAAGUAGGGAUAGAAGGAUCAUACCUUAAGACCAUGAAAGCCAUAUAUGAAAGACCUACCACUAGUAUCAUCUUCUAUGGGGAAAACCUGAGAACUUUCUCCCUAAGGUCAGGAACACAACAAGGAUGUCCAUUCUCACCACUGUUAUUCAACAUAGUGUUGGAAGUACUAACCUCAGCAAUCAGACAACACAAAGAAAUUAAAUACAUCCAAAUCAGCAAGGAGGAGGUCAGACUUUCACUCCUCCCAGACGACAUGUUAUUCUGUGGAAAUCUCAAAAGACACUACCAAAAAACUGCUGAAACUGAUCCAUGAAUUCAGUAAAGUCACAGAAUAUAAAAUCAAUGUACAGAAAUCAGUUGGAUUUCUAUACACCAAUAAUGAAGCAACAGAAAGAGAAAUUAAGCAAUUGAUUCCAUUUACAAUUGCACCCAAAACCAUAAAAUACGUAGGAAUAAACCUAACCAAAGAGGUGGAAAAUCUAUACACUGAAAACGAUAGAAAGCUUAUGAAAGAAAUUGAAGAACACACACACACACACAUACACAUACACACACACACACACACACACACAUGGAAACACAUUAUAUACUCGUGGAUUAGAAGAACAAAUAUUGUUAAAAUGUCAAUACUACCAAAAGCAAUCUACACAUUCAAUGCAAUCCCUAUCAAAAUAGCACCAUCAUUCUUCACAGAGCUAGAACAAACAAUCCUAAAAUUUGAAUGGAACCAGAAAAGACCCCGAAUAACUAAAGCAAUCCAGAAAAAGAAAACCAAAGCUGGAGGCAUCACAAUCUCGGACUUCAAGCUGUAUUAAAAGUUGUAGUCAUCAAGACAAUAUGGUACUGGCAAAAACAAACAAAUAAAAAACAAAACAAAACAAAAAAUAAAAACAAAAAAACAUAGAUUAAUGGAACAGAAUAGAGAACACAGAAAUGGACCCAUAAAUGUAUGGCCAACUAAACUUUGACAAAGCAGGAAAGAGUACUCAAUGGAUAAAACACAGUCUCUUCAGCAAAUGGUGCUGGGAAAACUGGAAAGUGACAUGCAGAAGAAUGAACCUGUUUACUUUCUUACACCAUACACAAAAAUGAACUCAAAAUGGAUGAAAGACCUAAAUGUAAGACAGGACGCCAUCACAAUCCUAGAGGAGAAAAGAGACAACAACCUCUUUGAUCUCUGCUGCAGCAACUUCUUACUUGAUAUGUUUCUGGAGGCAAAGGAAACAAAACCAAAAUGAAUAAUUGGAAAAAAAAAAUGAACUAUUGGGACCUCAUCAAGAUAAAAGCCUUCUGCAUAGCAAAGGAAACAAUCAGCAAAAUUAAAGGGCAACUGAUGGAUGGGAGAAGAUAUUUGCAAAUGACAUAUCAGAUAGAGGGUUAGUAUCCAAAAUCUAUAAAGAACUUAUCAAACUCAACACCCAAAAACUAAAUAAUUCAGUGAAGAAAUAGACAAAGGACAUUAAUUGGCAAAGAAGACAUCCAGAUGGCUAACAGACACAUGCAAAAAUGCUCAAUAUCACUCAUCAUUAGGGAAAUACAAAUCAAAACUACAUUGAGAUACCAUCUCACAUGGUCAGAGUGGCUAAAAUUAACAACCCAGGCAACAACAGAUGUUGGCGAGGAGGCAGAGAAAGAGGAACUCUUUUAUACUUCUGGUGGGAAUGCAAACUGUUGCAGCCACUUUGGAUAACAGUAUGAAGGUUCCUCAAAAAAUUAAAAAUAGAACUACCCUACAACCCAGCAAUUUCACUACUAGGUAUUUAUCCAAAGGAUACAGGAAUCCUGUUUCAAGGGGGCACAUGCACCCCAAUAUUUAUAGCAGCACUAUUGACAAUAGCCGAAGUAUGGAAAGAGCCCAAAUAUCCAUCAACUGAUUAAUGGAUAAAUAAGAUGUGGUGUGUGUGUGUGUGUGUGUGUGUGUGUGUGUGUGUGUGUGUGUAUAUAUAUAUAUAUAAUGGAAUAUUCCUCGGUGAUCAAAAAUAAUUAAAUCUUGUCAUUUGCAGCAACGUGCAAAUAGAGUGUAUUAUGUUAAGCAAAAUAAGUUAGGCAGAGAAAUAUCGUAUGACUUCACUCAUAUGUGGAAUUUAAGAUACAAAACAGAUGAACGUAAGGGGAAGGAAACAAAAAUAAUAUAAAAACAGAGGGAGAUAAACCAUAAGAGACUCUUAAAUACAGAGAAAAACCUGAGGGUUGCUGGAGGGUUACUGGGUGGGGGGGGGUGGGCUAAAUGGGUGAGGGGCAUUAAGGAGGACACUUGCUGCAAUGAGCACUGGGCUUUAUACGUAGGUGGUGAAUCACUAAAUUUUAUUUCUGAAAUCAUUAUUGCACUAUAUGCUAACUAGUUUGGAUGUUAAUUUUAAACAAUAUUGUGAUCAUCUAUUUUCAAACCUAAACUGUGAGGACACAGAGUAUUAGAAGAUAAAAAGCAAAACAAAAUUCACUUGACCAUAUUUCUGUUGCGAUUGAUAAUAUAGAAAAAUUCAUUAAUGAUGCUUUAAAUGUAUCUACCAUGUUCUUUAAUGUUGCAUGGCAUACAGUUUUGUGAGUUUGGUUGAAGAUGUAUGCCUGAAUUAGAUUUUGGAUAAUUUUUUUUUUUGUUCUGUAUUGAUGAAAUGUGAACUGCCAUGUCUUUAUAUGGCCACUUGAUGGAACUCUUUCAUUUUGCUUUCAGCAAUCUCCAAGCAAUGACAAUCUUUAACUUCUGGCAAGCCAUGAAGGAAUACAGCUCUUUUUUAAAAAGCUUAAAGAAGCUUGUUAUCUAGCAUGCCAUAGAAUUAUGGUUCUGUAUGGAAUGUUAAAUCAAUAUGUAAAAAAAAAAAAAAAGAAAAAGAAUAAAAU